GUUUGAUAAGAUGUUUAAAACUUACUGCAUCAAUUUGUAUAUCUUCUACUUCUAAAUGUUUAAAUCAAGAAAGACCAAAGCUCUAAUAUUGUAUGUGCACUCUUGUCAAUUUGUCAAGGACAUAAACUAGAAGAUGAUACAUAAAGUCGUGAAAUUUGUAUCAAAAGAAAAGUGACAAAAUAGAAGAAAGUAUUUAUAUUCAAGAAGAAUUAGAAUGGCUAUUGCCAAAGAUUAUGUGGUAAUACGCUAUAUCUAUUAUAUGCGUCCAACUUGUAGGACACAUGUCUAAUUUCAAGGUAAGUUUCCUAGGUGUGUGCCAUAUGUCCAACUUAUACUAUAAGUGGUCAACAUGUUGACACGUUGUCAUGGUAGAGAGAGUUUGCCUCAAGAAAGUACUAAGUGCUUGGCUACCACUAAUUGCUCAAUCAAGUCUUGAGAUAAGAAAGACCAAGUUUGUAUAUAUAUAUAUAUAUAUAUAUAUAUAUAUAUAUAUAAUACUUUUAGGAGAAAUUAUACCAAACAUAUAAUUCUUAAGUUUCCAAAACAUCCAAAAUAUGAUAAAAAAAACUCUAAAUCUUUGUAUAUCCUUAUAGGGUAUUUUUUCCAAACUUCAAAAAUUCAUAUCUUCCAAUCGGUCUAUUCAAAAAUAAUCAAAUUUUAUAUGAAGUACUAAUCAACUUUUAAAAACUACCACAACAAAUUUCAACUACAAAUUCGUUGUAGAUCUUAAGAUAUCACCAAAACCUUAAGAGUAUCUUCAAACCCUAGUUUUUAUACACCCAUGUACAAAUUUCUUUAUAUCUCACAAGUUAAGUACUAAAAUACCACAAAAUUUAUAUGCAUAGCUUUUUAACACAAUAAUCUACCUUUUCCAAAAAGUUUGAGUCCAAAAUUCAUCCAAAAACUCAAGAUAUGGUUCCAACUAUUACUAUGAACAAAAUCACUUACUUACUGCCUUUGAUUUGGAUGCACUGAUUUCAACCCUCUAUAACUUCUUCAUCCAAACUCCAAAUUCAUCAAAAAAUAUAUGAAAGGUAUAUUUAAGAAAGUACUCUCUCUAAUCCUAGUUGCUAAUCUUUUUUUGCUUUUCGUAAACAUGUGUUAUGCUCCAAAGAGUGAUAGUAGGUAUGAAAUUGACACCUUAACUUUGAGUGCCAAUAACUCCUUCAUAAAAACUCCAAAUCACACAAAAUUUGCACCCAAUUUGUACCCAAAAUCCUAAACUUGCUGAUCUUAGCCUCUAAAGCUCAAACGACUUCAAAAGAAAAACCCUAAUCUCGAAUAAGGCCUUCGGCAGCCUCCUUGAAGUCCAUUGGGCAUGGCCUUCGACCAAUAGGAAUGAAGAUCUCCAUUCCUUGCCUUCAUUCAACCAUGCCUUGCUUUCAUCACUCCCAAUAAGCCUCCUAUUAGUAAAUAAUUUCUUCUUUAGGCUCUAAUAUCCUCUCAAGGCUUCAUAUUAAACAUUUAGGUUCUAUAAUUUUUUUAAAUGCUAUAAUCAAAAUAGAUAUAACUCAAAAUAAAGUUUUUUUUAUAUCUACUCUCUUUAAAUUAAUCUAUUAACCAUUCUAACAUAUACCAAGACUUAUGAACAUAUUACAUGUCCUAAUUAAUUUUUCCAUACUAUAAGCAAUUAUAGUACAAAAAUGUGGCCUCUUUGUUGGCCAAGUUUUCAAUCUAUCAAUCACCUAUAGAUAUGUAUAAAUGCAAAGUUGUAUCUUUGAGGCUUUUGGAAAGAUUUCUACAAGAUAUUAUCAUAUUUAUCUACUUUGACUUACUUCUACUUAUUAUUAUUAUCUAGAUAAUUAUCAAGGUAAAUAUGUAUGUCUGUGAGACAUGAAUUGUAUCAUGUUCUCCAUACAUAGAUCAAAAUUCUAUCAAAAAAGCAUCUAGAUUAUUCAAUAUGGACCUUGUUGUCCAAAAAAAGAUAAAAACUAUGAUAAUGCUAAACUUGAAAAGAGUGUAACAAUGAAUCUAAUUUACAAUCUUAGAAUUGGAUAGCUUUGGAAUUGAUGUUUAGUCAUAAGUUGUAUUUGAUUAAUAAAUCUUUAAAAUUUGGAUCUUAUGCCAUCAAACUUCUUAGGCAGUGCAAUCCUUAAAUUUUUAAUAUUAAAAGUUUUUUUUACUAUAAAAUAAGAGAUAUGAUCUGGUACAAAUAUUGAAGCAACUCCAAUCAUCUCGUUGUUUUUGCUCCCUACCAUUCUUGUUGCUUCUUGUGGCAAUAAAUUGAAUUGAUGCAUUGCAAGCAUUAACUCUUUCAAUUGCUCUUGUAUUUAUCCCAUUGCACUCUUCAUUUCAAAAAGUAUUACUAUGAUAAAACUUAAAGAAAGAAAGAUAUCUAAUAUUGUUCAAGACAAAUAGAUAAAAAAACUUAAGAACAAAGAAAAAAUACUAAUAACAAUAUCAAUUUAAAAGAGGAUAAUCCAAAACUCCAAAUAUGCUUAAGUCUUAUAAAAAUAAAGGAAUAAUCUACUCUUAAUCAAAAAAAAGACCAAGCUUUAAUAUUGUAAAAUUACGCAUGUCAAUUUUUUAAGGACAAGAACUUCAUGAAAACAAAUAAACAAAUGAUUUUUAGCAAUCUAUUAAUUAGAUUAAAGUGGUUUUUUUUUUGUAUGGAGAUUAGACUUAAUUUUUUAUAAUUAAAGUAUAUUUUAAAGGCAAUUCAACAAUUCAAGAAGGAGAUAUUGAUACUAGAAGUUCAACAUUCAGAUUGGAGUAGGAGGCUGGCCAAUACUUGAGCAAAAUUUAGAUUCAAUCUUCUAUUUGGUAAAUUUGAUCUUCUUCAAAUUUUGUGUGCUUAUUGCCAACUUAGUUGUUAAAAGGUGUGUAAAAUUUUAAGGAAGAUCAUUGAUAAAAUCAAUAGAUAUUGAUUUUCUAAAUUACGUGAGCGUUAGAUUAAUUUGAUUAGGAUUUGAUUUAAGAUUGGAAUUAGUUAGGAUUUAGGAUUUUUUUAGGAUUUUUUAGGAUUUUCUUAGAAUUUAACUUAGGAUUUAAGUAAGAACUAUUAAGAUUUUAACUAGCAUUAAAUUAAAAUAUUGUUGGAAUUUAUUUAAGAUAUAUUUUAAAUUUUAUUAUAAUACUUUGUUUGUAUUUUUUUUUAGGAUUUUUUCAUGCUUCUUUUGUAAUUUCUUUAAGGUUUUUUUGAAUUUGAUUAAAGCUUUAUUAGAAUUUUUAAGAUUUAAUUGGAUUUAUUUAGGAUUUUAUUAAAAUUUGAAUCUUAUUGUUACAAUACUCCUUCUACCUUCUAUAGCCAAGUGCUUAGUGUAAUUUCAAGCAAGGCUUCAUCUAAUACAAUAAUGAAGAAACUAAAUAUCCUUGAAAUAAGACUAGAAGCAAGAAAGGAGUUGAUAAGAUUAAAAAAGACUUCAUUCUUGCUUCUAUAUAUACUACAUAUUUUAGAUGUAUAUCAUAGAUAUACAGAGAUACUCUAAUAAAUAUCUAUAUAAUUAAGUAGAAGUAAGUUAAUUUCAUAAUAUCUUUUAGAGAAGCUUUCUAGAAGCUUUAUAGACACUACUUUGAUUUUAUAUGUGUUUGUAAUUGAUUGAUAGGUUAAAAGCUUGGUCAAUAAGUUAACCAUGUAUUGAUGGUUUACAGAAUAAGCUAAUUAUGUGGCACACAUAUAGAAAACUUGCCUUACAAGUUAAGAUAUGUGUCUUACAAAGUCAAUAUAUUCUAGAGGUUCUAUAGGACAUUGCCACAUAGCUCCUAGCUAAGAGUAUAUAUAGAGACAAGAGUGAAGCCUUUUUUUUUCUUGUCAAUGCUUUAUUAAUCUUUAGUCUUGUUUCAAGUCUUUUUAGUCUUCUUGUUUUUGGCAAUAGCCAUUUUAAUUGAAUAUGAUAUCAUCUUUGAAUGAUUUUUUAAUUCCUUUCAGUGACACAAGAAAGUAUUGUAGAUUUUCUUUCUUGAAGAUUCAUGUUCUUGAUAGUUUAAAAAAAAUACUAACUAUAGAAUAGGUAAAUAAACUUUGUGGUAAGUUAGUGAUUGAUUAUUGACAACCUUGAGAAUUAGACUGAUGGUUAGGCAGUUUAGUUGGUAACAGUAGAUUGUUAGUGGAAUAAAUUGUUAAGAAUUCAAAGGGUCAUAACUUUUGGAAUCCGCUUGCCGACGGAUCAUCUUUUUGUUAGAAUAAAUAGGUUGAGGAAAGUAAGCCGAGGGCCAUACUGUGAGAGUCGUAAGCCGAGAGCCACACUGUGAGAGUCGGAAGCCGAGGUAAGCUUGGUGCUACCUCUUUAUUUUUUUUAUUAUUUGCUUAUGAAGAAUUGUGAUUGAAAGAAGUAUUGUUGAAUUGAUAAUCGUAGAAUGGAUUAUAGGUUGAAUUAAGAUGAAAGUAGUAAGCCUUGGUGUUUUGUAGUUUGAUAAUUGAUUUCAGAUAGCCAGAGCACAAUCAAUUGUGAUACUAAUAUACCCAAUUCAUAUAACCAGUCUUUUCCCGUAUUUGAACCCACCUCUAUUACUUCAAUUGCUUUGAUAUAUUGAAAAUUCUACACAAUGAGAACAACAUUUUGGUGCCGCUAUUGAGGAAAUGAUAACAAUAUGAAAUAUUAGAAAUUGAUUGUAUGGCAGAUGGAAUUAUAUGUUGAAUAAGAAUGUGAGAAGAAACAAUUGUAGGGUUACAAAUAUGUGAGUUAUAAUUCAAGGCAGUAUUGAUUUUGUAAAGAAGAAUGAAAGAUUAUGAGUGAUAAUCAUAGGAGGGGAGGAUUAUCAAAGAAUUAAUCGACAAGCAAAAGAAAGAUAGGAGCAAUUACGCAUAAGAAAUAGCCUACGAGAAUGACAAAAAGGAAUUACAAGUCCAAAAAAAAUCAAAAGAAGAAAAAUUCAGUUUCAAAUAGUAAGGAGACCAGUGAUAAUACCUAUGGCCGUGGGAGUGCCAGAAGUACCAAUUGUAGUAUAAAUGGAAGUAGUAGGAGACUGAACUACAAGUGUGGCACCAUUACCUACUUUUAGUGGUUGGUCGGACUCUGAUCCCGAUCACCAUAUAUCUCAAUUCUUGACAGUCUGCAUGGCUAAUAAUGGUAGAACUGAAGAUAUUUGAUUGAGAUGGUUGUUAGCAACUUUAAAAGAUACAGCUUUUGAAUGGUAUAUUCGGCAACUAAUGGAUAGAUUUCCCGAUUGGGAUGCCUUGAGGAAUGCCUUCAUAAUCCAUUUUAGACCAAUUGGAUUUGAAGAUCGGCUUUGAGAAAGUUUUAUGAAUAGUAGGAUAUUUGCGGAAGAAUCUGUAGAGUCCUAUAAUGGAUGGAUCAUGGAUAUACUUCGUAAAUGGUCAAAUAAUCAAAUACAAGAUGCAUUUAUAUUGUCAAUAUUAAUUAACAGUUUGUAUCCACCAGAAUUAAAAAUGUUUGUAAAAGAAGCUUGACUAGCUACGGCAAAGGCAUCAUUGGUAUGAGUAAAGAUAUGGAAAGAAUGUCAUUAUGACCAAUUGUUAAUAGUGGAGGCCACGAUGAUUCCAAGUUCAAGAAGCCAACACUACUACAUCUUUAUAAGUUGAAGCUAAAUAAUAUUUGCGAGGACGAUGCACAAUUAGGAGUGGGGCUAUGUAGAAUAGGUAAAUAAACUUUGUGAUAAGUUACUAGUUGAUUAUUAAAAAUCUUAAGAAUUAGACUGAUGGUUAGGUAAUUUAGUUGGUAACAGUAGGUUGUUAGUGGAAUAAAUGGUUAAGAAUUUAAAGGAUUAUAAUCUUUAGAAUCCGCUGGCCGACGGAUCAACUUUUUGGUAGGAUAAAUAAGUUGACAAAAAGUAGCCAAGGGCCAGACUGUAAAAGUCGUAAGCCGAGGGCCAAACUAUGAGAGUCGUAAGCUGAGGUAAGCUUGAUGCUACCUCUUUUUUUUUUUUAUUAUUUACUUAUGAAGAAUUGUGAUUGAGAGAAGUAUUGUUGAAUUGAUAAUGAUAAAAUAGAUUAUAGAUUGAAUUAAGAUAGAAGUAAUAAGCCUCAGUGUUUUAUAGUUUGAUAAUUGAUUUCAGAUAGCGAGAGUACAGUCAUUUGUAACACUAAUAGAUCCAAUUCAUAUAACCAAUCUUUCUCCGUGUUCAAACCUAUCUCUAUUAGUUCAAUUGCUUUGGUCUACUGAAGCUUGAAUGUAACGAGAAUAAUACUAACUUACUAUUUUUAUCUUAUUUUAGAAGUAAAUAGAUUAUUAUACUUUUAUUAUUAUAUUUUAAAAGUUGCAAACUAUCCAUCUUAAAACAAAUAAAUCUUAUUUUCUAACAUUGAUCUUUUCUUCAAAGAUAGUAGAUUAUUUUUCUUUAUAGAAAUUUUUAUUUGAUAUUAGAAGUUGUGAAUUAUCUUCUUCUAAUUUCACUUAUUAAAUUUAUUUGAGUUGUCUUUUAAAAAAAUAGAUUAUGAAUGCUACCCCUAGCAGAAGUGAGAAUAGAUUUGUAACUACUAUAGAUCUUCAUGGGCUUGUUAAUACUCUAAGAAUAGAAAUCUCAUGUAUUUCUAACAUGAAUUGUGGAAGUACUAUGCUUACUUUCAUAGAAGAAGUUGAGAGUUUGUAGUAAGAAGUUAUGCAAUUGAUGUUAGGAACCAUAUACAAGGUAAAGUUUCAAGACCAAGAAAUGAAAUUACCUCAACAUUAGAACAAUAAUUGGAUACAAGGAAAGAAGGUCUUCACUAGACCAUAAAAAUUUAGUUGUUGAGACUAAGGAUCCCCUUAGCCUUGACUCCUAUAUAAACUAGGUUCUAUAAAGCUUUUUGAGAAGUUUUCAAGAAGCUUGAGAAAAAAAAAAGCCUAAUAUCUUUCUUUGGCAACUUCCUAAAUCAUCUAAAGCCUCUUAGAACCUUCUAGGAUCUCUUAUGAUAUUCUAGAACUUUCUUAGAAACUAUAAGAACCUUCUAGAACCUUCUUAGAAUCUAAAAGAAUCUUUUAGUAUAUUCUAAAAUCUUCUAGAAUCUCUUAAAAUCUUUUGGAACCUUUUGAAAUCUUCUAGAAUCCUCUAUAACCUUCUUCACUUGAAUGUCCACAACAUCACUUCCUCUUCUAGCUUCGAGGUCUCUAAGAAGUAAUAUUAUUUUAAAUUAAUAUAUGUGCAAGAAGUUGAAGAUCUGUUGCAUGGUGUUUGCUACAUAUUUCAGUUAUUUUUUACGAGGUAAAUAAUUUAUAGGCCCUUGUAGCCAUUGAUAGUGUCCUAAGCCUUCUACUUAUGACCAAGCAUGAACUUUGAUAUCUUUGUUAUAAAAUUGUCUUAUAAACACUCCUUCUGGACAUCAUUCAUAAGUAAGUUCUACCUCAAACACAAUUAUCAAUGUCCUAUUACUAGGUAUCUUUUGAAGUCUUCAUGACUCAAGUGGCUCUUCAUCUCGAGAUCAUUUGUGCAAGCUACUUAGUUGAGAUGGUAUAACUUACACGGCAUCUAUCUCUUGACUAUUCAUAUUAUAUAAAAUAGAUAAAAUCAAAAGAAUAUAAAGAAGCUAUGGUCGUGAACUCAAAUUACUAGCUUAUACUGUUCUCAAAAUUUAAAAAAAUUUCCUUUUCAAAGAUUGCCUCCUUUCCUUCAUAAUGAGGCCAAGAACUAAACAUCUUCAUAGUAAAGCCAUCUUACUAGGCUACUGCUCUUCAUUAUGUCACUUUUGGUUUAGAUGGAUGUUAUUGAUGGAACUUUUAAACCUUCAUUUGUCUAUUUAUAAGGUUACUAGUUAAUUCCCAUGUGUGAUCAUUGAUAUCAUAUGUAUGCCAAUAGACCAGAUAUUCAAGCCUUCUAUGUCUUAUCCUUGAAUCUAAUAUCUCUUCUACCUCAAAUUCAACAUGAUCAUUGAUUUCAACCAUAGGAAGUGGUGGUUAUCUUUGACCUCGUAUAUUUGAUUCUUUAUACUUUUUCAAAAGUAAAACAUAAAAGAUUAGAUGAAUCUUCAUAAAUGAAGGUAAUUCCAAUUGAUAAGUUAUAUUAUUAAUUUAUUUUUGAAUCACAAAUGGUUCCAAUCUUCGGUAGUCCAAUUUAUUAUAUGGCUUGUUGGUUUUUAUAUUAUGUCAAAGAAGCUACUUUUGGUCACCAACUUGGAAUGGAAGAUGUUCUUUCUUCAAUUUAUCUGCCAGUAGCUUAUAACGUUGUUGAGCUCUUUCUAGGUGAAUCUUUAUGGUUGCUUGAAAUUCGGCCAUCUUUAUAGCAAGCUUCUUUGUUGCUGGAUUUUCUGACUUUGAAGGCUCUAUCAUAUCCAACUUUGGAUGAUGACCAUAGUUUGAAUAGAAUGGCAUGUGUUGCAUAAAUAUAUAAAGUGUAUUGUUAUAUGCAAACUCUGCCAAUGAGAAGUAGAAAGUCCAAUCGUUUUAUUGAUAGUUGAUGGUGCACUUCAAAUAUUGUUCAAGAAUUUGGUUGACUUACUCUAUUUGGCCAUCAGUUUGAAGGUAGAAGGCAAAGGAAAGAUUGAUGUCAACCUUAAGAAUCUUGAAGAAUACUUUUUAAAACCUUGAUAUAAGUUGUGGUCUAUGAUCCGACAUAAUAUUAUUUAGCAAUCCGUCGUAAUAAUAGAUAUUAUCAAUAAAGAAUUUUAUCAUCUCUUCACUAGUAUUUGACUUCUUGCAAGGUAUAAAACGAGUCGUCUCAGUCAAUCAAUCAACAACUAUGAAGAUAGUAUCAAAUGAGCUUGAUGAUGGAAGAUCUAUAAUAAAAUCCAUGGAUAUGGAUGACCAUGGUUGUCUUGGAAUAAGAAGGGGUUGAAGAAGUCUAUAUGGCUGAUGUCAAGGAUUCUUUGACCUUAAACAAAUAUCAUUUGAUAGUACAAAUUUCUUAAUGUCCUUCUACAUUUUAGGCCACCAAAAGUCUCUAGACAAAAGUCCCAAGGUCUUGUUGAAUCCAAAAUAUCUGGGUGUAGGAAAGUCAUGGCAUAUUUGAAGAACGUUCAAGCAAGUUGGCUCUUUAGGAAUGAACAAACAUUAUUCAAAGAAUAAGAGAUUGUCUUCAUACUUGAAUUUAGAAGACUUUUUAAAAAGGUUUUUGGUAAGACACUUGAUAUUAAAAAGAAGAGAGUCUAUAUUUGACGAUUUAUAAAUCUGAUCAAAAAAUGAUAAAUCCAUAGGCAUUCAUUUAUUGGUUGCUUGAAGAUGAAAUUACUUAGAUUUUAACAAGAUUGUCCAUUGUUAAUCAUAUGCUGCCUCACCUUCUUUUGGUUCAAGGUAGGAACAUCUUGAUAAUGCAUCUAAUAACCUUUAUUGGCUCCCGAGUUGAUAUGUGAUGCAAAAGUCAAAUUGUGAUAAAGAUAUACUCCAAUGCAUUUGGCGAUGGUUUAAGAUUCUAGCUGAUAUGAAGUAUUCAAGAUUCUAGUGAUCUGUAUAUUUAGUCACCUAAUGAAAGGCACCUUCAAGAAAGUGGCACCCUUCUUUGAAAGAAUCUAUAAUGGCAAGCAAGUCUUUAUUGUAGAUUUUGUAGUUAAUUUCUACUACUGAGAAUUUUUUAGAAUGAAAUACAAUUAAAUGAAGUUUGUCAUCUUCUCCAUAUUAUGACAAGACUGCUCUCAAUGUAAAGUUUGAGGCAUUGAUCUCCAUAAAAUAGGGCUUGUUGAAACCUAGAUGUAUCAAAAUUGGAGCUAUUGUGAAAGCAUCUUUUAAGCUUUGAAAAGAUUUUUCUGCUUUAAGGUUCUAGUCUAGUUUGUCCUUGCAUGUCAAUUGCAUGUCAAUUGCAUAAGUGGAGCAGCAAUCUUGGAGUAAUUCUUAAUGAAAAUUCUAUAGAAGAUUAUAAAUCCAAAAAAGUAUUGGACAUUAUGUACAAUUUUUAGCUUUGCACAAUUGAUGAUUGCUUGUACUUUCUUUGGAUCCAUAAAAAGGCCUUUAUUGGAAAUAAUAUAUUCAACAAAUUUGACUUGAGGUGCAUGAAAUAUACACUUCUCCACUUUUUCAUAUAAUCCAUUACUUUGUAGCUUUUCCAAUACAAGGUGGACAUAUUUUUUGUGGUCUUCCGGAUUCUUGAAAAAGAUUAGAAUAUCAUCCAAAUAGAUCACUACAAAGUUGUUGAGAUGCUCACAAAAUAUGUCAUUCAUUAAGUGUUGGAAUAUAGCUGGUAUAUUGGUAAGUCCAAAUGGCAUGACAUUGUAUUCAAAAUGUCCAUAUUUGGUGCAAAAUGUUGUCUUCUAUUCAGCUCCCUUCUUAAUAUGUACCAAAUUAUACGCACCUCGUAGAUCAAUCUUUGAAAAGAUCUUUGCAUGGCUAAGUUGAUAAAGAAGUUUGGAUAUCAAUGGAGAUGGAUAUCGAUUCUUUACCGUGAUUUUAUUAAGACUAUAAUAAUCGACACACAUCUGGAAAGAUCCAUCUUGUUUCUUUAUAAAUAAUAUCAGAGCAUCAGUUGGCAACUUGGAAUGUCAAAUAAAAUUUUUAGCCAAAUUUUUUCCAAUGUACUCUUUUAAAGUUAUAAACUCAUUUUGGAAUAAAUUAUAGAUGGAUCCAAAUGGUGGUUGAGUACCUUCUUAAAGAUCAAUUGCACAAUCAUAAGAGUGAUGCUUUGGCAGGAUGUCCACAUUUUUUUUUUAAAUAUACUUGUAAAAUCCUUAUAUGCUUCUGGAAUUAUUGUUGUAGCAACCAAAAGUUUUGAUUAUAUACUUGUGUAAACAACAAAUGUAGUACCUUAUUUGGUCGCCCUCACAAAUACUCUAGUUCUAAUAAAUAAAUGUUAUUUAAGUUUUGACUUGUUAGGUGUUAAAAGAUUUUUUAUAGAUCUAAGGAUUCUUUGAUCUACUAGAGGAAAUUUUAACUUUUGAAAUACCCAUUCUAUUCAUGGAUUUUAUUUUUGAAGGCUUAAGAGUCCUAAAAUGAUUGGAGUUGAUGGUAAUCUAAUGACGUUAAAUACUACUUAGCUGUUAUGGUUGUCAAAGGUUAUUUCUAAUAAAAAAAUUUCAUGACUAACGUCUCUAGAGGAUAAAGGUCGACCAUCUAUUACUUUUAUAUGUAUGGCUUUGGAUUUUUUGAUAGUACAAAUUUUGUAUACUUUACAAAAUUCUUUGUCAAUAAAACAUGCAGAGGCUCUUGAAUCAAGAGAUGCAUGGCACUUUAGUUUUGUGACUCUUAAUUUUACUGGUAUAAAAAAACAACAAGAAGGGCUAGCAAAGAGUAUAGGACCUUUUUUGGUUUAUCAUAGAGAAAAAUCCAGCUACACAGUCUCUACUGUAGUUGGACACUGUUGUUUUUUUGUAACACUUUUGAUAAUAUGAUCACAAUUCACAAUUGAUAUGUAUGCUGGUAUUUUUCUAAACAAUUAUUAAUCUUGUGGCCAGGUUUUCUGCAAUAUUGCAACCUCUAUCUACAGUUGCUCUUGCCGUUCUUUCCAAUCGGUCUCUAAUCUUGCUUUCUCAGACACCAUGUUCGCCAUCUUCUCUUUUUCCGCUAUCUACUUUUUCUUAACUACAAAAGAAAAUACGAUGCUUGUCAAGAGCUCCCUUCCUAUUUCUUACUAUGGUCUAAUCAAUUGAGUCGACUCUCUCUUUUGUAACAGAAAAUUCAUCCCGAAUUUAUAUAUAGUAAAGUUUAAGCUGAUUGCCAUUGAUUUGUGUCUUAUAUUUAGUACCCAUAAAAUCUUCCAAUUCUACUAAACCAUUUGGAAAUCCUUCUAUAACUCGAUAUGGUCCAUGCCAUCAAACUUAAAAUUUUUCUGGAAAUUUUUUAAAUCGACUAUCAUAAAGAAGUACCAAAUCAUUUGGCAUAAAAGCCUUUGGUCUAAGCUUACUAUCAUAAUAAGUCUUCUUUUGUUUUUGUAUAGUUCCCAUUACCAUUAAUUCAUUGGCUCUAGUUUCAUCCAAUUUUUCUAAUUCUUCUAAAUCAUGAUCUUCCAAUCUAUUAUCUAUAGUAAUUCAUAAACUUUGGACUUCCAAUUCAAUAGGUAAUAUUGCUUCCUGGCCAUAAACCAAUUAGAAAGGGGUAGUGUGAUUUCUCGUUUUACUUAUUCCAAAUUAAUCUAAUGGAAAUAUACUCAUAUAGGGGGAUUCGAACAUGGAGAAUGACUAGUUGCUUAAGCGUUCACGUUAGGAUCACACAAUCAAUUAUCUCUUGAAUGUAUCGUCUCUAUUUCUAAUAUCUGAACUCAUAAAGAAAUUAUAAUUUCCUCCUUCACCUUAUCGAUCUCUUCCUUACAAUAAUUCAAUCAUACCAAUAACUCCUAUUUCCACCAAUAUAUUCACCUUCAUAAUCUCCAACUAUAAUACUGCGCCCUCACAACUUUCAGCACACAAUUAUCCUCAUUCUAAUUACUGGAAUUCUUCACACAAAACUGCCAUUCACAUUACGGUGUUUCACACAAAUACAGACUCAUUCUCUCUGCUGAACUACAAUCAGAUUUCAGCAUUCAAUCUUUCUUCUUCUCAAAUAAUACCAAUCACAUUUCCAUUCCAUAAUUUACUUCACAAUAUUCAGAAACUCUCAAUCCUCUUAUUCAAAGAAAAUAACAAACAAAAGAAAAGAGGUAGCACCAAGCUUAUCCCGGCUCACAACUAUCACAGCGAUGGCCCUCGGCUCAUGACUAUCACAGUCUGGCAUCCUAAUUAACUUCUACAACUCCUAUAUACUUUUCCCUCAUUCUCCAGAUUUCAAUCGUAAUUCUGUAAUUAAUCACUUUUAAGAACUAAAUCACUCAUCCGUCUUCCCGAAUUUCCUAUUAUAUGGACUAUUAAUAUAUUUUAUCAAUAUCUUUCAAAAACGAAUUAAUAUCUAUUCUACAUAGCCCCACUCUUAUCUAUAUAGUGUCCUCGCAAAUACUCAAUUGAUACCUAUCUAAAAAUUAUCUAACAAAUCUCUACAAAGUUACUUGUUCCUCUGGCCCACCUAAUUAAUCAUUUGUUGCAUUAUCGAAUGUAGGUUUGACCAAAUCUAGUUCCAAUUGCAAAUCUUCUUCUUCUUCUUCCAAUCCUUCUAUCGACUCCUUCCUCAACUGGUUUAAUAGAUCUUCAUUAUACUCACCUAGUACAAGGACUUGAGCUUUCAAUUUCAAAAUCUGGACAUCCCGAAGUUCCAAUUCUUGUUGUUGCUGACUCAUCCAAUCUGGAACAUCUUCAAUCGACACUUGUAACCGGCUCUUCACUGUUAACUCUUAAUUGGAACUACUACUCUCAAAAAUACAAGAAAUACAAGAAAAUGGCACUCCAGCCAACCCAAAACAAUAUCACAGAAUGACUUUAACUGGUGCCCCACUCCUAUUUUUUUACUACUUGGUGAUAAUGACAACAUGUUAUCCAUACUAUCUGUGAAAGGUAAUGAAAAGUAAUCUUUCUUGGUGGCCAUACUAAGUUUUUGAAAAUCCUGACAAAUUCUGAUUUUUCCAUUCUUCUUCGGUACCAUCACAAUUGGAAAAACCCACUCACUAUUUGGUACCGGGUAAAUAAAACCAACCAUAAGAAGCUUGUCCAAUUCCUCCUUCACCAUGAGAGAAUAUUUAGGAUUAAGGCGAUGUUGCCUCUGCCAUACCAGUUUAGCGUUCUCCUCUAAAAUGUUACAAUGCUCACAGACUUCAACGGGAAUACCUUUUAAAUCAUCAUAAGUCCAAAAAAAAGUGGAUUUAUGAUGCAAGAAAAAUUCGGUCCAGCAAGUCAACUCUUGUUCCUUAAUACCUUUAUAGACCUUAAUUGUCCGAGGUUCUGCUGUGGUCGCCAAGUUGAUAGUUUGACAUAAAGGUGCAAUGGCGAUGUUCUGUUUUAAUCCCGCGCGUUGGUUUAAAGUCACUUAGUAAGUUCGACAUGUACGAAGUACUGAAUCCUAUGUCGAGGGCACUAACAUGGUACACAUUAUACUUGGUCAUCUAAUCAGUACUAACAUAACUUGAGUUUUCCGUGUCCGUCGGGUAUAUCAAGUACUCCCCUGGACCUCCACAUUGGUACACCACUCCAGGGUGUAGUGCUGCCUCGUCGAGCACCCACGUAAUUGGUGCUACUGCGUUGUCAUUAGAGCUAAGCUCAUUGUCCAACAUUAAUUCAAAUGCUGGCAAUUGAGACUUCCCGUGAUAGUGUAUUGGGUACAUUUGUAACACCAUUUUUUCGCCGCCCUUGCCAAUUAUCAAAGUACCCCGAUCCCAAUCAUUCUUGGCCUUUGCUUGAUAAAGUCAGGGUUGUCCCAAUAAAAUUGGAUAUGAUAAAGUCAAACGUUAUAACCAAAAGAUGAUAUAGUCGAUUUCAUAUGCAUUAUCGAUAAUCAUAGUUUGAACACUCCUUAAGAUACCCAUUGGUUAAACCCCGCUAUGAUCUGCCAUCCGUAAUACCAAUGUUGUGGAUACUAAGUGUUCCAAAUCUAAAGCAUCUAUUGUAUCAACAUUCAUUAAAUUGACACUGGAACCACCAUCCCUUUGAACACUCGAGAUCAUAACACCGUCAAUCAAAACAUCAAUGGUUGGUGCACCUAGAUCAAGGUUCAAACUGACUUCACAAACUUCUUUAUUACGGUGCCUAUGUCGUGUUAACGAUGAAUUCAAUAUAGAACGACACUCUCGUGUGACCACUAGAAGUUGCUUCAUAGAAAUAGAAGGCCAAAUAGCAUCCAGAUCCUUCAAAAUAUCAUAGGAUUCCAUAUUUAGGAUAAUUUCCAAUGUCCUCUUUCUUUUCAUUGGUUUGAGUUUAACUUCGUGAGGUAAGAUAUUCUUCCGCCUUAGACUCAAAAUUGGAACAACAGCCAAGACUUUCUUAGAAUUUUUGUCCCCGAGAAGAUCUUUCAAUGGAUAGGACGUUUCUUCGAACUACGUAGAGAUCAGAACUGCUUGGAACGGAAUCGAAGCCUCUGUAAUUGGGACCUCAUUAAGUUGUGCCACUAAGUCAGGUCUCAUACUAGAUAUGAAGCCCGUAACAGGACUUGGAUUGGAUGGUCCCCUAAUUGCAUCAAAUUGAUCUUUCGCAUUGGGAUUACCCAAAUAUUGAAUUGGUCCUUUUUCCUUUUGCUGACUUCGGAUAAGAAUGACUUGGACACAUUCUACCCAAUUUAUCGCAGAAUCUUGAGGACCUCAUUUAUCUCUUCAAAUUUUUCUUGGCUUUGGAUCUGCUGAUCCCAAUUAUUAACAUUGAACGGAGCAUCACAUUACUGAUACGUAUGCCCUGACUGCUUGUAAUUUCCACAAACUGGCGCAUAAUUGUCACAGGCUCUGGAAUUGAGACAUUCAUUGGUAUAAUGACCAAUAUGUCUGCAACGAAAACAACGAAGUAUUCUUUUUGUACUCCCAUCAAGCAUAUUGGGUGCCUCCACUAAUAUAUAUGUACUAGGCUUGUUCCAUGUAGGGUUAGAAAAUGAUCCUAGUUGUCCCAUUGAUAUUGAGAGAACUUGAUUUGAUGACGUCGAUGGAGCAUAUUGCUGAUACCUCUGCUGCUCUUUACCGUAGUUUUGGGAGUUCAAUACAGACCCCUGAUUAAAAUUAGAACUUUAAAAGUUAUUGAAUGCUCGAUUUUUUUGAUUAAAUCGAUUUCUAUUUCAUCCAAACUUAUUUCCCAUUUGCACUUCAUUGACAUCCCACUGGAUUGGUGGGAUGAUGGUCUGAUUACUAAAUUGUUGUUGUUGUCUUUGCCAAUUCUAACAAUUUGUUGUUAGGUGCUUUCCUCCGUAAAAUGUACAUUGAUCCAUUAUUUAUGAGGGUGAGAGGCAUUCUAUUACAGAAUGACCGUGGCCCUUACAAUUAUUGCACCAUACAUUGGUCCUAGUAUUGAUAGGCUUUUGCCUCUUCUCUUGAUCUUUGGCCAUAUUGAUGUCCAUUUCUUCCAUUUUCUUCAUCAAAUUCAAUAACAAGGUUUCAUUGGAAUCUUUUAGGACUGGCAUUAUUGAUAUCUCUGUCGUAGUUAAUGCUUGUUAUUGAUAUGAAAAAUAUAGAGCAUAUGCUAUUGUCACGUUCAAUGGUAUAGCUUACAAUAGGAUGAUAUUAACUGGCCCCUAAAUAUUGGUAUUGGAAUUGGCCCCUAUUUUUAACAUCCAUGGAUAACUAUCCAUUGAUUCGUUCUAAGUCAGAUUUUGAUAUCUAGCUUGAACUCGAAUCAUCGUGGCUCCUACAGUUAAAAACUAAUCAUAAUGGCAUUUCUUCUAAAUCUUGGCUCUAUUAAAAGACGCAGCCACGGUAAUGAUUUGAGCUUCUUUUACAAACAUUUUUAGCUCUGGUGGGUACAAACUAUUGAUUAAUAUGGAUAAGAUAAAUGCCUCUGAUAUUUGGUGAUUCGGCCACUUACUAAAUAUAUCAGCCACUCGGCCAUAAUACAAUUUCACUGCCUCCUCUAGGAUCAUUUUGCUGUUCAUUAACCUCUCUCGAAGGCGGUCCUCAAAACCAAUUGGCUAAAAAUGAGAUAAAAAUGUAUUCUUCAAUGCUUUCCAAUUUAAAAAUUGAUCCACUGAUUGAUGAUUGUACCAUUCAAAUGCCAUGUCUUUUAAGGUCGCAGGCAGCUAUCGCAACCAAAUAUCUUCAAUUCUGUCAUUAUCAGCUAUACAUGCUAUAAAAAACUGAGACAAAUAUUGAUCGAGAUCUGCACCCAAAAAUCCCCAAAAAGUAGGUAGUGGCACGACAUUAGUCGUACGAUUGCCUACUGCACCCAUUUGUACUGUAAUCGGAAUGGUUGAUCCUCCUGACGCCAUUGAAUUUCUUGGUUCGCUAAACUCCAUUUUAAAAUAAUCUCUACUUUUUUUUAUUCUAAUUUUUGAGCUCUCAAUGCUCCUCGAUUUACUGUUAUUUUCCGAAAUUAGUUUUAUUGAUUGAAUUGUAGGUGAAAACGUUGAAUUUUGAAAUAUAAUAUAGUUAUCUUUAUUGGCCAUCAAUUUGUGCCAAUCUGAAGAGCCACUAUUGCUCGUUUCAGCGGUACCCCCUAUUGAAAAAAUAUCCAAUGGUGUACCAAAUUCUUCUACGCCUCCUUCUCUUUCAGUUUAUGGCCUCAAGAUUCCACUAAAAUGUUAGCAAAAUAUCGCGCGAGUGUUCUUGGUAGUUUUUCUAAUGCUACAUACGAUUGCAGAAUUAACAGUCUGUCUGAUUCUUGAUAUAUUCAGAUGCGCCGAGAAGCUUACAACCAUGGUUUAAUCCAAUUCUAUCGAUGCUUCUUUUUAAGAGUACGGUCUUGUUUCUCUCUAAGCAAGUUCCUUCCUUGCGCUCUUCCCUGUCUUUCUCUCAACUGAUUUAUUUUCCUCGAUGUAAUGCUCUCAUUCUUAUUAACCAUAAUCUUGUAUCAAAUACUACUGAAAUCGCCUUCUAUUGCCAAUUUUCUCACACGUUUGGUAAUUAAUUCCUAAUACUUAAAGCUAUUAUCACUCUCCGAUAGCGGCGUCAAAAUGUGAUUGCUCGUUUUACUUAUUCUAAAUUAAUCUAAUGGAAAUAAACCCAUAUAGGAGAAUUCAAACACGGGGAAUGAUUAGUUGCUUAAGUGUUCACGUUAGGGUCACACAAUCAAUUACCUCUUGAAUAUAUCGUCUCUAUUUCUAAUAUCUGAACACAUAAGGAAACUAUAAUUUCCUCCUUCACCUUAUCGGUCUCUUCCUUACAGCAAUUCAGUCAUACCAAUAACUACUAUUUCCACCAAUAUAUUCACCCUCAUAAUCUCCAAUUGUAAUACUGCACCCUCACAGCUUUCAGCACACAAUUACCCUCAUUCCAAUUACUGGAAUUCUUCACACAAAACUGCCAUUCACAUUACGGUGAUUCCCACACAUAUACAGACUCAUUCUCUCUGCUGAACUACAAUCAGAUUUCAGCAUUCAAUCUUUCUUCUUCUCAAAUAAUACCAAUCACAUUUCCAUUCCAUAAUUCACUUUACAAUAUUCAGAAACUCUCAAUCCUCUUAUUCAAAGAAAAUAACAAACAAAAGAAAAGAGGUAGCACCAAGCUUACCCCGGCUCACAACUAUCACAGCAAUGGCCCUCGACUCAUGACUAUCACAAUCUGGUACCCUAAUUAACUUCUACAACUCCUAUAUAUUUUCUCCCUAUUCAUCAGAUUCCAAUCGUAAUUAUGUAAUUAACCGCUUUUAAGAACUAAAUCACUCAUCCGUCCUCUUGAAUUUUCUAAUAUAUGGACUAUUAAUAUAUUUUAUCAAUAUCUUUUAAAAAUAAAUUAAUAUCUAUCCUACAAGUAGCAUAGGUAGUAACUUUAUAUAUAGUACGAUAUGCCCAUAAAGUUGCGAACAACUUAGAGUCCCAAUCUGUUCCCGCUCCUGAAAUUAUUUUUGUUAAGAUUUUAAAUAAAAUUCUAUUAGUCUUUUUCGUUUAUCUAUUGACUCUAGGAUGAUACGGUGUAGUCUUACAAUGUUUUAUCUCAUAUUUAGUCAUAAGUGCUUCGAUUGUACUAUUUAUAAAAUGAGUUCUUUAAUCACUAGCCAAUUCUCAUCGACAACCAAACCGUGUAAUAAUAUUUUCAUAUAAAAAAGUUGCUAUUGUAUUUACACUAUCGAUUUUUGUAGCUACGACUUCAGUCCAUUUUGUUACUUAAUCCAUUGCUACCAGUAUAUACCGUUUUUUUCCAUUUCUCGAGGCUGGUGUAAUUGGUCCCACAAAAUCAAUUUUCCAUUUUUCAAAAGGUGCUUGAGCUAAAAUUGGUACCAAUGGCAUUGCUAAAGUUCCAGUAGGUCGACCCGUUUUUUGACAUGGGUCUCAAUGACAGACGAAUUAGUAGACAUCUACAAACAUUAUUGGUCACCAAUAAGCAGCUUGUAAAGCUUUAUGAGCCAUGCUGUCCUCCGCAAAAUAUCCACCACAAUUGUCCAAGUGGCAAUCUUCCAAUAUAGUACUCACUUGAGUCUGAUAAAUACAGCAUCGCAAAACUCCAUCCUUGCCUUGUUUAUAUAAAGCUUCACCAAUCAUCGUAUAAGAUGCACAUUUUAAUAUUAAGAGUCAUUUAAGCUUUUCAUUAAAAUUAGAUGGAAAGGUUUGAAAUGUCAAGUAUUGAAUUAUUUCGCUAUACUUCAAAAUAAUUACAUCUACCUCAAAUAGUUCCGCAUUGGAUAGUGCAUUGUUAAUGGAUUCAUUACCCAAUAUAUUGUAUAAUCAAAAUAAAUAGUCUACAUUAGAAUGUGAUUUUCUUAAUCUUACCUGAAUAGUAAAGUCAAAUUUCUGCAAUAAUAAAAUCCAUCGUGCAAUACGACCACUCAAUUGAGGCUUAUGAAUCAUAUAUUUUAAAGCAUCAUGGUCGACAUGGAAAACAAAUUUAUAACCAAGAAGAUAAUGUUGAAACUUUUGUAUGGAAUAAAUCAUCUCUAAUGUUUCUCUUUUGGUUGUUGUAUAAUUUCUUUCAACUGCUUCUAAUUGACGUCUUGCAUAAUAAAUAGGAUGAUCAAAAUCCUAGUCAUCUUUCUGACUUAGCAUAAAACCAAUUGUGAUAUUAGAUGCAUCCACAUAAACUUGGAAUGGUUUUGUCACCAAUAUUGGAGCUAAAACUAAUUUUUGUUUCAAUGUUUCAAAUGCAAUUGUACAUUCUUUUGUCCAAAAUGGACUAGUUCCAUCGAUUGGUGGUUUCUUCAAGAGAUUUGUGAAGACAAGGCAUAUAACUCCAAAUAGAUAGAUAAAUCGUUGAUAAUAACUGAUAUGGCCGACAAAUACUCGAACAUCCGUAAUACUAUCUAGUUGUUUUAAUUCUACUAUAAUCUUUAUUUUAUCCGGAUCUAUAGCAAUGCUUGCCAUCGAAACUAUAUGACCCAAUAGUUACCAGAAGGGACACCAACUUGAUAUUUUUUUGAAUUUAAAGAAAUUCCAUAUUUGGUAUAUUAAUUCAAACAUUGACCUAGACAUUCUAAAUGCUUGGUUCUUGUAUUAAAUGUACAGAAAUCAUUUAGAAAUAUUUCCAUUGAAAUUCGUAGAUAAUCUUAGAACGCUUGCCUCAUUAUCCUUUGAAAUGUUGCUGGUACAUUACAAAGCCCAAAUGGCAUAACCUUAUAGGCAAAGGUCCCUUAAUCCAUAGUAAAAGUAGUUUUUAACUGAUCUUCUUUUGUAAUUUUAACUUGAUUAUAACCGAAGAAUUCAUCAAGAAAUGAAUAACAUUCAUGUCUAGCGACAACAUCCAAUAUAGUAUCCGUGAAUGGUAAAGGAAAAUAAUCCUUCUUUGUAGCCGCAUUUAAUUUGCAGAAACCUUGACAGAUGUAAACUUUUCUAUUCUUUUUCAGUACCAUAAUAAUUGAUAAAAUCCAUUCACUGAAAAGAACUGGAUAGAUAAAUCCAACCUCUAAGAAUUUAUCCAGUUCUUCUUUUACCAUAAGUGAGUAUUUUGGAUUAAGUCAAUGUUGUCUUUGGCAUACUGGUAUAGCAUUCUCCUCCAAUAAAAUUUGAUGCUCACAAACUUCAGCUGGAACUCCUUUCAAAUCUGUAUAUGACCAUGCAAAAGUAGUUUUAUACGUUAAAAAAUAAUCCAUCUAAAUUUCUUUCUCCUUGCCUUUUAUACCAUCCUAAAUUUGAAUGAUUUGAGGAGCCUCCUCUGUACCUAAAUUAAUUGAUUGACAUUGUGGAAUUUCAAGAGUCUCUGGAAUAAUGUUCUACUCAAUUCCAGAAUCUUUCAUAAAAUCUGAUAAAUUAGAACUUUUCAACUCCAGUUCCAUAGCACUAACUUGAAUAACAUCCUGUCUAUUCAUGCAAUAUACAAUCAUAUGAUUAGAAUCGCCAAUAAAAUCUGGAGGAACUAAGUACUCUCCCGGUCUCCUACACUGGUAUUUUAUUCUAGUGUGCUCAACAACUUGCCUUGUAUCAGUAUAAAUUAGAACAUGUGUACCAAUUUCUUCUUCUAUAGACUCAUCUUCACAAUCCAACGUGAAUUGUGAAUUAGCAAAUUGAGUUUCUCCGUAAUAUUGGAUAGGUACAUUUGAAGCACAAUUUUAUCAUUACCUUUCCCAAUUGUCAAUGUACCACAACCUAGUCAUUUAAUUUGAUACAACCAUGAUUGCCCCAAUAAAAUUGAGUUUGAAAAUAUAGAGUUUCGCAAUAAAAAAACAAUAGAAUCAAUUUUGUAGGUAAUCCCCGCAAUUAUUGUAUCAAUACUUCAUAAAAUACCCAUAGAUUUAACUCAAAUAGAGUCAGCCAUUCUCAAAACCAUUGUAGUAGGCAAUAAGUGAUCCAAAUCCAACUCCUUCAUUGUAGAAGCAUUCAUAAGAUUUACACUAGAUCCUCUAUCUACUUGCACUCUCAAUAAUAAUAUGCCAUCAAUUGAGACAUCAAUCAUACGUACACCUGGAUCGGGAUUCAAACUUACUUCUCGGAUUUCUUUAUUUUGAGUUCUGCGACAAAUUAAUGAGGAAUUCAAGAUAGUUUGGUACUCAAGUGCUACCGCCAAUAGUUGCUUUAUAGAGAUCGUGGGCUAUAUGGUGCCCAAAUCUAUUAGAAUAUCAUAUGGUUUUAUAUUAGUCCUAAUUCUCAAUGUCUGUUUCUUCUUCCCAGUCCUAAACACGGAUGUAGGUAAAUUGGUUUUUUCUAUAUUAAAAAUUGGUAAAGCUAUUGGAAUUAAAUUUGAUGGAGCCUAUAAAAUCGAUUCUUUUAACAGAUAAGAUUAUUCUCCCAAUUAGGCUGAUAUUGGUUCCUUAGAAUUCAAGCCUCUGAGAGAAUCUUUCAACGAAAAGGACGUGUUUCAAAAGUGUGUAGAGAACGGAACAGCUUGAAACAGAACCAAAGCCUCCAUAUUCGGUACCUCAUUAGGGUGCACAACCGAUUCAAGUCUUAUACUGUAUAAGCGGCCCAUGUCAGGACCUAUAUUAGAUGGCCCCGUAAUUGGGUCCAAUUGGCCGUUUGCUUCAAGAUCACCUAAAUGUUGAAUUAGUCCUUUCUUCUUUUGCUGACUCCUGAUAAGAACAACUUUGAUACAUUCCACCAAAUUUACUGAAGAAUCUUGAGGACCUUGAUUUAUCUCCUCUAUUUUUCCUUGGCUUUGGAUGUACUGAUCUUGAUUAUUAAAAUUGAACGGAGCAUUACAUUGUUGAUAAGUAUGUCCCGAUUGCUUGCAAUUUCUAUACAGUGGUGCAUAAUCGUCACUUACUUUAGGAUUAGGACAUUCAUUGGCAUAAUGAUCAAUUUGUCUGCAAUGAAAACAACGAAGUGGUCUUCUUGCACUCCCAUCAGGCAUAUUGGGUGUCUCCAUUGGUAUAUACCUACUAGGCUUGUUCUAUAUAGGUUUAGAAAAUGAUCCUGGUUGUCCCGUUAGUACGGAGGAUACUUGGUUCAAUCACGCUGGUGGAGUAUAUUGCUGAUACCUCUACUGCUCUUUCUUGUAGGUCAGGGAAUUUGAUAUAAAUUUCUGAUUAAAAUUAGAACUUUGAAAGUUAUUGAAUGCUCAAUUUUGUCGAUUAAAUCGAUUUCGAUUCCAUCCAUAUGUAUUUCUCGUUAGAAUUGAUUGACAUCCCACUGACUCGGUGAGAUCAUAGUCUGAUUACUAAAUUGUUGUUGCUUUUGCCAAUUCCAACAAUUAGGUGUUAAGUAUUUUCCUCCACAAAAUGUACAUUGAACACCCAUUGCUUUGAGUGAUAGACAUUCCGUAUCAAAAUGACCUUGUCCCUUACAAUUAUUACACCAUACAUUAGGUCUCGUAUUAAAAGGCUUACGUCAUUUUUUCUUAUCUUUAGCCAAAUUCAUGGCCAAUUCUUCCAUCUUCUUUGUUAGAUUUAAUAACAAGGCUUCAUUUGAAUCUUUAACAGUCGUAUUUGUGAAUAACUUUGAUUGUUGAUAGGUUGGCGAUGUAAAAUAAGGUAUCAUUGUUAUUGGCGCUAUUUCUUGGAGUAGAGUAGCAUUAAUUGACUUAGCAAUAAUAAGACUCUACUGAUUCCUCUGCAAACAUCCUGCUAUUCAUCAAACUUUCUCAAAGCCGAUCUUCAAAUCCAAUUGGUCUAAAAUGGAUUAGGAAGGCCUUCCUAAAGGCCUCUCAAUUGAGAAAUCUAUCUAUUGGUUGUCGAUUAUACCAUUCAAAAUUUGUAUCUUUUAAAGUUGCUGGCAACCAUUUCAACCAAAUGUCUUCAAUUCUACCAUUAUUAGUCACGGAAGUUGUCAAGAAUUGAGAUAUAUGCUCAUAUGGAUCAGAGCCCGGUCAACCAUUAAAAGUAGGUAAUGGUGCCACACUUAUAGUGCGGUCUCUUACUGCUCCUAUUUGUACUGCAAUAUAUACUUCUGGCACUCUCACGGCUAUUGGUGUUAUCACUAGUCUCCUUGCUAUUUGAAUUUGAUUUUUUCUUCCUUUGAUUUUUCUUAGACCUACAAUCCUUUUUUGUCGUUCCUGUAGGAGAUUUCUUAUGCAUAAUCGUUCUUGUCUUUCUUUUGCUUAUCAAUUAAUUCUUUGAUAAUCCUCCUCUCAUGAUUAUCACUCAUAAUCUUUCAUUCUUCUUUACAAAAUCAAUACUUCCUUGAAUUAUAACUCACAUAUUUCUAACCCUAAAAGUGAUUCUUCUCACGUUCUCAAUCAAUAUAUAAUUCCAUCUGCCAUACAAUCAAUUUCUAACAUUUCAUAUUGUUAUCAUUUCCUGACAGCGGUGCCAAAAUGUUGUUCUCGUUGUGUUCGAGCCUAAGCAGACCAAAGCCAUUGAACUAAUAGAAGAGGCUUCGAACACAAGAAAAGACUAGUUAUAAGAAUUGGAUCUGUUAGUGUCGCAAUUUACUGUACUCUUGCUAUCUGAAAUCAAUUAACAAACUACAAAAAACCAAGGCUUACUACUUCCGUCUUAAUUCAAUAUAUAAUCUAUUCUACGAAUAUCAAUUGAAAAAUACUUCCAUAUUCUUAUCAAUUCAUCUCCCACUUAUUCUCUUUGCGGUUUAUAUAUAUUCAAUUACUAAUUUCUAGCUUAUUUAUUAUAUUUAGUUUUUCAAUUCAUCACACAAAAUUCAAUAUCUUCACUUAACACAACACAAUUUGAUAAUCUCAAUUCUCAAGGUCACAGAUUUUCUCCAAAAUGGUCAGUCCAAAGUCAUAUUCCAUAAUAUUCUAAUCACAGUUUCAACAAUACUUCUCUCAAUCACAAUUCUUCAUAAGAAAAUAAUAAAAGCAAAGAAAACAAAGAGGUAGCACCAAACUUAUCCCUGUCAUGGACAUACUCAUGUAACCUACUAAUUACAUAUAUAAAUAAAUAGAAUUAAGUAAAAAUAGAUAAAAGUAAAUUAAUUCUAUAAUAUUUGAUAUAGAAGCUUCUUAGAAGCUUUAUAGACGCUGCUUUGACUUCAUAGGUGUCUUUAAUUGACUUUUUGGAUUAAAAACGUGAUCAACAAGUUGGCCAUGUACCACACAUGUUGUUAGCUUGAAGACCAAGCUAACUAUGUGGCCUACAUGUAGAAAAACUUGCCUUGUAAGUCAAGGCAAGUAUCCUACAAAGUCACCACAUAUUAGAGGUCCUAUAGAACGUUGCUACGUAGCCCCUAGUUAGAUAGUAUAUAAAGAGACAAGAGUGAAGCCUUCUUCACUCUUGUCAACUCCUUUCUUAUUUCCAGUCUAGUUUCAAGAGACGUCAUAUUUUCUAAUCUUUGGCAAUAGCCAUUCUAGUUCAAUAUAUUAUCACCUUUGAGUGAUUUUUAAGUAUUUUUGAGUGACACAAGAGUUUAUUGAGAUUAUCUUUCUUUGGAAUUCAUGUCCGUGAUAUUUUGACAAGAGUGCUAACAUAUUAUUUCUUUCUGGUUCUAAAAGUGAGUGAAUUACCCAACUUCUAUUAUUAUAUUUUGAAGGUUACGGACUACUCACUUUUAAAUAAAAAAUCUUAUUUUCUAAUAUUGAUCUUUUUCUUAAAGAGAGUGGAUUAUCCUUCUUUGUGGAAUUUAUUUUUAGAGGUUGCGGAUUAUCCUCCUCUUAUUUAAUUUGUGAAUUUAUUUGAGUUGUCUAUGGAAGGAAAAAUCAUGGAUGCUACACUUAGUGGAAGUGAAAAUAGAUUUGCAACUAUUGCAGUUCUUCAUGACCUUAUCAACAUUCUUAGGACCGAAAUUUCACGCAUCACCAACACCAACCAUGGAAGCACUAUUCCUACUAUUAUGGAAGAAAUUCAGAGUCUACGCCAAGAAGUUGUGCAGUUGAAGGAAACAAGUCGAUAAGCCUCGCAACCAAAUUUUGAGAGUUUUUCUUCUACAAAUUGAAGAGAGGCAAGGAUUAAUAUGCCUGAAAAGUUUGAUGGAACAAGAUAAGAUUUCAAGGGUUUUUACAAAAAGUUAAACUCUACUUAAGGUUGCAUACUUUCCAAUACCCUAAUGGAUUUACUCAAGUUGGAUUCAUAGGUGCACUUCUAUUUGGAAGUGCUCUCUCUUAGUUCAUACCUUUGAUGGAAAAAAAUUCACCACUACUCUAUGAUUUGAACUCAUUCUUGAAAUUAUUUACAGCUACAUUUGGAGAAAGUGAUCAAGAAAAGGUAGCAGAGACUAAGCUUGUAUCACUAUGACAAGGAUCACAUUCAACCACCAUGUAUGUCGCUGAAUUCCAAAGUCUUGCUUAUCAUGUGGACUAAAAAGAUAAAACCCUUAUCAAUCAUUUUUACUAUGGAUUAAAGAAUAAUAUCAAAGAUUUGUUAUUAAUAAUGCAAAAAUAGAUUCUUUAGAAUAAUUCAUUACUCAAGCUAUUAGAUGUGAUAAUCAUUUAUUUGAAAGACGUCAAGAACAAAAAUAUGGCUGGAGAGGAACAAGGCAAGUCAUGGCAAUACCUUCUAAGUUUUUGAAAACCUUUCCAUCAAGGCUAGAGCCAAUGCAAAUUGAUAUGAUACGUUUUAAAUCCCUCAAAGAGCAGAAAAAGACUUGACGACACCAAAAGGGCUUAUGUCUAUAUUGUGAAAAAGCUAAACAUAGUGCUCAACAUUGUCCAAGGAAGCAACGCAAUCACAAAAUGAGGAAUAUGAUUGCAAAAGAAGACAAUGUCUCAAAAAACAAGUUCCUCCAACUACAAUAGAAACCGUGCGGUUGGAACCAUGUGCAACAUUUAGUCAAGGUUCUAUUCUCUCCUCAGAUCCCUUACCUUGUUUUAUAAUAGAUGUGUGUUUAGGAUCCAAAAAUCAUAAAGUCUUUGCAUUAUUAGAUUCAGGAGCCUCAGCUUGUUUCAUGGAUGAAGACUUUGUCAAAAAAUAAGAAAUAUCGUUAGUCAAUAAAAUCAAACUCAUACAUAUGGAAGUCAUAGAUGGUCAUUCGUUGUGUUCUGGUGAUGUUAUCUAUGAGACAAUUCCUUUAGAUGUAGUAAUUAAAGAUCAUAAUAGUAUAGUAAUAUUUAAUGUGAUACAAUCUCCUUUGAAUCCAGUCAUUUUAGGACUAUCCUGGUUAAAAAAGUACAACCUUCAAAUAGAUUGGAUUUUCCAUAACCUUAACUUCUCUAGUAGUUUAUUUCGAAAUUCUAUUAAUCAAGAGAAAAUAUAUAAGUCUAGUGCAUCAAGUCCUUACAAGUAGAGGCAAGAGCUUUCAUGCAUGCAGCCAAAGAUGGGUCAUCUUUUGCUAUAUAUGCCAUGCCCAUUUCAGAUAGUGAAAAGACGUCAAGUGGUAUUUCUAAUCAAUAUCAAGAAUUCCAAGAUAUUUUUGAGAAGACCAAUGCAGAUAUUCUUCCAAAACAUUGACCUUAUGAUUGUUCAAUUGAUCUUCAAGAAGGAACUCAAUUGCCAUUUGGACCAAUCUAUAGCUUAUUACAAAACGAGUUUGCUACACUAAAGGAAUAUAUUGACGAGAAGUUUGCUAAAAACUUCAUACGCCAUUCAAAAUCUCUAGUGGGAGUGCCGAUCUUAUUUGUGAAGAAAAAAUAUGGAUCUCUACGGAUGUGCGUAGAUUAUCAAGGCCUUAACAAGAUCACCAUCAAAAACAAGUAUCCUUUACCUUUGAUUUCAGGACUUUUUGAUCAACUCAAUCAAGCAAAGUUCUACACAAAAAUAGAUCUAUGAGGAGCAUACAACUUGGUCCACAUCAAAGAAGGAGAUGAAUAAAAGACUACUUUUCAAACUAGAUAUAGACAUUUUGAAUAUAAUAUCAUGCCUUUUGGACUCACAAACGCACUAGCUGCUUUUCAACAUCUUAUGAAUGAUGUUUUUCGUGAGUUUUUAGAUGAUUUUGUCGUUUAUUAUUUAAACGACAUUCUAAUCUACUCUAAGAACACAAAAGAACAUGAACUCCAUAUUCAUCAUAUGUUACAAAAACUAAGAGAUGCAAGAUUAUAUGCCAAGUUGAAAAAGUGUGUAUUUCACACUACUUAAGUUGACUUUUUAAGAUACAUCAUUUCCAACGAAGGCCUGAUGUUGGAUCCUAAGAAGGUCCACACUAUCAUAGAUUGGAAGAUUCUAAGAACAGUAUGAGAUAUGCAAUACUUUUUGGGCUUUGCAAAUUACUAUCGAAUCUUCAUCAAUAACUUUUCUUAAGUUGCAGCUCCACUUACGCGUUUAACUUGUAAAGACAAAUUUGAGUGGAGUAAAGAAGUUAAAGUAGCAUUUGUUGCUUUAAAGAAAGAAUUUACUUCUGCACCAAUCUUGUAUCACAUCAAUUUUUCCAAGGCAUUUUUUAUAGAAACAGAUACAUCAGACUUUGCCUUAGGUGUCGUUUUGUCACAAAUGGGAGCAGAUGAUAAGCUCCAUCUAGUAGCUUUCUUUUCCAAGAAAUUUUCAGCAAUUGAGAUUAACUAUGAAAUCCAUGAUAAAGAGCUUCUUGUAAUUAUGGAUUCAUUUCAAGAAUGGCAUCAUUAUCUAGAAAGCACCUCAAGUCCUAUCACCGUAUAUAUGGAUCAUAAGAACCUCGAGUAUUUCAUGUCAGCAUGCGUAUUAAAUCGUCGUCAAGCUCGUUGGAGCAUGUCUUUAUCAAGAUUCGAGUUCAUCAAUUCUUAUCGACCAAAAAAACAACAAGGUUUGUCGGAUGCCUUGUUUAGACGUUCAUAUCUUGCCCUAAAAUAAAGAGAUGCAACUUUUGAGCAACAAAGAAUGGUUCUUUUGAAGCGAGAGUACUUUUAUCUUUGAGCAAUAAAAUCAACAUUGACUAUUGAUUAAACUUUUCUCAAGCAAGUCCAGUUAAGUAUGUCUUCAGACCUUCUUGUUCACGAUAUCAAGAAUAAUUCUUCUAAAUCUCAUGAUCCCUCUAAAUUCGAGUUCAAGAACAACCUACUCUAUUUCGAAGGAUGCCUAUAUGUUCUAGAAGGAGAAGCAUGUUUACGUGUUCUUCAAGCUUGUCACGACUUUCCAACAGCAGGGCAUUUUGGAUACAAUAAGACUUAGGAGGUGAUAUCUAGGAAUUUUUGGUGGCCUCAAAUGUGGAAGGCAGUCAAAGAUUUUGUAUAAUCAUGUGAUGUUUGCUCAAGAACAAAAAUUCCACGUCAUUGACCUUUUAGACUUCUUCAGCCAUUAUCCAUUCCAGAACAUUCAUGGUCUUCUGAUUCUAUGGACUUCAUCACAGAUCUUCCAAGUUCAAGUUCUUAUGAUUCUAUAUUUGUGAUAGUAGAUUGCUUCACCAAGAUGGCACAUUUUGUGCUAUAUACAAAAUCCAUCACGGGUGAAGAAACAACUAAGUUUUUUAUUGAUAAUAUCUAUCGCUAACAUGGGUUAUCAAAGGAUAUUAUAUCGUAUAGGUGAAUUCAAUAUGUAUCACGAUUUUAGAGAACCCUUUUUAAUAUUUUACAAGUGGAUAUAAAACUAUCUUCGACUGUUCAUCUUCAAACUGAUGGACAGACAGAGCAUAUAAACCAAGUCUUAGAACAAUACUUAAGAUGUACUAUCAACUAUCAACAAGAUGAUUGAACAACUCUUCUGCCAUUAAUAAAGUUUGCUUUUAAUAAUAUGGUGUAUUCUUCUACGCAACAAACACCUUUCUUUACCAAUUAUUGUUAUCAUCCACGACUUGACACGUUUGAUUUUUUAAAAGUUGAUAAUCCUACGGUUGAAGAUAUGGCAAAUUUGUUGUCUGAGUUAUAUGUAAUAAUGAAGGCAUAAUUAAAAAAAGCUUAAGAAUGACAAAAGAUAAAUAUAGAUGUCUAUUGAAAGGAACAACCACCAUUCCACAUGGGCGAUAAGAUAUGGUUACUUCAUCACAAUAUCAAGACCACUUGUCUUUGUGACAAGUUGGACUAUCGAAGGCUUGAACCAUUUUCUAUUUCUGUACAAAUCAAUUUAGUUGCAUAUCGUUUACAUCUACCAAAGUCAAUGAAAAUCCAACCAGUAUUCCACGUGUCUCUUCUUGAAUCAUACAAGAUAGUGGACAUAUCAAGAAGACAAUAAGCUCCACCUCCUCCUAUAGAAGUAGACAAUAAUGAAGAGUUUGAAGUAGAAGAAGUCUUAGAUUCAAGGCGACGCCAAAAUAAAUUAGAAUAUCUUAUCCAUUGGUGCGGAUAUGAUAUUAGUGAAUGUACAUGGGAGCCAAUAAAGAAUCUUGUAAAUGUAGUAAAGGCGGUGGAGGCUUUUCAUCGACAACAUCUAUCAAAACUAAGAUUAAAAUCUUUUUUAUAAAAGAAACAAGAUCUAUACAAGAUAACAUUCUACUUUUAAUCAUUAUUUGUAGCUUCUUUGUAACGAGAUAAAGAACCAAAAACCAGCGGAUUCGACUCAAGAGCCUUCAUUUGUUGACCUACCGGAUGAGACAUUACGAUUGUCUCAACCUUCAAGACGUCACAAUCAAGAUGAAGAUCUUGAAGAAUGACAUGUUCUUCCUCGAAUACAUGGCGAGAUAUAACGCGUUUGGUAUCAAGACCUUGGAAGGGACUUCCAAUGUUUGAUGAUUUUACUAGAGGUAGGAACAAUUCCUGAUGGUGUUCCAAAUGUUCUAUUCGAAGGAAGUUAUGAAGGCCUCAAAAAUGACCAAAUAAUUGGGUGGUCUUCAUGCCUUAGUAUAGGACACUACCAAUGGUUGAGAGGUCCUAUCAAUCAUCUUCAAAGAGAAUAAAGAUUAGAGUAUGUGGCAAAUAAAAUUUUUCACAUCAUAGAUUUCUUCAAUAUAUGAUGACCGUUCCUUAUGGAACUCGUUCCUAGAAGGGAGGGUAAUGUCACAGACAUACUCAUGUAAGCUAGUAAUUACAUAUAUAAAUAAAUAGAAGUAAAUAAAAGUUGAUAAAAGUAACUUAAUUCUAUAGUAUUUGAUAUAGAAGCUUUCUAGAAGCUUCAUAGACUCUACUUUGACUUCAUAGGUAUCUUUAAUUGACUUUUUGGAUUAGAAACAUGGUCAACAAGUUGGUCAUGUGCCACACAUGUUGUAAGCUUAAAGACCAAGCUUAUUAUGUAGCCCACACAUAGAAAAACUUGCCUUGUAAGUCAAGGCAAGUGUCCUAUAAAGUCAACACAUAUUGGAGGUCCUAUAGAACGUCGCCAUGUAGCCUCUAGUUAGAUAGUAUAUAUAGAGAGAAGAGUGAAGCCUUCUUCACUCUUAUCAACUUCUUUCUUAUUUCCAGUCUACUUUCAAGAGUCGUCAUGUUUUCUAGUCCUUGGCAAUAGCCAUUCUAGUUCAAUAUAUUAUCACUUUUGAGUGAUUUUUAAGUAUUUUUGAAUGACAUAAGAGUGUAUUGAGAUUAUCUUUCUUUGGAGUUCAUGUCCCUGAUAACCCCGGCUUAUGACUCUCACACUCUUGCCCCAAUCUCCAUUUUCUCAAUCUCUUUAUCCUAUCAAAAGAUGGACCGUCGGCCAGCAGAUUCUAAAGGUUAUGAACCUUUGAGUUCUUAACUAUUUGUUCCACUAAGAACCUACUAUUACCAACUAAACUACCUAACCAUAAGUCAAAUUUUGAAGGUUGUCAAUAACCAAUGAGUAACUUACCACAAAAUUUAUUUACCUAUUCUACAGAAUCACAUUGCUUUUCUACAAGAACCUUAAAUUCUUUGAAUCUAAAAAAGUAAUCACUCUUAUAUUUGAUGAUAUAAAUUCACAUCUUCCUUAAAAAGUCAUCAAUGAAUGUAAAAAAGUAUUAUGCUCCUCCUAUUGAUGGUAUUGUUAUAGGUCCACAAACAUCAAAAUGUAUAAUUUCCAACAACUUAUUGGCACGUAUUGCUACUCCACUUAGAAAUUAGGUCCUUUGUUGUUUGCUUUAAAUAUAACCUUCACAAGAAAGUAUAUUGGUAUUUUGGCUAAAUUGACCAAGAUCUAUGCCACUUACCAUGAAUUGGAGUUCUUUCAUGUUCUUGGCAUUCAAAUAACCAAGGUAUCAAUGCUAAAUGCCAAACUUUUCUUCAUCAAGUGAAAACUUAGCAAAUGUGGCUAUUUCAAUUCUAUUCACCUCUUACUUUUGACAGAAUAAAGGUUGCCAUCUCUAAAGCCCUUAGCAACAUCAUCUCUAUCCAAUGUCUUUAAAAAAUAUUUAUUCUUAUCAAAUUGUAUCUUAGAACCAUAUAAAAUUAAUUUAUUCAUUGAUAUCGGGGUAGAGAGAGUUUGUCUCAAGAAAGCGCUAGGCUUUUGGCUACCACUAAAUAUUCAAUCAAGUCUAAGAAAUAAAAAUACCAAAUUCAUAUAUAUAAUAUUUUUUCUUUUUGGGCAAUUUCAUCAAUACAUAAGCCCAAGUGCCAAGAAAACACCCAAAUAUAUGAUAAAGUAUCUUAAUAUCUUAUAUAUCCUUAUGAGAAAUGUUUCUUAAACUUCAACAGCUCAUAUCUCACGAUUGGACUAUCCAAACAAUCCUAAAUUUUAUUUAAAGUACUAGUAUACUUUUAAAAACUACCACAAAAAAAUUCAAUUGCAAAUUCAUUACGGAUCUUGAGAUAUCACCAAAAUCCUAAUAGUAGCUUUAAACCCUAACUUACAGAUACUUGCGUGCUAUUUUCUUUAUAUCUCACAAAAUAAGUACUCAAACACCAUGAAACUUUAAUCUAUAGCUUUUUAAUCUAAUAACACAUACUUAAAAAAAAAUUGAGCUAAAAAUUCAUCCAGAAACUCAAGAUAUGGCUCCAACCAUUACUAUCAACAAAAUGACUCACUUACUGCCUUUGAAUUACAUGUGCUGUCUUCAAUGCCCUAUAACUCCUUCAUUUAGACUUAAAAUUCAUCAAAUUAUAUAUGUAAAAUAUAGGUAAGAAAGUGUUCUCUGUAAUUUUAGAUGCUGAUUAUUUAUCGCUCUCUAUGCGCAUAUGUUAUACUUCAAAGAGUGACAAUAGAUACAAAUUUGACACCUCAAAUUUGAAUACCUAUAUCUCCUUCACAAAAACUCGAAAUCACAAAAAAUCUUCACCCAAAUUAUACCAAAAAUCCUGAAUUUAUUGACUUUGGCCUCUAAAGCUUGAAUGACUUCGAAAAAAAAACCCUAAUCCUUAAUAAGGCCAUGCACAGCUUCCUUGAAGCCCAUUGGGCAUAGCCUUUGACCAAUAGGAAUGAAGAUCCCCAUUCCUUACCUUAAUCCAACCAUGCCUUGCUUUCAUCCCAAUAAGCCUCUUAUUAGUUAAGAAUUUUUUCUUUAGGCUCUAAUCUCAACUCAAGGCUUCACACUAACAUUUAGGUUCUAUAAUGUUUUUGAAAUGCUAUAAUUAAAAAGAUAAAAUUCAAAAUAAAGUUUCUUAAAUCCACUCUCUUUAAACUAAUCUAUUAACCAUUCUAACAUACACCAAGACUUAUGAACAUAUUAUAUGUUCUAACUAAUUUUUACAUACUAUAAGGAUUUUUAGUAUGACACCAAAAAGAAAUUUUUCUUGAUUUUGGAUACAUACAAGAUAUCCUUCAAUCUAAUCCUCUUUGUUUGUCCUUUCACAACAAUAUCUAUUACAAUCAAGCCUAUUCCAAUAGCUUGUACUAUGCCAUUGUCUCCAAUAAAAAUAUUUGUUGUUGAAAUUUCUUCAUAAGUGUCAAAUGAACACUUGUAUAGUGCCAUGUACUUGGUGAAAUCUGAAUCAACAAUCUACUUGGACAUGGGAGCCAUAGAGGUGCCUUCACUUGCCAUGAAUGCAAAAUAAUCUCCACCAAAUUGUUCAUGUACAUUGUUGGUACUUUUUCUAUCUAUUUUUUUGGCUUUGUAGUAAUUUUGUAUAAUAUGACCUAGUUUUCUUCAAAUGAAGCAAGUUUUGACAUUACUUUGUUGAUAUGAAUGGUUGCCCUUGCUUUGACAUGAAUAAAGUAUUGAAUCUUCACUAUGAGGUACUUUUUCUUUCUUCUUGGUCACUUCAUGCAUAAGUCUUGUCGUCACAUAGUCCAUUGUAAGUUUGUUCAACUUGAUGGACUUCAAUGCUAUAAUGAGGUAAUUAUAGGAUUUGAGAAGAUUCAUCAAGAAGGACAUGACAAUAGCACUGAAACAAGACCAGACUAUUUCAAAAAUCUAAGAUCCUUUUAUUCUAGAAUAACAUAAAAUCUUAUCUCAAAAUAUGAUAAAAUAGAAUAAAACAAAAUUCAUUGAACUACAUAGAAUAGGACGUGAAUGACAAUUUAGCAGACAAAAAUAGAAAAAAUAUAACAAAAGGAUGCAAAACCAAACUUUACUAAGAAAAAGGGUCUGAAGCCAUACUUGACCAAAUAUUCCAAAAGGCCAAAGCUAGUUUUAUUUAUACUUUAUCUUAAUACCCUAGAUUUUCUAAAAUGUUCUUAGAUAGUAGGCUCUACUUAAAUAAUUGCCUUAAACUCAAUUUCUAGAAGAUUCUAUGGUAGAUUAUAUCAAAAUAACCAUCCUAAACCUUUUUUAAAAAGAUUCAUGAUAAGCCAUAUCUAAAUGAUUGCCUUAAACUCUUCUAAAAUGUUCCAUGGUGGUCCUAUCUGAUCUACUAACCUAAUACUAAUUCUAGAAACUUCCAUGAUUCUAAUUAUUUAUAUAAUUAUCUUUUCUAUACUUUGUUAUAAGCUGUCACUGACAUACUCAUGUAAGCUAAUAAUUACAUAUACAAAUAAGUGGAAGUAAGUAAACAUAGGUAAAAAUAAGUUAAUUCUAUAAUAUUUAAUAUAGAAGCUUCAUAGAUGCUGCUUUGACCUCAUAGGUGUCUUUAAUUAACUUUUUGGAUUAAAAAAGUGGUCAACAAGUUGGCCAUAUGCCACACAUAUUGUUAGCUUGAAGAUCAAGCUAACUAUGUGGCCCACACGUAGAAAAACUUGCCUUGUAAGUCAAUGCAAGUGUCUUACAAAAUCAACAAAUAUUGGAGGUCCUAUAGAACAUCGACACAUAGCCUCCAAUUAGAUAGUAUAUAUAGAGACAAGAGUGAAGCCUUCUUCAGUCUUGUCAACUCUUUUCUUGCUUCCAGUCUAGUUUCAAGGGUCUCUAGUUUUCUUGUCUUUUGGCAAUAGCCAUUCCAGUUUCUCUUUCAAUAUACAUACUUGGUUAUUUAUAUUUUGUUACCUUUCUUUGAGUGAAGGCUCACUUGUCUGAAUUACUUUUUUUCAUCGAGUUCUUAUCCUUGACAGAUUGACAAGAGUACACCUAUAAUAUCAUAGUUUUGUCUAAUCUUGAUUAAGGGUGGAUUACCCCUUUUUCUUGAUAAAAUAUAAAGUAUAUUAGAAGUUGCGGAUUACCCUCUUCUAAACUGAUAUUGUUCUUAGUAUUUUCUUUAUUCCCAAGUCCUCUCUUCUAUUUAUCUUGAGUGUUAUUAGACAUCUUCUCUUUUUUAAGUGUUAUCAUAGUAGAACUUGUUGAAAUAAAGAAUACAAUGGCACAAAUGCAAGAGCAAAUGAGGGAAUUAAUGCUUGUGAUGCAUCAACUCAAUUUACCACCACAAGGAGCAACAAGAUUGGUAGGAAGUGAAGAUAUAGAAAUGGUUGGAGCUGCUUCAAUAUCUGCACCAAACCAUGUCCUUUCUCCUAUGGUGGAAUGCCCUUCCAGUGUUAGAGAACCAAGAAUUGCCCUACCCAAGAAGUUUGAUGGCACUAGAUUCAAGUUUCGAGGAUUUAUCAAACAAGUAGUACUUGUAAUUGAACUUCAAUCCCAAAGCUAUCCAACUCCAGGAUCGUAAGUUAGAUUCAUUGGUACGCUUCUUUCAGAUUUAGUACUAUUGUAGUUUUUAUCUUUUCUUGAACGACGAGAUUCAAUAUUAGAUAAUCUAGAGGCUUUUCUGAUAGAGUUUCGAUCCAUGUAUGGAGAACAUGAUGCAAUUCGUAUUGCAACUAAUAAGAUCCAUAUUUUACGACAAUGCAAUCGAUCAGUAACGUUGUACGCUUUACAAUUUCAAUACCUUGUAACUGAUAUCGAGUGGAAUGAUGCUGUACUUAUUAGCCAAUUUCUCUACGGAUUACAAUAUGAGGUAAAAAACUUAAUACUCAACUUACAUGAUCCUCAAAUAUUGAGUCAAGCAAUUGACUUUCCUGUGAAGUGCGACAAUCACCUAUUUGAAUUUUGAUCUGAGAACCGUACAAGUAGACCUCAAUGUUACUAUAAUUCAAUGGCAAUACCAACACCUCUUCAAAACAUACAUUUGGAAGUAGAGGAUAUGCAAAUUGAUGCAGUACGUUUCAAACUUAUUACUGAGCAAGAAAAGACUCGUCAUCGUCAAGAAGGAUUAUGUUUAUAUUUUGGAAAACCAAAGUACAUUGCUCAACAUUGUCCAAAGAAAUGACGCAAUCACAAAAUGAGGAGUAUGGCUGUGAAAGAAGAUAAUAUGUCGAAAAACAAGUUUAUUCAGCUAUAAUAGGGACCGUGCGACUGGAACCUUGCACAACAUCUAAUAAAGGUCCUAUUCUCUCCUCAGAGCCCUCUCCUUGUUUUAUAUUAAAUGUUAUUUUAGGACCUAAAUAUUACAAAGCCUCUGCCUUGUUAGAUUCAAGAGCCUCUGCAUGUUUCUUAAAUGAAGAAUUUACUAAAAGACAUAGCAUAUCUUUAGUAAAGAAAACUAAACCUGUUCAUGUAGAAGUCAUAGAUGGUCGUCCAUUGUCUUCUGGAGAUAUUACUGUAGAAUAAGUAGUUAUUUGUUGAAUUGUAGAUACUUAGUUCAUAGUGUAAACAGGGAUAGAUGACUGUUGAAAAGGUAGUUCAGUAGGUAAAAUGGAUGAAUAGUUAGGAAAAGCAGUUUUCAUUAGAGAUGUAGCAGUUGGUAUCUCGUGGUAGCAUAAGGAGGAUGGGAGAGAGGAAGUAGGGGCCAUUACUGUGAUAGUGUGAGCCGGGGUAAGCUUGGUGCUACCUCUUUUCUUUUGUUGUUAUGUUCUUUGAAAUAAGAGUAUUGAGAGUUUCUGAAUAUUGUGAAGUGAAUCAUGGAAUGAAAGUGUGAAUGGAAUUAUAUGUUAUUGAAUGAGAAGAAGAGAGAUUGAAUGCUGAAAUCUGAAUGUAGUUCAGCAGAGAGAAUGAGUCUGUGUUUGUGUGAAACACUGUAAUGUGAAGGCAGUUAAUGGUGAAGAACUCCAGAAUUUGGAUUAUAGUAUGAUUAUGUCCUGUCAUUUAGGAUAGUGCGGGAUUACAUGUUGUUUGUUAUCAGUGAUGGUGGAGUAUUAUUAGGAAGUGGAAAGCAUUGUAGUGUUUCUUGGAUGUUUUAAGUAGUGCGGAAUACAGUUAAUUGUGUGACCCUAACGUGUAAGCUCAUGCGGUAUUCUUUCCCUGUGUUCGAAUUCCCCUAUACAGGUUUACUCUGAUUAGAUAAGUUAGAGUAAGUAAAACGACAAUCACAUUUUGGCGCCGCUGCCGGGGAAAUUGAUAAUAGCAUGGAGUGUUAGGUUUUAACUGCCGGUUGAAGUAGAUGGGAAAUAGGUAGCAGUCGCAGAAGAAUAUAAUGAAAGAGUAUGGUUAUUAAGAAUGAGAACUUAACAGUAAAGAAAAUACGGCAGUCAAGAGAAAGAAUAGAGAGAUCGCAAGCAAGAAAUUUGUUGCGAAACGAGCAACAAAGAAAGUUAAAAAGGAAUCAUAGACAAAGCUGGAUUAAGCCAUGGUUGCAUGCCUGUCGUCAUAUUCGAGCAUACCCAGAAGCUAAUCGACAUCUAAUAUUUCAGAAGUAUAUACCGUUAGAGAAAUUGCCAAGAGCACUUGCUGAAAAUUUGAUCAAUAGGCCAGGGUUUCUUCUGAGACCGUUAACUGAGAGUGGGGGAAUCACAGAAGAGUUGGGUACUCUAUUGGGUACGUUUCCAAUAGCGGAAACUGCCGAUUCCGUCAAAACUGGUUCCAUAGAGUGGCAUAAAUUAUUGGUCAAUAAGGGCCAAUUCAGUGUGUUUCAAAAUCCGUCAUUCUCACCUCCUAUUCAACCAAUAAACUUGUUCAAGGAUAAUAAUAGAAAAUUGAGCAGGGUGGAAAGUUCAGAAAAUAUAUUUAGGAGAGACGCAGACUAUAUUAACAAACGAUUAAGUGUCACAUUGUCAAAUUCAAUGACGACGGGAGGUCCAGCGGUUCCCAUAGCAGUACAAAUGGGUACUGUGAGUGAUCGCACAACUAGCGUGGCUCCAUUACCUACCUUUAGGGGUUUUCCGGGUGCGGAUCCAGAUCAACAUUUGUCGCAGUUUUUGACAGCAUGUGUCGCCAAUAAUGGGAGAACCGAGGAUAUUUGGUUACGAUGGUUGCCAGCAACCUUAAAGGAUACGGCGUUUGAAUGGUAUAACCGUCAACCAGUUGGUCAAUUUUCGAACUGGGAAGCAUUGAAGAAUGCAUUUUUGACCCGUUUUCGACCAAUUGGUUUUGAAGACCGUCUUCGAGGGAGGUUAAUGAACAGCAAAAUGAUCCUAAGAGAGGCGGUGGAAUCGUUCUAUGGCCGAGUGGCUGAUAUACUUAGUAAGUGGCCGAACCACCAAAUGCCGGAGGCAUUUAUAUUAUCUAUAUUAAUAAAUGGUUUGCACCCACCAGAGCUAAAAAUGUUUGUAAAAGAAGCUCAACCAGUUACGAUAUCUGCAUCCCUUGAUAGAGCCAAGGUUUGGGAGGAAUGCCAUUAUGAUCAGUUUUUAACUGCGUGUGCCACGAUGAUACCAGUUCAAAGCAAUUAUCAAUAUCCGGCUUUGAACGGAUCAGUGGGUAGUUAUCCACAGAUGAUCGAAACAGUUGCCCAGUCAAGUGCCAAUACUCAGGGGCCAGUUAAUGUUACCCCAUUGCAAGCUUUACCACCGCAAGUAACAACAGCGUAUGCCCCAUAUUUUCCAUAUCAAACACACGAGUCAACUUUGGCGGAAAAACAAAUAAUAUCAGCUUCAAAAGAUUCCAAUGAAGCCUUGUUAUUGAACUUGACGAAGAAAAUGGAGGAAAUGGCCGUUAAUAUGGCCAAAGAUAAGGAGAAGAGGCAAAAGCCAACCAAUACUAGGACCAAUGUAUGGUGCAGUAAUUGUCAGGGCCACGGUCAUUUGGUAACGGAAUGCCCGUCACCUUCACAAGUGUUGGGUAAAUGUACAUUUUGUGGAGGCAAGCACUUAACCGCUAAUUGUUGGAAUUUGCAAAGACAACAACAAUUCAGUAAUCCGACCAUGAUUCCACCAACUCCAUGGGAUGUCAAUCAAGUUCAAACAGGAAAUACGUUUGGAUGGCAUGGAAAUCGAUCUAACCGACAAAAUCGAGCAGUCAAUCAUUUUCAGAAUUCCACUUAUAGUGAGGGAUUUGUAUCAAAUCCUCGGAACUAUGGUAAGGAGCAGCAUGGGUAUCAGCCAUAUGCUCCAUCGAUGCCAUUGAACCAAGUACAACCGGGACAACCAGGAUCGUUUUCUCAACCUACAUGGAACAAACCUAGUAGGUAUAUACCGGUGGAGACACCCAAUAUGCCUGAUGGGGGUGCAAAAAGGCCAUUGCGUUGUUUCCGUUGUAGACAGAUUGGUCAUUAUGCCAAUGAAUGUCCCAAUCCAAGAGCCAGUGACGAUUAUGCCCCAGUUUGUGGGAAUUGCAAGCAGUCAGGGCAUACGUAUCAGCAAUGUAAUGCUCCAUUCAAUUUCAAUAAUCGGGAUCAACAGAUCCAGAGUCCAGGAAAAAUGGAGGGAAUAAAUCGAGGACCUCAAGACUCUCCAGUAAAUCGGGUGGAAUGUGUCCAUACCGUUCUUACUAGGAGCCAGCAAAAAGGGAAAGGCCCAAUUAAACAUUUGGAAGAUCCUAAAGCGAAGGGCCAAUCACACCCAAUUACGGACCAAUCCCAUUCAGGCCCGGAAACUGGGAAAGUCUUGAGCCCUGAUUUGGUUGCGAAGCCCAAUGAGGUCCCAAUUACGGAGUCUUCAGUUCCAUCUCGAACCGGUCUGUUCCCACCGCAGUUCCAAGAAGCAUCAUACCCGUUGAAAGAUCCCCUUGGGAAAGGAAGUCCCAAGGAAGCUCAAUCUGCUAUUCCAAUUCCAAGUCCAGGGCGGCAGAAUAAUUUACCUCACGGAGUUAAGCUCAAACCCAUGAAAUGGAAGAGGGCAUUGGGAAUUACCCUAAAUAUGGAACCCUAUGACAUUUUAAAGGAUUUGGACGCUAUUCGGCCUUCAAUCUCUAUGAAGCAACUUCUAGCAGUCGCACCAGAGUGUCGUUCCACCUUGAAUUCAUCCCUAACAAGACAUCGGCAUCGUAAUAUGGAAGUUUGUGAAGUUAGUUUGAACCCUGAUCCAGGUGCACCAACCAUUGAUGUUUCGAUUGAUGGUGUUCGGAUCUCUGGCGUCCAGGUAGAUGGAGGUUCCAGCGUCAAUUUAAUGAACGCUGAUACAAUGGAUGCUUUAGGUCUGGAACAAUUAGUCCCCACGACAUUGGUAUUACGGAUGGCAGAUCAUAGCCGAGUUAAGCCAAUGGGUAUUUUACGGAGUGUUCAAACUAUAAUUGCAGGUAUUGCCUAUGAAAUUGACUACAUUGUCUUUCGCUUACAACGUUCGACUUUAUCGUACCCUAUUUUAUUGGGACGACCCUGGCUGUAUCAAGCGAAGGCCAAGAACGAUUGGGGUCGAGGUACUUUGACAAUUGGUAAGGGCGUAGAUAAAAUGGUGUUACAAAUGUACCCAGUACGCUAUCACGGGGAGUCUCAGUUGCCAGUAUCUGAAUUGACGUCGGACGAAGGGCUUAGCUCCGAUGAUGACACAGAAGUACCGAGUACGGAGGCCAAUGUGGAGGCAGCACAGCACCCUGAGGUGGUGUACCAAUGUGGAGGUCCGGGGGAGUACUUGAUAUACCCGAAGGAUUCGGAAAACUCUGCUUAUGUAAGUAUUGACUGGAAACCUGGGUACGAUGUGCACCAUGUUAGUACCCUCGAGACGGGAUUCGUUACUUCACAUAUGUCGGACAUACCGAGUAACUUUAAAUCACUGCGGGAAUUGAAACAGAGUAUUGUUGCUGACCCUGUAUGUCAAACUAUUAACUUAGCGACCACGGCCGAACCUCGGCUAAUUAAGGUCUACGAAGGUAUUAAGGAACAAGAGUUGACCUGUUGGACAGACUUUUUCUUACAUCAUAAAUCCGCUUUUGCUUGGACUUAUAAUGAUCUACAAGGUAUCCCCGCUGAUGUCUGUGAACAUCGUAUCAUAUUGGAAGAAAAUGCUAAACCGGUACGCCAGAGGCAACAUCGCCUUAAUCCUAAAUAUUCCCUUAUGGUGAAGGAAGAAUUGGACAAGCUUCUUGCGGUGGGUUUCAUUUACCCGGUACCGAAUAGUGAGUGGGUUUCUCCAAUUGUGAUGGUGCCGAAAAAGAACGGAAAAAUCCGAAUUUGUCAAGAUUUCCGAAAACUUAAUGCAGCCACCAAGAAAGAUUACUUUCCGUUACCAUUCACGGAUAGUAUAUUGGACGCCGUCGCCGGUCACGAAUGCUAUUCGUUUCUCGAUGGUUUCUCCGGGUAUAAUCAAGUUCAAAUUGCAAAAGAAGACCAGCUCAAGACAACCUUUACUACGGAUUGGGGCACAUUUGCUUAUCGCGUGAUGCCUUUCGGGUUAUGUAACGCCCCAGCCACGUUCCAACGCGUGAUGACUCAGGCUUUUCAAGAUUAUCUCCGACUGUUUAUGGAGAUCUUUUUAGAUGACUUUUGUACAUUCAGUACCAAACAAGAUCAUCUUCAUUGUUUAGGCAAAUGUUUGGCUCAAUGUGCCAAAUUUGGAAUAUCGUUGAAUUCGGAGAAGUGCCAAUUUGGUGUUCCGUCCGGAAAAUUAUUGGGCCAUAUUGUUUCCAGUUGUGGUAUUGCUACAGAUCCUGACAAAGUGCAGCAUAUCAUGAACUUGCCCAGACCGGAGACAGUCUCCGGUGUUCGAGGGUUCGUUGGUCAUGUCAGUUAUUAUCGACGAUUUAUAAGUUCGUUUGCGGUUAUUUGUCAACCUUUAACAAACUUACUGAAGAAACCUCCGUCCGAUGGUACUAGUCCCCUCUGGACCAAGGAGUGUACCGUAGCCUUCGAGGUCUUAAAGUCAAAAUUGGUCUCUGCACCAAUAUUGGUGGCUCCUUGUUGGACAAAGCCAUUUCAUGUGUAUGUUGAUGCAUCCAAUGCUGCUAUUGGCUCGGUGUUAAGCCAGAAGGAUGAUAAGGGAUUCGAUCAUCCAAUAUAUUAUGCCAGUCGACAAUUGGUGGCUGCCGAACGCAACUAUACUACUACUGAACGAGAGGCGUUGGGUAUGAUAUACUCGGUUAAAAAAUUUCGGCACUAUUUGCUUGGGUAUCCGUUUGUAUUUUAUGUGGAUCAUGAUGCCCUCAAAUAUCUGAUUAAUAAGCCUCAAUUGAGUGGGCGCAUUGCUCGCUGGGUCUUACUCCUCCAGGAGUUCAAUUUUACGGUGGUUGUCAGACCUGGGAAGCAACAUGCGAACGCAGAUCAUUUAUCCCGGUUGUCUAAUAUUCUCGGCAACGAGCCUGUUCCCGAUGAUCUUCCCGACGCCGCAUUAUUUGUGGUGGAUGUGAUAUCCCCCGAGUAUAGCGAAAUUAUUCAGUUUCUGACCUUCCAUACUUUUCCGCCGACUUUCACGGACAAGCUUAAGAAGCGCCUUAUUCUGAAGAGUGCCCCAUACACGAUGAUUCGUGAUGCUUUGUAUAAACAAGGACGCGAUGGUCUUUUACGGCGCUGUAUCUUUUCCAGUGAAGUACAGUCGAUACUUACAGGUUGUCAUUUGGAUAGUUGUGGUGGUCAUUUCGCGGGAGACAGCACUGCCCGCAAGGCUUUAAUGGCCGGAUAUUGGUGGCCCACAAUGUUUUCUGAUGCCCACCAGUUCGUUCGCCGUUGUGAUCCUUGUCAACUAAUUGGUCGACCUACGGGUACUUCCGCCAUGCCGUUAGUCCCAAUCUUGGCCCAGGUUCCGUUUGAAAAAUGGGGUAUUGAUUUUGUUGGUCCCAUUGCACCAGCGUCAAAACCUGGUCAAAAGCGGUAUAUCUUAGUCGCCACCGAUUAUGUCACCAAAUGGGCAGAGGCGAUUGCUACCCGCACCGAUAAUGCCAGUACGGUGGCAACUUUUCUGUAUGAGAAUAUUAUCACUCGCUUUGGGUGUCCCAAGGAAUUGGUCAGCGAUCGAGGCACCCAUUUCAUCAAUGCUACCAUCGCCGCCUUGACGACCACAUACGAGAUCAAGCAUCGUAAGACCACUCCCUACCAUCCUCGUGCCAAUGGGCAAACGGAAAAGACCAACGGCAUUUUGUGCAAAGUCUUGACUAAGACAAUUUCAGGGGCCGGUACUGAUUGGGAGACCAAACUCUUUGCAGCUUUGUGGGCUUAUCGUACCGCCUAUAAGGUAACUACCCACUCUACUCCGUUCCAAUUAGUUUACGGUCAAGAGGCAAUUUUACCUAUCGAAUUGGAGGUUCCCAGUUUACGAAUUGCCUUAGACGAACGCCUCAGUGACACUGAGUCAUUACACUCUCGGUUGAUGAAAUUGGAGGAAUUGGAUGAAAUACGGGCUGUCGCUCUAUUCCACAUGGAAGCCACUCAAAAACGGAGGAAGAGUUACUAUGAUAGUAAACUGCGGCCGAAGUGUUUUAUGCCCAAUGAUUUGGUAUUGCUGUAUGACAGCCGAUUCAACCAUUUUCCGGGAAAAUUUCAAGUUCGCUGGCAUGGGCCAUAUCGCGUAAUUGAAGGAUUUUCCAAUGGGUCUGUUCAAUUGGAGGAUUUCACGGGCCAUCGUUUCAGUACCCGCAUUAAUGGAAAUCGUUUACGGUUAUAUAAUACCUAAAACCCGGGACGGGUUUUAUUUCAUUUGAGGGGAGGGGACUUCGAAUGGACUCAGGAGGGACCUAAUUAUGGUAUAAGACGUAGAGGCGGCUGCAAGGAUAUGUAGUAAUCACUAUUGUGUCAGAUGCGAAGGAAGUGAGAAAUGGACAGUAUGGAUACCAUGUUGUCGCUCUCAUCACUAGGUAAUAGAAUAGGAGUGGGGCUCCUACUAAGGGUUAUUCUGUGGUGUUAUAUUAUGUUGUUGCUUAUUUGUGUCUCAUUUUAGUGUUUCGGGCAGACUGGAGAGUGGCAUUGACGGUUAGGACCUGUAAGCGUUUGAGUCAUGGCGAUUGAAAGUACCAAGAGAGCUGUAGACAGAGAUGAAAGUGGCCGGAAUGUGAGAGCUAAACGCACAGCAAAACCACCGGCUGUGAUAAUCGUUACCAAUAUGGAGCCGAUGAAGUUAGAAAUCUGUUGGACGCAGAGAAAAAUAAGGGAUUUUCGGACUGCGAAGCUGUUCCAGUUUUUGCACCAUUCAGAGCGUUUACCAUCAAUCAAUGUGUCAUUAGUGGAGGAAUACAUUGAGAAUUACGACCCCGAGGAUGGAUCGAGUGUCGUUCAAGGGCGAAUUAUUGGGAUUGAUGAAACAAUCCUGGAAAAGGUGUUGUUUCUUCCCAUUGGAGAGAUGGCAGUUGGGACUGAUGAGUCAGGCGAUUUCAGCCCAGGUAGAUAUUUCAAGGGAGGAAUGUCAUCCUUUGAAAGGAGCCAAGGAUGGCGGACUCAGGAGGCGAUUACACCAGAAUAUGUGGAAUGGUUGCGGUUCGUGCUGAGGCGGUUAGGAUUGUACCGACACCCCACAUAUGUGUCAAAACGAUUAUUGUAUGCAGCAGUAGGGGCGUUUGAGGGGAUGGUGUUCAACUGGGCGGCUUACGUAGCUACUCGUAUUCAUGCGGAGAUAGGAGCCAAGUUCAAAUUGGGGAAGUUCACAUCCUUGCUUUGUUCAAAUUAUGUGUAUGCUGUCAUCGCGCACACAUUGCGUCAACCACCGUCAGAAGAGGAAAACCCUAUACCAGUGUCAGCACCUUUGCAGAGAGAACGAAAUUUGUUGGCACAGAAUCACAAUGUAGCGGAUGUAAUACACGAAAUUGGAGAAUCAAGUCGUACAGUGGUUCAAGGGAUAGCUCCGGUUAUCGAAGCGAGACGGGUUCCAAGUGGUCUUGCGGUGGAAGAGGAGAAUCAAGUCCCAUUAUUGAUAGAUAUCAACCAGUUGGCGUUUCCAGAGGGUCGAUUCCCUGAAGGAGUAUCUCUUAAAAAUGCCGUAUUGAAGCACAUUUCGCAAAUACAUUGUAUGGUACGAGCAUUGGAUGUCGAAGACAGAAGUAAACGGGAUUGGGAGGACAGUAAAAAAAGGAUAUCGGAUCAAAAUCAAAAAAUCAGGGAGCAAGAACUGAGGAUUCAAGAAAUUGAAGAAGUCAAGUUGGUCCUGGAGCGGAAAUUGGUUCUCCAAUAUGAGGCUUGGACAAAGGAAAAAGAACAGAUUUCACGGAUUGUGGAAGGACAACGGGACGAAUUGAUUCAGAAUAGGAAGUCAUGGGAUUUGGAACGGGAGAAGUUCAAAUGCCAGUUGCAAGCGGAAGUGGACAAGACAGAGUUAUUGGCGACAGAGAAAGCGUUGUUGUGUGACCAAUUGAGAUGUGAAACGGGGAAAAUGAGGUCUGAAAUUGAAGUUUUACAAAAUGAGGUGUCAAAACUGACGGAAGAGUUAACUGUGAGGAGCCAAUCUCAAGUGUCGAUUAAAGAUGUCCCAGAAGGGAUGAGUUCGCAGCAACAUCAGUUGGAACUUCGCGAUGCCCAGAUCCUGAAACUGGAAGCUCAGAUCCGUGAAUAAGGAGAAUACAAUGAAGAUCUUUCAGCCCAGUUGAGAAAGGAGUCGCUUGAAAUAUUGGAAGAGGAUGAAGACGUACCACUAGAGCCAGAAUCGGUGGAACCAAUAAUGGAUAAUGUAGUAAUUGAUCAAUUGGAUAUAUCAAAUAAAUAGAAAUUUUGGAGAAGUUUUUUUUUAGUUAUGUAUCGGUUCUAUGUUUGCGAGGACGCUGCACAGAUGGGAGUGGAGCUAUGUAGAAUAAGUAGUUAUUUGUUGAAUUGUAGAUACUUAGUUCAUAGUGUAAACAGGGAUAGAUGACUGUUGAAAAGGUAGUUCAGUAGGUAAAAUGGAUGAAUAGUUAGGAAAAGCAGUUUUCAUUAGAGAUGUAGCAGUUGGUAUCUCGUGGUAGCAUAAGGAGGAUGGGAGAGAGGAAGUAGGGGCCAUUACUGUGAUAGUGUGAGCCGGGGUAAGCUUGGUGCUACCUCUUUUCUUUUGUUGUUAUGUUCUUUGAAAUAAGAGUAUUGAGAGUUUCUGAAUAUUGUGAAGUGAAUCAUGGAAUGAAAGUGUGAAUGGAAUUAUAUGUUAUUGAAUGAGAAGAAGAGAGAUUGAAUGCUGAAAUCUGAAUGUAGUUCAGCAGAGAGAAUGAGUCUGUGUUUGUGUGAAACACUGUAAUGUGAAGGCAGUUAAUGGUGAAGAACUCCAGAAUUUGGAUUAUAGUAUGAUUAUGUCCUGUCAUUUAGGAUAGUGCGGGAUUACAUGUUGUUGGUUAUCAGUGAUGGUGGAGUAUUAUUAGGAAGUGGAAAGCAUUGUAGUGUUUCCUGGGUGUUUUAAGUAGUGCGGAAUACAAUUAAUUGUGUGACCCUAACGUGUAAGCUCAUGCGGUAUUCUUUCCCUGUGUUCGAAUUCCCCUAUACAGGUUUACUCUGAUUAGAUAAGUUAGAGUAAGUAAAACGACAAUCACAAUUACUCACGAAAUCCUUCCUAUAGAAGUAAUAAUCAAUAGUCAUAAUAGCUUUAUAGUAUUUAAUAUCAUUAGAUCUCUCUCUAAUCCAGUCAUUUUAGGUUUAUCGUGGUUAGAAAAAUACAACCCUCAAAUAGAUUAGAUUUCCCGAACUCUUAUUUUUUCUAAAAGUAUAACUAGUAAUAUAGUUAAUCAAGUAGAGAGUCAUAAGUCUAGUUCAAUUAAACCCGCAUUUAUAGGUACAAAUCUUUCUUGCAUGAUGCUAUGAAAGAAUCACCAUAUAUUAUUUAUGCCAUACUUGUUUCUAUUGGUGGAAAGACUUCAAGUGGCAUUCCAAGCCAAUAUCAAGAAUUUUAAGAUGUAUUCAAAAAAAAGAAUGCGAAUACACUCCUGGAACAUCUUCCCUAUGAUUGCUCAAUUGACCUUUAAGAAAGAGCACAACCGCCAUUCGGACCAAUCUACAGUUUAUCACAAAAUGAGUUGAUUGAACUCAAGGAGUAUAUUGAAGAAAAUCUAGCCAAGAAUUUCAUACGCCAUUCUAAAUCUCCGAUAGGAGCUCCAAUUCUAUUUGUGAAGAAAAAAGAUGGAUCAUUGCGGAUGUGUGUUGAUUAUCGAGGACUCAACAAGAUUACCAUGAAGAACAAGUAUCCAAUACCUUUAAUAUUUGGACUUCUUGAUUAGUUGAAUAAAGCUAAGAUCUAUACAAAAAUAGAUCUUCGGGGAGCAUACAAUCUAGUAUGCAUCAAAAAAGGAGAAGAAUGGAAGACUAUAUUUCGAACUAGGUAUGGACAUUUUGAAUACAACGUCAUACCUUUUGGACUUACAAAUGCACCAGUUUCUCAAGCCAUUCGAACUUUGAAGGCAAGGAUCAGAAGGUUUAGGUUUUUAGUUAAGGUUUUGGUACAAGUUUUGUGUCAUUUGGGGUAUUUAUGAAGAAGUUAUAGGCGCUCAAAGUUAAGAUGUUAGUUUUGGACCUACUGUCACUCUUUUGGGCAUAACGCACGCGUACGGAUGGCAAUUGAGGAUCGGCGACUGCGACUAGAGAGAGCACUUUUGCGGCUAUACUUUUUACAUGCUGCUUACUAGAUUCUAAGUGAAGGUGAAGGAGUAAUUGGAUUUUGAAGUCAGCACAUGCAAUCUAAGGAUAGUAAGUAAACCGAUUUACUAGUGUUUGUCUCUUGAGCUAUAUCUUGAGAAAUUUGACAAGGUUUUGGCUCAAAAUUUCAAAGAAUGUGUAAUUUCAUGUAAGUAAACUUUGUGCAUAAGUUUUAUGACAUUUAGAGUUCGGAUAUUUGAGAUAUAAGGAAAAUAGUUUUUCGGGUGCUUGUAAAUUAGGGUUUGGAGUGUCUGCUAGGAUUUCUUAGAUGCCAGAAGAUCGAGAGUGAAUUUGUGGUAGGUUUUUUUUGUGGUAAAAGUUAAGGGUAAAUUCUACUUAUUUUAUAAAUUUGAAAAAAAUUGAACGGUUAGAUCAAUAGUUAUAAUUUUCUAAAGUUUGGAGCAAGAAAACCCUUCGUGGGAAAAAUAUGUUUUGAAAGGAUUUUGUUAUAUUUGGAGUUUUAUACAAAAAUAAAGGAGUUUUGGAAGCUAAAAAAAGAAUCAUAUAAAGGUUUAAGAUACAUUCUCUACAGCUAGAUACCCGGUGUAUUCCCAGAUAGCAAAUCACGCCAUACGACAAUGACAUCUUAAUCUAUUCUAAGAAUCCAGAAGAAUAUGAACUUCAUGUUUGUCGUGUGUUACAAAAAUUAAGAGAUGCAGGACUCUAUGCCAAGAUAGAAAAGUGUAUAUUCUAUACUACUCAAGUCGAUUUUUUAGGUUUCAUCAUUUCAAAUGAUGGACUUAUGAUGGAUCCUAAGAAAAUUCAAACUAUUAUAGAUUGGAAGAUUCCAAAAAUGGUAAGAGAUGUCCAAUACUUUUUGGAAUUUGCCAACUACUAUUGGAUCUUUAUCAAGGACUUCUCUCAAGUUGUAGCUCAACUUACACGACUUACACGCUUGACUUGUAAAGACAAACUCAAAUGGAAUCAAGAAGCGGAAGUUGCUUUCGAAUCUUUGAAGACAACGUUUGUUUCUACACUAAUCUUGUAUCAUGUUGAUUUCUCCAAAGCAUUCUUUAUGGAAACAGAUGCAUCAGACUUUGCUUUGAGUGCAAUUUUUUCACAAAUGGGAACAGAUGACAAACUUCAUCCUGUAGCCUUUCAUUCAAGAAAAUUCUCAGCAACAGAAAUCAAUUAUGAGAUCCACGACGAAGAACUUCUUGCAAUUGUAGAUGCUUUUCAAGAAUGGCGUCAUUAUCCAGAAGGAGCUUCCAAUCUAGUCACUGUGUAUAUGGAUCACAAGAACCUCGAGUAUUUUAUGUCAACACGCAUAUUAAAUCGUCAUCAAGCUCAUUUGAGCAUGUCUUUAUCAAGAUUCGAAUUCAUCAUCACUUAUCGGCUAGGAAAACAACAAGGUUUGUCUGAUGCCUUAUCUAGACAUUCUUAUCUUGCACCAAAGGAAGGAGAUGCAGCUUUUGAGCAACAAAGAACAGUUCUCUUGAAGCUGGAGCAAUUUCAUCUUCAAGCAAUAAAAUCAACAUUGAUUGUUGAUUUAACUUUUCUUAAGCAAGUCCAGUUAAGUAUGUCUUCAGACCCUCUUGUUCAUGAUAUCAAGAAUAAUUCUUUUAAAUCUCAUGAUCCCUCUAAAUUUGAAUUCAAGAACAACCUACUCUAUUUCGAAGGAUGCCUAUAUAUUCCAGAAGGAGAAGCACGUUUACGUAUUCUUUAAGCUCGUCACGACUUCCUAGCAGUAGGACAUUUUGGGUACAAUAAAACUUUGGAACUUAUAUCUAGGGAUUUUUGGUGGCCACAAAUUUGGAAAGCAGUCAAAGAUUUUUUAUAAUCUUGUGAUGUUUGCUCGAGAUCAAAAACUCCUCAUCAUCAACCUUACGGACUUCUUCAGCCAUUACCCAUUCCAGAACAACCAUCGUCUUCUGAUUCUAUAGACUUCAUCACGAAUCUUCCAAUCUUAGGUUCUUAUGACUCUAUAUUCGUGAUAGUAGAUCAUUUUACCAAGAUGGCACAUUUUGUAUCAUGUACAAAAUCUAUCAUAGGUAAAGAAAUAGCUAAGCUCUUUCUUGACAAUAUCUAUCGCUAUCAUGGAUUAUCCAAGGAUAUUAUAUCAGAUAGGGGAACUCAAUUUGUAUCAAGAUUUUGGCGGACUCUUUUCAAGAUUCUAAAAGUAGAUAUAAAACUAUCUUCGAUAUUCCAUCCUCAAACUGAUGGACAAACGGAGCGUGUUAAUCAAGUUUUGGAGCAAUAUUUAAGAUGUACCAUUAACUACCAACAAGAUGAUUGGACAACUUUUUUGCCAUUGGCAGAGUUUGCUUAUAAUAACACGGUACAUUCUUCUACAACACAAACACCUUUCUUUGCUAAUUAUGGUUAUCAUCCAUGACUUGAUACUUUUGACUUUUCAAAAGUUGAUAAUCCUGUUACAAAAGAUUUGGCAAUUCAUUUAUCAAAGCUACAUGCAACGAUGAAGGCACAGUUAAAAGAGGCUCAAGAACAACAAAAGGUCAAUGCAGAUGUUUAUCGAAAGGAACAACCACCAUUCUUCUUGGGUGAUAAGGUAUGGCUACUUCGUCGCAAUAUCAAGACCACUCGUCCUUGUGACAAGUUGGACUAUCAAAGGCUUGGACUAUUUUUUAUUUCUGUACAAAUCAAUCUAGUUGCAUAUCGUUUAUAUCUACCAGAGUCAAUGAAAAUCCAUCCAGUAUUCCACGUGUUCCUUCUUAAACCAUACAAGACAGUGGACAUAUCAAGAAGACAACAAGCUCCACCUCCUCCUAUAGAAGUGGACAAUAAUGAAGAGUUUGAAGUAGAAGAAGUCUUAGAUUCGAGGCGGCACCAAAAUAAAUUAGAAUAUCUUGUCCAUUGGUACGGAUAUGAUAUUAGUGAAUGCACAUGAGAGCUAAUAAAAAACCUUCAAAUGCAGCAAAGGCGAUGGAGGCUUUUCAUCAACGACAUCCAUCAAAAUCAAGAUGAAAACCUUCUUUAUGAAAAAAACAACAUCUAGGCAAGAUAACAUUCUACUUUCAAUCCUUGUUCGUAGCUUCUUUAUAGUUGUAAUGCUUAGGAGAUAGAGAACCAACAACUAGCGGAUUCGACUCAAGAGCCUUUAUUUGCUGACCUGCCAGAUGAGACAUUACGAUUAUCACAACUUUCAAGACAACGCAAUCGAGAUGAAGAUCUUCAAGAAUGACAUGUUCUUCCUUGAAUAGAUGGCAAGAUACAACACAUUUGGUAUCACAAUUUGGGGAGGGACUCCCGAUGUUUGGUGAUUUUGUUAGAGGUAGGAACAACUCCUGAUAGUAUUCCAAAUAUUCUAUUUGAAGGAAGUUAUGAAGGCCUCAACAAUGAUCAAAUAAUUGGGUGGUCUUCCCGCCCUGGUAUGGGACACUACUGAUGAUUGAGAGGUCCUAUCAAUCAUCUUCGAAGAGAAUAAAGAUCAGAGUAUGUGACGAAUACAAUUCGUCGCAUGAUGGAUUUCCUCAACAUAUGAUGACCGCUCCUCAUGGAACUUGUCCCUAGAAGGGGGGAUAAUAUCACGGACAUACUCAUGUAAGCUAGUAAUUAUAUAUAUAAAUAGGUGGAAGUAAGUAAAAGUAGGUAAAAGUAAGUUAAUUCUAUAGUAUUUAAUAUAGAAGCUUCAUAGACGCUGCUUUGAUUUCAUAGGUGUCUUUAAUUGACUUUUUGGAUUAGAAAUGUGGUCAACAAGUUGGCCAUAUGCCACACAUAUUGUUAGCGUGAAAAUCAAGCUAACUAUGUGGCCCACACGUAGAAAAACUUGCCUUGUAAGUCAAGGCAUGUGUCCUACAAAGUCAACACAUAUUAGAGGUCCUAUAGAAUGUCGCCACAUAGCCCCUAGUUAGAUAGUAUAUAUAAAGACAAGAGUGAAGCCUUCUUCACUCUUGUGAACUCCUUUCUUGCUUCUAGUCUAAUUUCAAGAGUCUCUAAUUUUCUUGUCUUUUGGCAAUAGCCAUUCCAGUUUUUCUUUCAAUAUACAUACUUGGUUAUUUAUAUUUUGUUACCUUUCUUUGAGUGAAGGCUCACUUGUCUCAAUUGUUUUUUUUCAUCGAGUUCUUGUUCUCGACACAAGCAUCCUCUUCAAGAAGCUUUUUAAUAAUUGAUAGUUGAUUUGCAAGAGCCUUCACUUUAUUGGUAUGAGCCAUGAAAUCUUCACCUUCUUUCAUCUUACAUAUAUAGAAUUUCUUUCUUGUGAAGAUGAUGUUAGACAAGUUCUUGCUGUCAUAUAUAUUACAAAGAGUCUUCUAUGCUUUUGCAGGUCUUUUGCAAGUAAUGAUGUGAAAAAAGUUGGCUUCAUCCAAAUUGGUGGCAAUUAUGCCAAAAGCCUUCUUUUCAUAUCUUUUGAAGUCAUUUUUCUCCUUAGCAACUGUAUGUAUGCUUAGAGUCUCUUCACUUUCAUCUACAAUGUCACGAAGGUCCAAAGAUGCCAACAAAAGUUCCAAUUUGAUCUUGCAAUGGUAAAAAUUCUCUCCUCUAAACUUUUCAAUUACUUUCAAACCUUCACCUUCACUAGAAGCCAAGUCUAAAAAGGAUUCUAUCUAAAUAUAUCAAGAAAAGGAGUUACUAUGAAUUUCAUAUUAUCAAAACAGUUUUACACUAUCAGAAUCUCAUAAUGCCUUCUUAUAACAAAUGAGUGCUUUCUCACCCAAAAUACUCUCAAUUCAAGCUCUGAAGCUUAACACAUAUGUAUACUCCAAUAAACCUCACUAUCGUGAAUUUUCACUCUUUGGAAUCAACUAUUUUAUUAUACAUUCAAGAUAAGUGAAAUAACGUCACCAAAAUAAAACAUACUAUCAAGUUCUUUCUAUAAUGUCUUAAAUUCUCAAUCUUAGAAGAUAAGAAUCCACAAAGCAAUAUUAGAGAUCUAUAAGGUCAAAGACAGCACCUCUUCACAUCCAAAACACAAGUUUAAAUCUUAGAAUUCCUAACAUUAACAAACACCAUAAGAUCUAUUCCAUACAAGAACAACCAAAAGAGAAUGACAUUACUUGAAUGACACAAAAAAGUAUGAGUGGAUUCCUAUACUAUUGAAAAAAUACAACAAGCAAGAUACAAAUAAAUAGAAAUCAGCAAAGGUGUACACAAGAAAAUGUAGAAUGAGUUAAUUCUCACUUCCAACAACUUUUACUUAUAGGUGGAGUUUAUAUCUAUUAUAGUUGAACUUCAUCUUCAUCCAUCUUUGCUUCAUCCAAUAAAACCCUAGAUUCCACUUCAUCUAAUCGCCACUUUAAUUACUUCUCUACACCUUUUUGCUACUCUUAAACCAUUAGUAACUCACCUAAGAUAAUACUUAUUUACUUUACCAUACCUAUGAUAAUACUUGUUUAUUUUAACAUAGCCUAGACUUGUUACUCCCACAUCAAGCAGCCGACCUCAGCAAUGUAGACACCUAUCUCAAUAACCACCAAAAGCCGAGUUGUGAGUGCUAGAUACUGAUUCUGAAAGUGCAUUACAACCACAACGUCAUCUUAUAGGGACCACGCAAGAUCCCCAGCAGUCUUGCCUUGGGCCGGCCAUUGCUGCAUUACCACACAACCAACGAUCGGAGAAGAACCAAAGACAUCCGCUCCUGGAUUGCUUGGCGCUCGACUUCAACCAGCCACGUUGCAGAAGGUGUGCCGGAAAUCACCAUGUUGCUCCAAUCACGAGUCUUAAGGGAGAAAAGCAAAAAAUAACCGAAAAGUGGGAAUCGAGCUAGACGUCAACGUGACCCCGCUAAUCCAAAGCAAUUCAACACAGCAGCUCUCCGACUAAAGCCAACACUUUAGAGAUCCGAAGCUUGCAGCCCCACCAUAUACUAGAGAGAAAAAAGAAAAAAAAAAAAAAAAAAAAAGAAUUGGAGCUCGUGAAGAUCGUCUACUCCAAAGAAUGGAACGACGCAAAACUGUCGGCAGAAUCAGACUUGCCGCAGGAACCACAAGAACGAGGUCAAAGAUAACAACCACCCCUCAGCUUCUGUUGUAGCUCCAAGUCAACUCCCAAGCCGCUCCGCACGUAUAUCGCACCCCAGCUUGCUUCUUCUACUCCAACAUCUUGUGAGAGCACGGGAGGACGAACUAAACGUAGACCAAGCAGCUGCAGGGAACCAAGCACCGUUGACAGCCGACCUGGCGCUCAACAGAACAAGCAGAUCGAAAAAAAAGAAAAAAAGAAAAGAAAAGAAAAAGAAAAGAAAAGUGAGCAAAGAGCAUGCGGCUCUGCCGCAAGUCACUAACGGAACACGGGCAAGAACACGAUUAGAGAUAGACGAUCAACAACAAGAGACUGAUCAGCAAUGAGUGGUUGGGUUCAAACAAACAACAAAUGGUACUGAACACAUGAUGGCGGACUAGACUCAAGGAAGGGACCAUCAUAACAUUUAAAAGAACACAACCACACAAGACCGAGCAACAAGGCGGAAGAAUGGAUCAGAAGAUUAAGAACCAGAAUCACGUUGUAAACGCGAGCUUCACAGUUCCUGCUGCUACCCCGAGUAAACUAUCGAGCACAACUACCGAAUUGCCUUCCGCGAAUCCACGAGGAAGAGAAAGAACCACAACAAUGCCGUAGGAAGCAAUUGCAGCACCACCAAAAACCAGUCGCCGCCUUCUGAACCAUGAGCAAGAGAAAGAACCAGCGACGCAACGCCACUACUCCGUAAGAACGAAGACAAGGAAGAACAAGAGAGAGCGCUCACAAACCUCGGCCGCCGAAGAGGAUAGAUCACCAGCAAGAAGAAAACACAAGUGUGGACGGAACGGCCCUAGCCGCAGCACACCGGAUUUUCCAGAGCUCUCGCAAACAGAACCAAAAGCAGAAAAGAGAGAGGAGCGUUUGACGCCCGGACCCCUAUCGAUAGACUCCGCCCCAAAUUCCAGAACUCCCUUCUCAGUCCACUAGCCUUUGCAAGCCCAUAGACGGAGUUGCAUAAGUCACCACAUUCGGUGAACAUCUCAGAUUGUUCACUCCAUUAAAAAAAACUGCGGGCUUCAUCAAUUGUUCCAAAUUUGCAAGUGCAUCAAUCAACACUGUAGAAGUAUGAGCUCCAAGUUUUGCUUGGAUUAUAUCCAAACUCUUCAUCCGAUUGAAAAUCUCUAGAGCUCAGGAAACGUUAUUAGUGCUCCCACUUUAAAGUCUUGUUCAACAUGAGGGGUAGUCAAAGAACUAAAAAUGUAAACAUAAUUAUUUUGGAAAUAUCAACACUAAACGUCGACAAGGAAUUACUUUUCUACACUAGAACUAAUUUUCUCACUCACUCAAGAUGUCCUACAUUAACUCAACUAAUAAUUGUUGUUUUGAUACUCCAAGUGCAAGUUUUAUUCUAAAAUUAAUACUGAGUCGAUUUGAUGACUCACGAUUUGUUGGCAGAUUGUUGGCAGAUGGAUUCCACAAGUAAUUCCCCAUUGACGUCGACCACUGUGGCGUCCUCCUUGCUUCCGGAGGGACAAGACGACCCACAGAUGUUUCCUAGCACAAGAGGUAAAACAGUGUAGUUGAGCAGCAGUUGGAACACUAGCAGCCAUACGGUCACAGAAUGCCGCCAUCGCUGUUGCGGCAAGUUUCCGCCAUCGUUUUCCCAGUGCAAAUCUCAGCUACCGUAAAUCGCGGAGCGCCAUCGCGCCCCCACCUGUUCAGGAUUUUAAGUGUGACGCAGUCAGAUGUUCAAGUCUCAUAUCGACGAAGUACAAAAACCAAUCGGUGAUGUUUCCUUAGUCAGCGUCAGAGGGAGGCAGCUAGUGGCACAAACCAUUCAACAUUCAGUCUUGAAUAACAUCCUUCAAUGCGUCGGUUCUCAUCUGCCUGUCACCUCAAGUAGCGGAACAUACAGCGACGUGUGAGCGCUGGCGGAGAUCCCAGGCAUUCGAGGCUUGCAAGCUCCAGGGAUUCACGGUGACAUUCCGGACAGACCUCAUGUGUUGAAACAUAUUUCCUUACAAACGUUUGAUCACAGGAAUUCAGCAUUCCAUCGAACGCCAGCUACAUCAAAUCCAACCCACUUGUCGGUAGCCGUAAGUCGUUUCACUUAGCUUCUUCAUGAGGUGACAGAUCGAUAGGAUCGAUAUCGAAUGUGUGCUCGGUAUACACACCGAGGUCCGAUGGGCUCCUGGAGUGUGUGAUAGCCCCCACAGAGACUGAUGCGGACAUAGCAGUGCAGUAGACUAAACGCAACCAGCAUGCAUUGAAUCUGAUCGAUUGGUUAGUAUUAGAAGCAAGCGAGCUUGAGAGUUUUUGAUAGAAAGAAUAUAUUACCUGUAUUAAAAAUUGAGUGUACACUGUUAUUAUUCUAUUGAGGGAGAUGCGACCGUUUAGGUCUCGCAUAUUUGACUAGUUGCGACGUUUCACUUAGUUUGUUCGUUAUGUUUGGUUAGUCACUGUUAUUGUUUCCAACACGGCCGCUUAACCAAAGCAUCACGAACGGGGGGUUUCUCCUCCAAGCAGGCCAAGCAUGGGUAAAUGCUGGGCAAGUUUCGGCACAGUGAGGGACUUCGUAAAAAUGUCCGCAUGCAUAUUUUCUGUUGGGCAGUAGGUAAAGUCGGCUUUGUGUUGAGCCAUAAGUUGGCGUAUGAAAUGGUAGCGGAUAGAAAUGUGCUUUGUGCGGGAGUGAAAACGAGUGGUUGUGACCAAUGCUAACGCGGAUUGGUUGUCGCAGUAUACACGGGUCGGCGUUUGUAGGGUGUCGGUGCAGUGAAGGUCGUGGAGGAGUUGCCGCAACCAUACAAGUUCGGACGCGGCUGUGGCCAUGGCGACAUACUCAGCCUCGGUGCUGGAUAGGGCUGUCGUCUUUUGGCGCGUGGAGCUCCAACUGAUGGCGCCUGUUGACAGAAGAAAAACGUAGCCGGAUGUCGAGCGGCGUUGAUCCACUUCGCCUGCCCAGUCGGCAUCGCUGAAGCCGUAGAGAGGGCGCGGCACAGUAGAAGUGCGGCGGUACUCCAGGUAGUGGUCGAUAGUGCCGCGGAGGUACCGAAACACAUGUUUACAUGCACGUAUAUGGGCAUCGCCCGGGUUGUGCAUAUAUUGAGCAAGAACGCUGACCGUGAACGAGAGAUCCGGGCGAGUGCACAAGCUGACUCAGUUCAGCGACCCUACAGCAUUCGCAUAGGGGAAGGCAGCAAUAAGGGCAGUUUCGGCAGAGGAGGACGGACAGUCCGCUGAAAGAUGAGUCCCAGGGGCCAGCGGGGUCGACACAGGUUUGGAGGCGAGAAAACCGAAUUCUGCAAGCUUCUGUGUGAUGUACAGAGCUUGUGUGAUUCGGAACCAUCCGUGAUCAAGAUUUCGAGUGACCUGUAAACUGAGAAGGUGAUGUACUUCGCCGAGAUCGGAGAGUAAGAAGCGAGAGUUGAGUUGACGCUUGAUCGAAUGGAGCAAGGAGAGGGAGUUCGCCGCGAUGAGAGUGUCAUCGACGUAGAGGGUGAGGACCGCGAAGUCAGAGCGGUUCUGUAACACAGACAUUCCCAUCCGCAGCAGAAUUUGUGAAGCCGAGGGUAAGUAAAAAUUUGUUUAUGACCGUAAACCAUUCUCGGGGAGACUGUUUCAACCCAUAGAGGGUCUUGAGUAAGCGGCAGACCAUGCCGGGGCGGGGGGAAGUCACUCCCUCCGGCACCCGCAUGUAUAUUUCCUCGGAGAGAACGCCAUUUAAGAAGGCUCUCUUCACGUCCAUCUGAUGGACAUGGAGGUUCAGCUGGGCGGCAAGGGCGAGAAUCAGUCGUAUUGACUGAAUUCUCACCACCGGGGAGAACGUCUCGUGGUAGUCCAACCCGGGAAUUUGGUUAAAACCCCGGGCUACGAGACGGGCCUUGUAGCGGUCAAUUUGGCCGUGGCUGUUUAAUUUGAGCUUGAAAAUCCACUUACAGGUGAUGGGUUUUCGAUGUGCAGGGAGAGUCGAAAAUAUCCACGUGCCGUUCAUCGCGUGGGAGUUUAGUUCUUCAGCUAUGGCAGAUUUCCAAUGGUGACUGUCGGAAGACGUCAUGGCUUGCGUGUAGGUCGUUGGCUUCAUGGGAACCGCGGCAAGGGUUAGAAGAGCGCGCUUCGGUCGAGAGGGUCGCGGAGGAGUCUUCCGCGGCCGAAGAGAACUUGGAUCAUAAUUUUCGGAAGGGUCUCGCGGCGGGGGUACGCCUUUGUUGGUGCGAGAAGACUUGCGAACGGGUACAGGAGAGGUUCCAUGCGGGGACUCAACGGGAGAGUCAGCGACAUGGUCCGUGCUGGGAGCUUGUUUGUGGUGGCCUAAAUGAGGCAUGAGGGCCAAGCCGGUGGGAGACCGGACGUCAUGCCGCGGGGACGGUCUAGCCGGGAGGAGUGGUGGUACCUCGGGCAACGAGGAUUGUUCAAGUCGGGACUGAGCACGGGCGGAAUCUGGAGCCAGGGGAAGCAAAAUAUGAAAAUUGCUCAACCCCGGGCUUGGGCCAUCAGCAGCAGCUGGUUCCGGAGCAGCAGACGAGAGGUGAUCAUCAAGAGGAUUCGUGACAGGUAGUGAAGGAGGACGUUGAUGCUGGUCCGACGGCACCUGCGGAGCAUCAGAAAGAGGGUGCUGGGGCUCACGCGUGGAUACACGCGCAGGUGGAGUGGCAGGGAGCUGCGACCCGCUGGGAAGGAAGAAAUGUGGGUCUUCCUGGAGUCUGGCAUCGGGUGAGGGGCUGGCCUGAACAGGUUGGCGGGGAGGAGCAGGCUCCUCCUGAAAGAUGACGUCCCUGGAGACGACGGUGGCGCCGGUGCGGAGGAGUUGAACCUUGUAUCCCUUGCUGACCGGGCUGUAGCCAAGGAAUAUGCAAGCCUCCGUUUUUCCAUCAAGCUUGACACGGAGCGGAUCAGGGAUUUUGGCAUAACAUCGACUUCCAAAUACACGAAUGUGAGUGAGAUCGGGCUUCUUCUUGUGCCACAUCUCGAAUGGAGUGGUGUGAGAAGGAAUAGCCUUCGUGGGAAGUCGAUUUUGUAUAUACGCAGCACAGGUGACUGCUUCUCCCCAAUACGAUCUAGAGAGCUGAGCUUCAUGGAGCAUGCACCUUGUGGUGUCGAGGAGAGUUCGAUUCUUGCGUUCAGCCACACCAUUUUGGCGUGGUGUAUACGCUGUGGUGAGUUGACGUUGAACUCCAUGUGCCUCCAGGUAGUGAGUGAAUUCUGAAGAUAAGUACUCUCCUCCUUGAUCGGAGCGGAGAGUCCUGAUUUUAUAGCCGGUUUGAGUCUCAGCCCAUGUGUGAAAAAUUUUGAAUUCAUGUAGACAUUCGCUCUUUUUCCGUAAUAGUCUUAGUACGGUAUAUCUGGAAAAGUCGUCGAUGAAUGUAACAUAGUAUUCGUAGCCGGAGAAUGUUGGAGUAGCGAUGCGGCCGCUUAAAUCAGAGUGAAUUAAUUCGAGAGGUUGAGUGGCUCUUGUAGUCGCUUGUUUUGGAAACUUUUUGGCUGUAUGUUUGCCAUGGAGGCAUGUCGGGCACACCUGGUUGGAGAUCGUUUUGAGGUGGAUUCCCGUGACAGCUGAGUUGGUAAUUAAGUGCUUGAGGCGGUCAGUACUGGGAUGACCAAGCCUUCGAUGCCACAAGAAUUGUUGCGAGUUUGGAACUGAGGCGACAGCUUGAGUGGCUUCGGGCAACGGGGCUGUAGUGGGUCGUAGUGUCGUAAUAUGGGCGGAAAAGACAGCAGCAGCAAGAGGCAGCCGGUUCGGCCAUGGAGAGAUCUCCGGGAGGCCAUGGUGUCCUUGCGAGUUUGCUGUGCCGAGGUGGAGAGGAAUCUGCUGUGCUUCGUGGUGACGAGUAGGAUUCCGAGGCUCUGGUAGUGGUAGUUGAGAGGCAUGGGAGUUGAGGGCGGAAGAUAACUCCAUGUCGACUAUCCACCAGGCAGAGUCGCUCGUAGUGGGGGAAGACGGCGCUGGAGAGAGCUGUGGUGACCAGCAUACGUGAUCAGGACCGGAAAGGGUCGUCAGUGAAGGUUGCGAGAUAAAAACUCUGUGAUCGGCACUUGGGGGCACGGAAACAGAUGGUGAUUCUCCCGACCAAGCGAUGGUAUGUGCCACCACAUUUUGGGCUGGGAAUUUUGUUGAUCCUAGUAGAUAAAGAUUAUCUCGAAGAGGACAGGAGGCGAGUAUUGUGUUGUCUCUUGCUAAUAGAUUACACAUCUGAUUUUUUAUUAAGAUGCCACCACCUUCGAGAUCAUAGUCACAUACGGAGAAUAGAUUUUUGUGUAAGUCUGGUACAUAUAAGGUAUUGGAGAGACGAAGUGUCUCGCCAUUUGUCAUUGAGAUUUCUACUUCUCCUUGGCCAUAGAUGGGUAAUGUUGUGCCAUCGCCAAGGUAUACUUUGUUGUCAUCAUGUAGAAAUGGUUUGAAAUUAAUGAAUUGUCGUUUAUUAUGUGCCAAGUGGUGGGUGGCACCCGUAUCAAUCAGCCAUUGUGUGUCUUUGGUGGUUCCAGGCUUAGGUGAUUUCGCCGAGCAAAAAGCUUGUGUAAUGUAAACAUGGGCAUAGAAAGCGGGAGGUAAUUCCUCUACUUGUUCUUGCUUCCAUGUUUGGUUAUUUUUCUUGUUAUCAUGAUUUGUUGUUGCUGAAUUUGCAGCAACUUGUGUUUUGUGUUUGAAACACUCGGAACCCCAAUGCCCCAUUUUCUUGCAAUAUGGGCAAGGAGUUGUAGGUUUGUUGCGCUGUUUUGAAAGCUUAUGGUCUUUUGGAUUGGAUUUGUGAGGUUGCCAUUUUGUCUUUCCUUUGCGUCCUACAAAGAGGGCAUGUGAGUCAGAAGAAGAGCUUUUCAUGGCUGUUUCUUCCUGCAAGAGGAUUGAAAUCAGCGUGGGGAGUGUUACAUUCCCCAUUGUGCGAAGCGUUUGUAUCACGGUGCCAUACUGGGAUGGCAUGGACCUCAUGAGAGUGAGGAUUUCCAUUUGAGGAGAAAUGAUAACUCCGACAGAAGUGCAUUGUUGAAGCAGACUUCUGAAGUUGUGUAUAUGUUGAGUUACCGAUUCUCCAAUUUUCAUCUUUUGUGUGAUGAAUUUUUCUUGUAGGUGGAAUUGAGUGACGAUGUCACUUGCGGAGUAUGUAUUUUCAAGGGCCAGCCAUGCUUCAUUGGCUGUCUUGCAUGCUCCGACAAAAUUGGAUUUUCUACGCAUUCCCAAAUUGCUGCUAAAGCAACAUGAUCCUUCCUUUUCCAGGUAAGGAUUUCAGUUUGAUUAGUUGAUGGUGAAGUUGAUGUUGCAUUUACUUCUUGAACAGGUGUUGGUUGUGUUUCUUUUCCUGAAACUACAUCCCAUAGGUUCUCCAUUUCAAACUUCAUUUGAAUCUUUUUCUUCCAGAUGGAAUACCACGAGCCAUCAAACUUAGGCCACUUAUCCGUGGUAAUGAUGCUUGCAGUCAUGUUUGAAGACAAGAGGAGGAUUCGUUGGUGCCCCAACUUUCUAUGUAGAACGUCUUCUACAAAGCCUUCUUUUUCUGUCUCCAAUGUUUUCUUAAAUAUAUAUCAUAAAACUUUUUCAAAGCUUCGCUCUGAUACCAUAUUAGAAGCAAGUGAGCUUGAGAGUUUUUGAUAGAAAGAAUAUAUUACCUGUAUUAAAAAUUGAGUGUACACUGUUAUUAUUCUAUUGAGGGAGAUGCGACCGUUUAGGUCUCGCAUAUUUGACCAGUUGCGACGUUUCACUUAGUUUGUUCGUUACGUUUGGUUAGUCACUGUUAUUGGAUCUCCAGGUGUGGAUCUCCUUGUUUUAUUGGAUCCAUCUCUUGUUGUUGCUCUUUUUAUUCUUUUCUCUUCUUUUGUUUUGUUUCUUUUCUUUUCUUAUUUUUCCCCAUUUUGGAAUCCAAGUAUGAGGGCCACAAUAGACAAAGAUGGGUCAUGUUAAAAUGAUUGGUUAUAAUAGUUGUGCUUGCAUGAUAAACUAAAGGUUGUAUUACUGAUUGGGAAUGAUACAAAGCGGAUUCCACUUGUGCAUCAUUAUAGUGGUAUAUACAUUGCAACACAAUCAAAUUGGGCUGUAAUUUGGAAUAUAAAAGAAUACUUUUCUUUUUCUACUAUUAAUGCUAUGAUAGGGUUUUUGAUGCAUGUUACCAAUUAUCUUGUGUUUUUUAUUAAAAUAGAAUAGUCAAUAAUUUAUUAGAUUUUUUUUCUUUAAAUCAAUUUACCAAAACUAAAUGCACAUUAACUUACCAUGAUUUAAUAAUAUAUAUUUUUUAAAAAAUAUUUACAAUAUUAAAAGAACUUCAAAGUAAUAUUUGAAACUUUUUUAAAAAUUAUAAUAUAAAAAAAUACUUAUAUAGCUCUAAAAUAUUAACCAAUAUUUUAUUUAAAAUUAGUAAAAAUUAUAUAUGUACUUUAUAAUAAAAUAUAAUUUCAAAGAAAUUUCAAAAAAUUUAAUUUUUUGUAAAAUCUAUUUAUAUAUAUAUAUAAAUUAUUCCAACUUGAAUCUAAAAAAACUUAAUUUAAUUUUAAAAAAUGUCUCUAAAAAAGAAUUUAAAAGACAUAAAGAAGUUUAAAAUACAUAUAUUUAUGUAUAUAUAUAUAUAUAUAUAUAUAUAUAUAUAUAUAUAUAUAUAUAUAUAUAUAUAUAUAUAUGAUAACAUUAAAGUAAGAAGAAUUUUUAGAUUUUAUAAAAACAUAAUUCAAAUAAGAAUGAACUUUCUUUGUUUAUCUUUUAAGUACUUUUAGAAAAUUUGAGAAGCUUCAAUAAAAUACUUAUAAGAUAUAUUGUUAAUUUUAUUUACAUAAUAUUUAUUCUUAUUUAAUAUAUAUAUAUAUAUAUAUAUAUAUAUAUAUAUAUACUUGAUUUUUGCUUCAAUAUUUUUGUAAAAAGUAAAAGUGUACUUAGUUGAUCUAAGCAUUUAAUAAUACAAAAAUUAAAAUUAUGAAUAGUUUAUAUUUAAAGAUUUAAAUGUUUUUAUAGAAUUAGAUAGCCAUGGUUAAAAAAAGUCUAUGAAGUUAAUAACAAGAGGUUUUUUCUGAAAUAAAAUAAAUAUUAAUUUAUUUUAAAUCAAUUAAUAUUUUUUAAUAUUAGAUGAGAUAGUAUUUAGGAAAAAUGUACUUUAAAAUAUCAUCGAUGGAAAGUUAUGUUGGAUUCCAAAUGCAUGUGGUCAUGCAUAUCUUUUAGUAUACAUAAAUCAUUCUAAUGUUUUUCAAAAUUCAUACAAAACAAUUUUCUAACUUUAAGAAUAAUAGGAGCUCUCAACAUACUUGAAAAAAAUGUAUCAAAUAAUAUUAGAUUAUUUAUUUAUUUAUUUUUAAUUUAAAAUUAAAUAUUUCUUGAAUUUAAAAGAAUGAAUUAUUAUUGACUAUUAAUUGCAUUGCAUUCUUUUCCUACAAGGUAAUGUUUUAAGAUUAAUUCCAUAUUUUUUUUUAUCAAUUAAAAAACUAUUUCAGUGAAAUAUAUAUUAAUAAAUAAAGUUUAGUAAUAACUCAAGAUUCAUACAAAUAUAGAAUUUUCUUUAUUUUUUUUGUUAAUUUAAAAAUACAACUAGAUUAAAAUUUGUUUCAAAUCAUAAUGUAAUUUUCUGAAGAAAAUUUUAAAUUAUAAUUAAAGUUUUAAAUAAUCUUAUAAUUAAUUUUAAUAACUAUAAUUUUUUUAUUUAAAAAAUAAAAAUAAUAUAUAUAUAUAUAUAUAUAUAUAUAUAUAUAUAUAUAUAUAUAUAUAUAUAUAUUUCAUUUAACUUAAAGUUUAAUUUAUUUAUUUCUAAAGAAACUCCUUUAUAAAUUUUAUAUAUUAUAAGAUAGGCAUAAUUAUUAUAAAAAUAUAUUAAAACACUGAAAUAUAGAUUUGAAAUCCUAGUUUUAUUCUACUAACAUACCUAAUCAUUUAAAGAUUAAGGUAUUAGGUAUGUUAUACAAGUAUAGACUCAUAUAGAUUUUGCUAAAUUUACAGUUUUGUUUUCUAUGUAUGAUUUAUUCUAUUUUUGUCUGGCAUCAUAAAUAUUUGAAAAAGGCUCUUUAGUUGUUCAACUUAUAGUCCAUUAAAAUUAAUAAGAAUUUGUUAAAAAAUAAACUAAAUAUAUUUUAGAAAUAAAAUUUUAACUAAAGUGAAAAAUUGAUAGAAGUAACUCUUUUAUAAUUGUAACUAAACAAUCAACAUCUUACAAGUAUUUAUAACACAUUUCAACUUAAAAUCAACAUGUUAUAAAGUUGAAAAAAUCCUUUAAAGUCUUUGAAUUGCAUUAGUAUUAACUAAAAUGUUUUAAGUGUGAGUCCUACCAAUAAAUCUUAAUUGGAGGAUUGAUUAAAAAUAUAAUUUUAAGUCAAUUAGAUAUGAAAAUAUUAAGAUUAGAGAGUUUAUUAGAUUAUUUGAGUAUUUAUUAAAAUUUAGUAGUGGUUGUAAAUUACAAGAGUGUGAGAUAAAAUAAACCUCCACUAGUUGGAAGAUUACUUUAGUGCAUAACAAGUAAGUUAUCUUGGUAUUGAAAGAUCAUAAAAUUAAAAUCAGCAAAAUAAAUAAAUAAAUAAAUAAACAAGUUGAGAAUUAAGAAGAGGAAUUCUUUAAAUAUGCAUUUUGUGAGUAGAUUGCUAUUGUAAGUGUAAGUCUAUAGUAGAGAUUGUUUAAUAACUUGAGUGAUUUAAGAAGAUUAAAGAAUGAAAUAAUUGGUAAUUAGAUCAUAGUUAAGACUUCUAAAAUUCACAUAGUAACUUACUUGUUAUGCACUUAAGUAAUCUUACAACUACUGGAGGUUUAUUUUAGUCCACACUCUUGUAACAUACAACCACUACUAAAUUUUAGUAAAUAUUUAAAUAAUCUAAUGAACUCUCUAAUCUUGAUAUUUUCAUAUCUAUCAUAUAUUUAUUCUUCAUUUUUUUUUUGCUAUUUUCUAGUCACACUUUAUACUAAAAAUUACAGAAAACUCUUAAUUUAGGAUAUCUUAUAAUUUGGAUUUAAUGGUGAAAUUUUCCUUCAUAUAAAUAGUGAGUUUGUUGAAAGGUGGUGGUUCUAAUUGUGUGUAUGAAUGUGGGGUAAGUAUACUUUGAUAAAACAUUUAGUUGGUAUUUUUGGAUAAAAAUUUUAAAAUUAUUCUUCAUCAUUUGUAAUAAAAUUUUUAGUAGAAGAAGAUUAAUUACUUUGGUAAUUUCAUGUACUCCAUGUUUGUUAAAACAUUUUUUGGUGCUUGAUGACUAUUUGACAGUAUAUAUAUAUAUAUAUAUAUAUAUAUAUAUAUAUAUAUAUAUAUAUAUAUAUAUAUUUUAAAUUCAAGAACUUUAAAAAUAGGUUUAUAGUGGUACAAAUUUAAAUUCAAUUAAAUGAGAACUAAAUUUGUGGUAAUUUUUGGAAUGGAAGGAGGUUUCUGCCUUAAGAAAAAUACAAUUGAGGUUAGUGAUUUCUAUUUCAUCCAUCAUUUAUCUUAUUGAUAUUAAAUUACAUUUUAAAAUUUCAUGUUUUGAAUUUUUUUUAAUUAUAUUAAAAUAUUAUAAUAAAGAAAUAAAUAAUAAAAUAAUUUAAAAAUAAUAAUUAUUAUUAUAUUAGAAUAUAAUUAAUAUUUAAUUUAUUUUGAGUUUUACUUUUUUAAUUGUAUUUUAUUUUAUCUCAUUUUAUGUGAUGAUAUUUUUUUUUAUUUAAUUUUAAUUUUUACUUGUCUUUUAAUAUUUAAAUAUUUUAUUUUAUUUUUAUAAUUAAUUUAUAUAUAUAUAUAUAUUUAUAUGCAUGGUAAAUUUUAUAUAUUAAUAUAAGUUUAAUAAUUAUUUUAUUUAUAUGCAUAUUAGUUCUUCUUACCUUAAAAUUGUUUUAAAUUUUUAAUAUUAGUAUUAGUAUUAUUAUAUUAUCUUCAUUAAGUUGAUUAUCUCCCAUUAAGUAUAAAGAAUAGAAUUCAAAUACAAAGAGUAUUGCAUAGAAAAAUUAAUUGGAUUUUAAACUUCGAUAAAACAAAGGAAUAUGGCAUAGCAAAAUUAAUUAGAAUUUAAAUUUUAUCUUCUCAAUUUUAUUUGAAAUUUUAAACAAGCAAAUAAAAAAGCACAACUUAAAAAAAUUAUGUGUGUGUCUAACCUUAGUUUUUUUUAUUUUUUUUAUUUUUUUUUAAAUUUUAGGUACACUUGAAAAAGAACAAGUAGGACUUUUUGUCUUAAUGGUAAUAUUUUAAUUAUACUAUCAUCUUAUAGUGUAAUUGAAUACUAAAAUAUUCAAUUCUAUGUUCCAAGAAUUUUUCCAAUUUAUAAUUGUGAUGGAUAUUUUCAAUUUUUAGAUAUUUUGUAGGAAGUGAUGUUGAAUUGAUAGCUAACAUGACUUUAUUUUGGCAUUGAAUAUAUACUUGUGGAAAGUGAUAAUUCCUCUGAAGCAUAGUUAAUUGUUGCAGGUUGCUAUGCAAGUUAUCUUUUAUCCUAUUUAUUUAGUUUUUAUAAUAUCCACAUGUUGAAAUUUUUAAAGUAUUUGUACUAUCCUUAUCAAUGUUUUUUAAUCUCUAAAGAAUCAAUUAAAGUCCAACUAACAAGUAAUUUUAUUUUUUUAAGAUUAAUACAAGAUCUCAACUUGGUAUUUUUAAUUUGACCAUGUAUAUCACUUAUGAAAAAAGUUUAAUUCUUGGAUGAAAACUCUAAUUUGAAAUUGGCAUUUUAACAUCACUUCCUACAAAAUAGAUCUCAUUUUAGUUUAUAAUUAAACCACAUGCCUUACAAAUAAGUAAGAAGAAAAAAAACCUUAUAAUAUUUUAUAAAAUAAAAAUAAUUUAAAGACUACUUAUUUAAUUUUGAACUAUCUACUAGGUCUUUUUUGCCUUAAGCAAGUUAUUUUAAAAAGCCGUAUACUUAAUUGUAUGUUACUUAAAGUUAAAUCUAAAGUAGCUUAUCCUCUUAACAACCUUAUUUUGUAAUUUGGACAUAUUUUAUAAAAUCAAGUAAAAAUAGAACCUACAUUUUUAGAAAUUUACAUAUUUGAAGAACUUUGUGACAAAGUAUCACAAGAUUUUGUUAGAAUAGAGCAUAAUAGAAGAUAUCUUUAAGAAUCUCAAGUAAUACUUUGGAUAAAAAUAGACUUAGUAUUGUUUUUAAUUUUUAAUAGCUCAUACAUUAAUUUACUAAAUAUCCUUCAAAAAAUACUUAUUCUUAGGUAGUGAGUGAAAUUAUUUUAAAAAAAAAUCAUCUUAAACUUAUUACUUGAUGAGUGAAAAAAGUCUAAGAAUAAUAAAUCCUUGACUCAAAAUCUAUUCUAAUAAUAUUGUACAUUUGCAUCUUAGAGAAUCUGAGGACAAACCACUUUAUGCAUUAAUCAUUUGAAUAACAACCUCAUACUUCACCUCAAUGCCUACUAAGCUCUCCAAAUCAUCAAAAGUUGUAAUAAAAUAUUUAGAAAAUUCUUAAAUUUCAUCUGCAAUCCUACAAAAGAGUAUACUAAGCAAUUACAUCACCAAAUAUAUGAUCUCUAGUUGUGGUGAGAAAAAGCAUGAAUACAUAAGACAAAUUCACACUUUAAAUUUAAAGUCAUUUUUGAUAAAAAAAUUCACUACUAAUAUAUAAUUUGUAAGGCAUCUAAGUAUAUUCAUGUCUUUGUUGUCAAUAUAAGUUCAAUUCACUUGUGCAAAUAAAUUAGUUAGAUUUUAGAAAGGAUGUUAAAAAGAGAUUAAUUUCUAUGAUUAUUCAUUCAAUUAUUUUCAUCCAAAUAUUAGAUUAAAAUAAUUCUAAUAGUCUAUUAGAUAUUUUUUCUUAGAUUGCAUCUAUUUUCUUUUAUUUAUAUAUUUUUCAAUUACAUUAUACUCAUUUUUUUGUUUGUUUGUUUUUAUUUUUGUUUUAUUUUUUAUUUUAUUUUAUUUAUUUAUUUAUUUAUACAUUGAUCAUUGAUCUAGAAUUUUAAAAAUUCAUCUCUAUUUAAGAUUCUAGUCCGCUUAAGUUAUGGAAAAUACAAGUAGUAAAAGAAUCCACUAUACUCUAUACAAAAUAAAGGUUAUUGAUAUAGUGAAAGACCUCCAUCAACAAUGUUGUGUAACAACACAACUAUAUAGGGAAAAAUAAAAAUAUAGAUGUUAUUAUAGAAGAAUCUAAUAAAAAGUUAUAGUAGAUAAAUAAAAAUAAAUAAUAAAAAAAUAGUAAAUGAUAUAGUCUUAAAAUUUUCUUUUUUUAGAAAGAUCUUCUAUUUACUUUGUAGAGGCAUAAAUAAGCCAAAUCAAAAUAAAUAAGAUAAGAAAUUAAUAUAAGCAUGUUUAAAAGAAAAUUAAAAUAGAUUUAAGUAAAACUUACCUCAAAUUAUCAAAAAUUGAUACUUAGAGAGGACCAAUUGUCAAUCAAGGUCAAAAUCAGACCCUAAGGCAUAAAUCCACAUCCAUAUGGCAAUUCCAAAGUUUUUGUAUAGAUCAAAGAGUAGAAUUUGAGAGCAGAAUAAAGAAAAGAUUUUUAAACAUUGGUUUUAUGUCAUUUAAAUCAAUAUUGAGAUUUUGAAGGAUUUCCAAAGUUAAUAAUGUUCUCGAUAGAAUUAAGAUUUGAAAAAUAAAAAUAUGUUUACAAAUUUGAUAGUUUCUUGAGUUUUGUGGUGUGUGUAUAAGUAAAAUUUGGGCAAUAUUUUGGUAUACUAGUUGAAAAUGUGUAUGAAAAUUUUGAGGUCAAUCAAACAAUUAGAUUGAAGUAUAUAAGAGAUUUUGUGGAUUGAGGUUUUAAAAAAUGGACUUUGAAAGUUAGUAAGUUUUUUUAAGAUUUUUAGCAAUUUUUCAAUUGGAUUGAAGUGAAUUUUUUUUUAUAUGGAUACUAGACUCAAUUUCCAAUGUUUGAAUGAAAUUUGAAAGCAAUUCAAUACUUCAAAAAGAUAUUGGUGCUAGAAGUUCAACAUUCAAGUUGAAAAAAAAAACCGCCUAACAUCCAAUUGGAUUAUCUUGCAUUUCUCUUAAUUGAUAAGUGCAAUUCAUUUCAUCUUUUUUGUACUUCUUUGUAACUAAGAUAUUAAGAAGUAUGCAUAUUUUGAGUUGAUAUCAAUGGUUUGAUUAUUAGUUGCUGAGGUUUCAAUCUCCUAUAGGAUUUAUUAAGAAUUUGUUUAAGAUUUAAAAUUUGAUUAAGAUUUGCUUAGGAUUUGGUUUAAUCUUUGUCUAAGAUUUGGGACUCAUUAGAAUUUUAUUAAGUUUUGAACUAGGAUUUUCUUAAGAUUCAAUUAAGAUUUUAAUUAAGAUUUGAUCUAAGAUUUAAUUUAGAUUUAUUAGGAUUUUAAUUAAGGUUAAUUUAGGAUUUUAUUAGGAUUUAUUGAAGACUUUUAUUUCUAUUAUUUCUUUAGGAUUCUUUAUUUUUUCUUUAAAAAAAUUUAUUUCUAGUAUUUCUUUAUAAUUAUUAUUAUUUAUUUAAAGGUUUAUUUUUAUAUUUUUUUAAGAUUUCUUGUUAUUUUUUUUUGAGAUUAUUUUAGGACUUCUUUGUGUUUCUUUUAUAACUUCUUUUAAUUUUAUAUUAGAUUAGACAAAGUUUGAUUAGGAUUAUUAAGGUUUACCUAAAAUUUAUUCGAAAUUCUAUUAGACUUUGUAGAAUUGUUGUUACAUUUCUACUUACAUUCCACAUCUAAGUGCUUGUUGUAUUCUCAAGCAAGAAUAUACUUAAUAUGACAUGUAUAGUGAAUACAACGUGAAAGCUUGAGGUAUGAGGUAUUAGAAUUUUUUUAUUUUUAAUUUUUAUUUAAUAGAUAACAAAAGCUAUAGGACGAACUUCAAGUAGAGUUGCAAUGGAAUUUCCUCUAAACGAUAAGGUAUAUAUAUGGAUCCAACCAUUGCAAGCAUAUUCUAAGCUUUUAUAUUAUUUAUACAACAACAAAGGAAUGAUUGCAAGGAAGCUUUGGCAACCAAAACAUUACAUGUAGUAGUUAAUAAUAUUGACUAAUUUGAUAGAAGAGACAUCUCAAAGUAUUUAAGAUGUUAUGUACAAAUACUGGAAUCAAAUUGGAUUUCUAAGAAGAAGAUAAUUGAACUAUUUGGACUUGCUAUAAUAUUGGAGAUAUGAAAACAUGUUAUAUCAAUUACAAAGCAUUAUGAGAGUUUAUAGGAGUACCAAGGAUAUGAAUUGAAAGAAGAUGUAUAAAUCUAAAAAAUUUGUGUUAAAAAAAAAGUAACAAAAUAGCAAUAAAGUAAUAUGUAUAUUAAAAAGAAACUGGAAUGGCUAUUGCCAAAAGACAAAGAAACUAGAGACUCUUAAAUCUAGACUAAAAGCAAGAAAGAACUUGAUAAGAGUGAAGAAACUUCACUCUUGCCUCUAUAUAUACUAUCUAAUUAAGAGCUAUGUGACAAUGUUCUAUAGGACCUCUAAUAUGUAUUGACUUUGUGAGACACAUGCUUUAGCUUACAAGGUAUGUUUUUUGCAUGUAAGCCACAUAGUUAGCUUAUUCUUCAAGCUAUCAACAUGUGUGGCACAUGACCAACUUGUUGACCAUGUUUCUAACCUAAAAAGUCAAUUAAAGACAUCUAUAAAGUCAACGUAGCAUCUAUGAAGCUUUUAGGAAGUUACUAUAGAUGAUAUUAUGGAAUUAACCUACUUUUACCUACUUUUAUUUAAAUCAUGUAGAUAAUUAUUGGUUUAUAUGUAUAUGUCCAUGCCAUUACUUGCCCUUUUAGGAACAAGUUCCAGGAGGAGCAGUCUUCAUAUGCUGAAGAAAUCUAAGAUGCAACAAAUUAUAUUUGCUACAUACUCUGAUCUUUGUUUUCUUCAAAAAUAGUUGAUAGGUCUUUUCAGCCAUUGAUAGUGUCCCAUAUCAAGAUAAGAAGACCACUCUGUUGUUUGGUCAUUGUUGAGACCUUUGUAACUUCUUUCAAAUAAAAUAUUUGAAAGAGCGUCAAGAGUUGUUCCUACCUCUAAUACAAUCACCAAACAUCAAAAGUCUCUUUCAAGGUCAUGAUAUCAAAUAUGUUGUAUCUCGCCAUCUAUUCGAGGAAGGAUAUGUUAUUCUUUAAAAUCUUUAUCUUGAUUUUGUCAUCUUGAAGGUUGCAAAAAUCACAAUGUCUCAUCUAGUAAGUUUAAAAAUGAAAGCUCUUAAGUUGAAUCUAUUAGUUAUUGGUUUUCUAUCUCCUUAGCAUCAUAAAUAUACAGAAGCUACAAAAAAAAAUAGAAGUUCGAAUGCAAAUUUUUCUGGAUUUUGUUUCAUUUAUAGUAAAAGAUUUACUAUUCUUCAUCUUAAUUUAGAUGGAUACUGUCGAUGAAAAUCCUUUAUUGCCUUUGUUAUAUUUGUAAGAUUUUUUUACUAGCUCCCAUUUGUAUUCACUAAUAUCAUAUCUGUACCAAUGGAUAAGAUAUUCUAAUUUAUUUUGGCAUUGCCUUAAGUCUAAAACUUCUUCUACUUUGAACUCUUCAUUAUUAUCCAUUUUUAAAGUAAGAAGUGGAUCUUGUUUUCUUCUUGGUAUGUUCAUAGUCUUGUAUGGUUCAAGAAGAGACAUGUAGAAGACAUAAUGGAUCUUCAUUGCUUCUAGUAGAUGUAAUCAAUAAGCAACUAGAUUGAUUUGUAUACAAAUAAGAAAAGAUUCAAGCCUACAAUAGUCCAACUUAUCAUAAGGAUAAGUAGUCUUGAUAUUACAAUGAAACAACUAUACCUUGUCACCUACAUUGAAUUAUGGUUGUUCCUUUUGAUAAGCAUCCAUGUUGAUCUUUUGUUCUUCUUGAGAUUCUUUUAAUUGUACCUUCAUUAUUGCAUGUAACUUUGACAAAUGAUUUACCAAACCUUCUGCCAUAGGAUUAUCAACUUUUGAAAAGUCAAAAAUAUCAAGUUGUGGAUGGUAACCAUAAUUGACAAAGAAAGGUGUUUGUUGCAUAGAAAAAUGUAUCAUAUUAUUAUAAGCAAAUUCUACUAAUGGCAAGAAGGCUUUUUAAUCGUCUUAUUAAUAAUUGAUGGUAUACCUAAAGUAUUGCUCUAAAACUUGAUUUACGUGCUCUCUCUGUCUAUCAGUUUGAAGAUGAAAGGUCGAAGAAAGCUUUAUAUCCACUUUUAAAUUCUUAAAAAGAAUUCUCCAAAAACUUAAUACAAAUUGAGUCCCCCUAUCUAAUAUAAUAUUUUUCAACAAUCCAUGAUAUUGAUAGAUAUUGUCAAAAAAAAGCUUGAAAUUUUUUUUUACUUGUGAUAGAUUUUGUGUAUAGUACAAAAUGUGCUAUUUUAGUAAAACGAUCUACUAUCACAUAUAUAGAAUCACACGAUCAUGAAACUAAAAGAUCUGUAAUAAAAUCCAUAGAAGUAAAAGAUCAUGGUUGUUCUAGAAUAGGUAAUGGUUGAAAAAGUCUAUAAAGUCAAUGUUGAGGAUUUUUUGACCUUGAAAAAAUGUCAUACGAUUGAACAAAGUCUUUUAUAGCUUUCUACAUUUGCGGCCACCAAAAAUCUCUAGAUAUUAGCUUUAGAGUCUUAUUGUAUCUAAAAUGUCUUACUACUAGAAAGUCGUAAUGUGCUUGAAGAACACGUAAAUCUACUUCUCUUUCUAGCACAUAUAGGCAUCCUUCAAAAUAAAGUAGGUUGUUCUUGAACUCAAACUUAGAAGUAUCACAAGACUUAGAAGAAAUAUUCUUGAUAUUAUGAACAAGAGAAUAAGAAGGCAUACUUAACUGAAUUUUUUUGAGAAAAGUUGAAUCAACAAUUAAUGUUGAUUUCACUACUCGAAGAUGAAAUUGUUUUGAUUUCAAUAAAAUUAUCCUUUAUUGAUCAAAAGGUGCAUCUCCUUCUUUAAGUGCAAGAUAAAAAUGUCUAGAAAGGGCAUCAGAUAAGCUUUAUUAUUUUUCUCACCAAUAAAUGAUAUUGAACUCAAAUUUUGACAAAGACAUGCUCCAACAAGCUUGACAACGAUUCAAAAUAUGAGCUGACAUGAAAUACUUGAGGUUCUUGUGAUUUAGAUAUACAAUGAUUAGACUAGAAGCACCUUCUAGAUAAUGAUGCCAUUUUUAGAAAGAAUCCACAAUUGUAAAAAGUUUUUUGUUAUGGAUCUCAUAAUUAAUCUUGGUUGCUGAAAAUUUUCUAGAAUAAAAAGCUACUAGGUGAAGUUCAUCAUCUAUUCCCAUUUGUGAUAAUACGACAUUUAAAAUAAAGUUUGAUAUAUCUGUUUCCAUAAAGAAUGCCUUAGAAAAGUCAAUGUAAUACAAGAUUGGUGUAGAAACAAAGACUGUCUUUAAAGCUUCAAAUGCUACUUCUGCUUCCUGAUUCCAUUGAAGUUUGUCUUUACAAGUCAAACACAUUAGUAGAGCUAUAGUUUGAGAGAAGUCCUUAAUGAAGAUUUGAUUGUAAUUGAAAAAUCUCAAAAAAUAUUGGACAUCUUCGACUGUUUUUGGAUUCUUCAAAUCCAUAAUUUUUUGAACAUUUUUAGGAUCCAUCAUAAAUCUAUCAUUUGAAAUGAUGUAACCUAAGAAGUCAACUUGAGUAGUGUGAAAUAUACACUUUUUUAUCUUGGCAUAGAGUCCUACAUCUCUUAAUUUUUGUAAUACAUGACAAACAUGAAGUUCAUAUUCUUCUUUAUUUUUAGAAUAGAUUAAGAUAUUUUCUAAAGAACAAACAACAAAAUUAUCCAAAAACUCUCAAAAAAUAUCAUUCAUAAGAUGUUAAAAAUUUAUUGAUGCAUCUGUAAGUCCAAAAGGCAUGACAUUAUAUUCAAAAUAUCUAUACAUGGUUUGAAAUGAAGUCUUCCAUUCAUCUCUUUCUUUGAUGUAUACUAGAUUGUAUGUUCCUCAUAGAUCUAUUUUUGUAUAGAUCUUAGUUUGAUUCAACUGAUCAAAAAGUCUGGAUAUUAAAGAUAGUGGAUACCUGUUCUUGAUGGUGAUCUUAUUGAAUCCUCGAUAAUUAACACACAUCGAUAAUGAUCCAUUAUUUUUCUUCACAAAUAAAAUUGGAGCUCAUACUAGAGAUUUGGAAUGGCGUAUGUAGUUCUUAGCUAGAUUCUCUUCAAUAUAUUCUUUGAUUUCUACUAACUCAUUUUGUGAUAAAUUGUAGAUUGAUCCAAAUAGCAGUUGUACUCCUUCUUGAAGGUCAAUUGAGUAAUCAUAGGGAUGAUGUUCUAAAAGAAUAUCUACAUUUUUUUUUUUUCAAAUAUAUCUUGAAAAUCUUGAUAUUGGCUUGGAAUACCACUUGAAGUCUUUGCAAUAUUAGAAACGGGUGUGGUAUAAAUGACACAAGGUGAUCCUUCUUUUGCAACAUGCAAGAAAGUUCUUGCACCUACAAACAUAGGUUUAAUUGUACUAGACUUGUGAUUUUUUACUUGAUUAAUUACACUCUUAAUUAUACUUUUAGAAAAGUCAAGAGUAUGAAAAAUCCAAUCUACUUGAGGAUUGUAUUUUUCUAACCAUAAUAAACUAAAAUGAUUGGAUUAGAAGAAAAUCUAAUAAUAUUAAAUACCACUAAGUUAUUAUGACCAUUAGUUAUUACUUCUAUAUGAAGGAUUUUGUGAGUAACAUCUCCAGAAGACAAUGGGUGACCAUCUAUGACUUCUACAUAAACAUGCUUAGUUUUCAUUAUUAAUGAUAUGUUAAGUCUUUUAGCAAAUUCUUCAUCUAAAAAACAUGCUAGGGCUUUUGAAUCUAAUAAGGCAGAGGCUUUAUAAUACAUAGGUCUUAAAAUAAUAUUUAAUGUAAAACAAAGAAAGGGUUCUGAGGAGAGAAUAAGACCUUCAUUAGAUAUUGUAUAAGGUUUCAAUUGUACGGUUCCUAUUAUAGUUGAAUAAACUUGUUUUCUAAUAUAUUAUCUUCUUUUAUAUUUGUACUUUUUAUUUUAAUAAUUGCAUUGCUUCUUUGGACAAUGUUUAGUAGUGUACUUAAAUUCUCUAUAAUAUAAGUACAAUCCUUCUUGACAACAUCGAAUCAUUUCUUGCUCAAUAAGAAGUUUAAAAUAUAUCACAUCAAUUUAUAUAUCCUCAACUUUUGAAUGUAUGUAUUGAGGAGGUAUUGGUGUUGCCAUUGAAUUAUAGUAAUGUUGAGGCAUACUUCUCUGACUCUUAGAUUAAAAUUUAAAAAGUCAAUUGUCACACUUCACAACAAAGUCAAUUACUUGUCUCAAUGUUUGAGGAUCACAUAAGUUGAGCAUGAAUUUCUUUACUUCAUAUUAUAAUCCAUAGAAAAAUUGGCUAAUAAGUAUAGCAUCAUCUCACUUGAUAUCGGUUGCAAGUUGUUAAAAUUGCGAAGCAUAUAAUAUUAUGAAUCAGUUGUCUUGUCGUAAAAUACAAAUCUUAUUAGUCGCAACCUGAAUUGCAUCAUGUUCUCCAUACAUGGAUCAAAACUCUACUAAAAAAGCCUCCAAAUUAUCCAAUAUUAGAUCUCGUCGUUCAAUAAAAGAUAAAAAUCACAAUAAUACUGAACUUAAAAGAAGUGUAUCAAUGAAUCUAACUUAUGAUCCUUGAAUUGAAUAGCUUUGGGAUUGAAGUUCAAUCAUGAGUUAUACUUGAUUGAUUAAUCUUUGAAACUUAGAUCUUGUGCUAUCAAACUUCUUAGGCAAGGCAACUCUUGAUUCUCUAAUACUGAAAGGAUGUUCCAUCAUAGGAGAAAGAACGUGAUUGAGUGCAGAUGUUGAAGUAGCUCUAAUCAUAUCUAUAUUAUGACUUCCUGCCAUUCUUGUUCGUAGUAAACUCAGUUGAGGCAUCACAAGUAUUAGCUUCCUCAAUUGUUCUUAUAUUUGUACCAUUACACUUUCUAUUUCAACAAGCUUUACUAUGAUAAUACUUAGAAAAUAAAUAUCUAAUAUUUCUCAAGACAAGCAGAAGAAGAGACUUAAGAACAAAGAAGAUACUAAGAACAAUGUUAUUUUAGAAGAAAAUAAUCCUCAACUUCUAAUAUGCUUAUAUCUUAACCAGAAAAAGGAAUGAUCUACUCUUAAUGAAGAAAAGACAAAGCUCUAAUAUUGUAAGAAUACUCUUGUGAAUUUGUCAAGGAUAUGAACUAAAAGAAGAUACAUAAACCUGAAAAAUCUAUGUUAAAAGAAAAGUAAAAAAAUAUCAAUACACUAGUAUGUAUAUUAAAAAGAAACUGAAUAUCUAUUGCGAAAAGACAAAGAAAUUAGAGACUCUUAAAUCUAGACUAGAAGCAAGAAAAGAGUUGAUAAGAGUGAAGAGGACUUUAUUCUUGCCUCUAUAUAUACAAUCUAACUAGGAGCUAUGUGGCAAUGUUUAAUAGGACUUCUAAUAUGUGUUAACUUUGCAAAACACAUGCAUUAGCUUACAAGGCAAGUUUUCUACAUGUGGGCCUCAUAAUUAGCUUGUUCUUCAAGCUACCAAUAUGUAUAAUACAUGGCCAACUUGUUGACUAUAUUUUUAUCCUAAAAAAUCAAUUAAAUAUACCUAUAAAGUCAAAGCACUACCUAUAAAGCUUCUAAGAAGCUUAUAUAAAAGAUAUUAUCAAAUUAACUUACUUUUAUUUAUUUUUAUCUAAAUCAUAUAAAUAAUUAUUGAUUUAUAUGUGUAUGCUUGUGACAAGGAGAUAUUUUCAUAUGCAUUAAAAGAUGAAUAUUUCUUGAAAGAUAUUGAUUUUAUUACUAAGAAAUUAUUUUUAGAAUGGAUUGAAGGACCUAACAAGAAUUUACAAGUAAUAGAAUUAUUAAACGGGUUUAAUAGAAAAUAUUCUCUAUUAUCAAAGGUGAAAAAAUUAAUAUUGGAGUUAGAAAAGGUUGAAUUAUUUCUUCAAGCACCCAAUAGAAAAUUACAAGAAAAAAUAAAAUUAUUUCUUAAAGACAAAGAAGAAGAUGAAGGAUUAAAAAUGAAGUGGAAAAAUGUUAAAAAUAUUGUGGAUUUGCUUAUAAAACAAGAAAGAAGGAAGGAUAGGAUUAAUAUUCUAAGAUUAAUACAAUAACCUAAAACUUAAGUACAUAUAAUAUGACCAAUAAUACCUAUUAUUUAAUCUUUAAUAUUUACACCAAAGAAAGAAAAUAUGUGAGUUGAAGAAAUUAUAUGUGGUAUGAAAGAUCUUCAAAUCAAAUUAAUAUGAUUUGAAAAAAAUACUUCUUCACCUAAUUUGAAAGCUAUUCUUAAACAAAAGUAUGUACAAAGAUGCAUUUGAUGUGACGAUGUUUCUCAUACUAGGAAGGAUUGCAAUGAAUUCAAUGAUAUGGUGCAACAAUAAAUUAUGUUUUGGAAAGAUGGAAAGGUAGCAUUAAAAAAUUAUAACGAAUCCCUUUCAAAUAAAUUUUAACAAAGAAGGUAUGAAAGCAUUGAUUCAAGACUAUUUAGUGGCACAUGGAAUAGCAACACAAAAAAGUACAAGUUAUGGUGCUAGAAUAGAUGAUGACUUUAAUGGAAGUAUAGAAAUAAAUAGAUUUUAGACUUUGGCCAUUUCUAAAAUAUAAACAAAAAAGACACUUUAAAAAGUAUUAUUGAAAACUACAACUACAAUACAAGGUGCAAUAGGUUGAAAAGAUCUUAUAGAAGCUCUGUUAAUUCAUGCAUAUAUUACUAAGAAUCAACAUAAAGCCUUUAUGCAAGAAAAAAAAAAAAUAAUAAUAAUGAUAAUAUAAGAAAAGAAAAUUCUUCAAAGAAGCAAACUUAAAGAGAUAAAAUUUGUGAAGAACCUUCAAAAGAAUUGCCUACAAAAGAUACUCCAACAAUAUUAAAAGAAAAAACAAGAGAGAUAAAAAAAUAAAAGUAAAUUAAUAACUUAUAAAUUAUUCUUUGAUAUUAAAGUAGCAACAAAUUUAAAAGAAGUGAUGGAAGAAUGUGCAUUAAAUACUAGGGUAGAAUUCAUGUUAAAAGAAAUUUUAAAAAUUACAAAGAAGGAAUUUUAUGAUGUUAUUAUUGACAAUAUUAAAAAAAUAAAAAAAUAAAAAAAAUAAUGGAUAAAAUUAGAAUGAAUCAUGCUAUUGAUGAGAGAAUAUAAAAGGAUAAAAAGAAGGUUGAUAAUUAUUAUAAGCAAUUACCAAGUGAAAAAAAUGGUUAUAAUCAAUGAAUAUAUUUUGAGGAUUAUAGUAACAAUGAAAUAGAAGCUUCAAGCCAUUAUACUCGUAAGCAUUGAACAAGGACAACUACAAAAGUAAUGGUGAAGAUGGGAGAUAUAGAAGAACCAAUUAUUAAUAUAAUUGAAUACAAUUUUGAGAUAAAUCUUACGUCUAUAAAUCUUUAUAAGAAGCAAAGGUGGCCAAUUGAUAUGGAGCAUGAAUGGGCAAUAGAAGUAGCUAAUAAUACACAAGGUGAAUUAUAUGUAGCUUGCCUAGAUGUUAAAAUCCGAAUUGGAGAUGUUGAAAUAAAGCAAAAAAAUUUUGUUGAAGAUACAACAUCUUAUCCAAUGAUUUUAGGACAACCAUAUAUUACGGCAACAUAGAUGGAAAUAAAAGUGCUUGAUGAUAAUUUAGCCUAUAUAUGGAUACAUAGUGAAGAUAGAAUGAAAGUGGUAUAAUUUCUAAUUGUGCUUCCUAAUCAUAAAAAAAAUUGAAAUAAGUUGAGGGAGAAGUUGUUGCCAAGAGUUGUUGAAGGAUUUAUGGAUUUUAAAGAAAUACCACUAUAGAGUGGAAUUAUAGAGGUACAAAAGAGAAGAUACUCUUGCAAGAUGUAAAUACUUUUGAUAUAAGUUUUAUUAGUAUUUUUGAAUAUAGAAGUAUUACAUACAAGAAAAUUUAAGAUUUAAAAAAUAAUAAUAAUAAUAAUAAUAAUAUAUGAUAUUAAAAAAGAAUUAUAUAUGUUAGAAACAUUAAAAGAUGAUGAGAGUAUUUUAGGUAUUGAUGAAGAAAAUAAAUUGGAAGAUUCUUUGGAUUUAAUUAGGUCUAUUAGAUUAGAAGAUAAUGAUAAGGUUGUAGAAAUUCAUUUAAGAGAGAUUUAUUCUGUACUUGAAGUUAUUAUAGAGAAAAAAUAUAAAAUCAUAGAAAAGAAAAUAAAAUCAAUUACUAGAUGUUUACUAAUAGAUUUUAUAGAAUAAAUAGAAGAAGCAUCAUAAAAAGAGAGUUUAAAGGAUCCUAAGAAUAUUGGACAUCAAUUUACAAAAGAGACUUUUGAAGAGUUGAAGGUUGGAUGUAAUACUUCUUUAUUACUAAUAAAAAUUAAAUAUUUUAAAGAAAUGUUUACAAAAUAAGGAAAAUCUUUUAUCUUUAGACCUCAUAAAAUAGGAUAUAUAGAUCUUAAUAUUGUUAUUCCUAUGGUUAUUUUUACAAUACUAUAUGUACUUUAGAACUUCAAGCCAAUUCUUGUGCCAAAGGUACAUUUCUAAAUUGAUGGAAUUAUUAAAGGAGAAGAUGUAAAUAAAGAUUUUUGAGCCUUGCUUUGCUCCAUAUUCUAAUCGUUGGUUUAUAGCACCUAAGAAAAAUAUAUCAUUAUGUUUUUAUUUAAGAUAAGCAGCUAGUAAAUGCAAUAACUAUUAAAAAUGUACAUUAUCAAAUAGCAUGAUUUACUAUCUAGGAAUAUACUGGGUAUCUAGCUAUAGAGAGUUUAGCUUAAAAUUUUAUAUGUAUCUUGUCUUAGCUUCCAAAAUUCUUUUAUUUUGCACAAAAUUUAAAAUAUAGCAAAAUCUCUUCAAAACAUAUUUUUUUUCCGUGAAGGAUUUUCUCUUUCUAAACUUUAGAAAUUCAUAACUCUUGAUUUAAUUGUUCAAUUUGUCUCAAAUUUAUAGAAUAGGUAGAAUUUAUCCUUAAGUUUUAUCUUAAAAAAAAAACAACUACAAAAUCGCUUUCGAUCUUUUGGCAUCUAAGAAGCCCUACUAGAUGCUCUAAACCCUAAUUUACAAGCAUCUAAGCACUAUUUUCUUAAUAUCUCAAGAAUCCAAUACUUAAAUAUCAUCAAACUUAUGUACAAAGUUUAUUAACAUGAAUUUACAUAUUCCCAGAAAUUUUGAGCCAAAACCUUGUCAAAUUGCUCAAGAUAUAGCUCAAGAUACAACCACUAGUAAAUCGGGUCACUUACUACUCUUAGAUUGCAUGCACUGACUUCAAAAUCCAAUAACUUCUUUAUUUCAAUGUUGAAUCCAGCAAGCAAUAUGCAAAAAGUGUAGCCACAAACGUGCUCUCUCUAAUUGCAAUCGCCGAUCCUCAAUUGCCCUCUGUACACGUGCGUUAUGUCAAAAAUAGUGACAAUAGCUCUCAAAUCAACACCUUAACUUUGAGCGCCUAUAUCUCCUUUAUAUAAACUCCAAAUCAUAAAAGAUUUGCACCAAAACCAUAGCCAAAAAUGUAAACUUGCUGAUCCUAGCCUUCAAAACUCAAAUGGCUCCGAAAAACUAACCCUAAUCUCUAAUAUGGCCUCAGGCAACCUCCUCAAAAUCCAUUGGUCAUGAUUUUUGACCAAUAGGAAUGGAGAUUUUUAUCAUCCAUCUCCAUUUAUUUAUAUGGAUGCCUCAAACUCUCUUUUUACUACCAAAAUCCCUCUCCAAUUCUUUUUUUUACAAGAUUUACUCAAUAUUUGUCCUAAACACCAAAUUAAAGAAUCAAAAUAAGACUUCAAGGGUCACUAAUAUCUAAUAAAGGUCACUCUAAAUAUUUAAAAUUACUACCAACAAAAUUAAUCUCAAAAGCUACUAUCAAAAGAAAAUAAAGUUAUACAAAUUCUAAUAGUAAUCCUUCUAAACAACUUCCUUUUAAAAUAGUAAUUUAACCACAUUCUACAACCAACUAAAAUCUAAUAACAUGGCUCUUACUAUGUUGUUAAGUAAAUUGUACAUUAAAUACAUAAUCACAUUAUUUUCACAUGGUAGCCGAACCAUAACACAACAACAUAUAGGACCUUUAAUAAAUGAGUUUGUAAAAGUAUUUGUAGAAAGAAAAAUUUAUUCAAUGGGUGAUUUAUAUUUGAGCUAUGAUCAAUUUUAACUUGUAUCUUAUUUUAACUUGUAUCUUAACUAGUAUCUUAACUUGAAUCAAGAAGUAGGAGCUUCACAAAAGAAGACAAAUACCAUUGCCUCCUAUAGAAGUGGAUAAUAAUGAAGAAGUUAACUUGUAUCUUAACUUGAAUCAAGAAGGAUGUAAUGUUAAAAUUGAUAUCAAAGAAAUAGAGAUUUAACAACAAAGAAAAUACCACUUGGGCUAUUUUAAAUAUGUACUCUUCAACAAGAUGCUACUAACUCAAUUGUACCUAUAAUGAAUGAAAUGAAUAAGGUAUUAAAAGAAUUCAUUCUUGAAAAAACUCUAUUUUUUUUAGAUGAUCUUUCCAUCAAAGGAUGUAAAAAAAGGAAAAAAGAAAAAAAGAUAAGACUUAAGAUGAAAAAAAGUUUCAAAAGUAUAUUGUUCAUCAUAUACAAGUUUAUGAAAAGAUUUUAAUUUAACUUAAAGAAUUUCAUAUUAUACUUUUGGAAAAAAAAUCUACAUUUAAAAUAUAUAUAUAUAUAUAUAUAUAUAUAUAUAUAUAUAUAUAUAUAUAUAUAUUAUUGGAUAUUUAUGUAUAUUUUAUAGAAAAAAAUUGGAUCCAAGCAAAGUUGAUGUAAUUGGAAAGAUGAAGGAUACAUGACUCUCUUUAAUAAAAGUACAAUGGUUUUUAGAGGCUAACAUAUUUUAUUAUAUAUAGAUUCUUCAUUAAGCUCAUAUAAUAGAUCCAUUUUAUGAAUUAUUAUGUAAGGAUUGUCGAUUUAAAUAGAAAAGAAAGCAAAUUGAAGUAAUGCAAAAACUAAAAGUAUUAUUAUUGACACCUCCAAUUUUAAGAAGAAUUAAUUAUGAAUGAAAUAAAUAAGUAAUACCUAUUGUAGAUACUAGUCCAAUUGCUAUUAGAUGGACUAUGAGUCAAGUUAACUUAAGUAGAAACAAAUUUGCAGUUCAACUUGGAACUAAAAUUUUAAGUAUUCCUCAAUAUGCAUAUUUGCAAGUGAAAAAAAAUACUAUGAAGAAUUUUUUCAACUAUAAAAGCUCAUAAAGAUUAUUUGAUUAAUGUAGUGGUAGUAAUUUAAAUAGAUUGCUUAUUAUUGCUUAGAAUGAUUACUAAUUAUUCAACACUAAAUAUUACAAUAUUAAGAUGGAUUUUUUAUAUAAAAUUGUUAAAUUUAGAAUUUAGGCAUGUUGCUAGAAAGGACAAUUUGGUAGCAAAAUUUUUGUCUUGAGUGAGAUAUGAAAGAGAAGAUGAGAUGGUUAAAGACAUUGAUAAUGUAUAAUCAAAAUUCUAUUCAGUAUUAAAAUUGAGCAAGGAAGACAAGUUAUUUUUUGAAGAGUUUUUUGAAGGAGAAUUAUUAGAUAUUGAUUAUUAUUUGAGUACCUUGACUAAAGAAAAAAAUUGGUCUAUGAAAAAUUUAAACAAAUAAGAAAAAAACAUAUGAAUUUUUACUUCACAAAGGAAUUUUAUAGAAGAGACCAAAGAAAAGAAUUGAAAUGCCACAAUAAGUGAUAGAAAAUAAAGAAGAACAACAAAAACUAUUAAAAGGAUUUCACAAUAGUUUAUAGAUAGGCCAUAGGAGAAUUUGGAGUAAUUUUGCUAAACUCAAAGAACAAUAUUUGUUAAAAAAUAUGUAUUGAGAUAUAUUUUUAUUUGUAAAAUAAUGAAAAACUUGUCAAGUAUAUUCUAAUGUAUGACAUUGAAAUGGUCUACAUCUCAUAUUUCCUAUGGCUAUUUAUUUUAAAUAAAUUAUUGAUUUAAUUAUAAUACUAAUUAGAUUAUGACAAAUGAGAUAUUUGAUCUUGGGUUGUAAAAAUUUAUCAAACUAAGUAGAAAGUAGAACAUUGAAAUUUUUUUUGAAUUUUUCAUUUGUGUAAAAAUGUAAAAAUAUCCAAAUGUAUAAGAAAUUAUCAUUAUUGAGACAUUUGGAUAUUUUGUGAAUUUUUUAUUAUAUUUUUCUUAAAUUUGUUUCAUAACUUUGAUGUCAAUCAAUAGUUAGAUCAAAGUAAAUGAGAUUUUUAUUGGAUUGGAAUCUUAAAUAUUUAAAAUUUAAGAUCAAUGAAUAUUAUUGAAAUCCUAAAAAAUAUAUUAGUUCAAUUGAAGUAAAAUUUUGUGAGAUCAAUUUAGACUUAAUUAUCUAUACAUUGGCCAAUUUGUAGAGUAAUUUAUAAAGCUUACAAAUAAAAGCUUCUAUUUUCAAAGUUUCAUCCAAAAAUUCCAACAAGAGAGAAAUCUUCAAAAAACCCUAACACAUCCAAACUGCCCCUUUUUUUUUAAUAAUUUGUCCUUCUUUUCUUGAAAAUCUGGCCUUCUCCCACCUUAUCACUUCUAUAUCUCCUUUGCUUAAGGAAGUCAACUCUCGAUCUCCAACCAAUCCUAAUACCAAUCUUAAAUUACAAUAAAACUAAGUAUGUAUUCUAAAAGACAAUAUCCUUUAAGCUUGAACAACCUAUUUAUACCAAAAAUUAUCUACUUUAAAUCCCAUUCAAAUUUAUAAAUAUAUUAGCAUAAUAUUCCACCUUUCUAUAAAUAAAUUAAUUAUCCUUCAAAUAAUUUUGAUGAAUUUAAAUUAAAUAGAUCAAGACAAGAAUGUCAACUUAAGAGAUUUUUCUACCUAGGUAUUUAAACCCUAGUUGACUUUAUUGUGUAGUAACACAACCAUUAAGUGAAAGAAGAAACAAAAGAUUAUAUUAUAGAAGAACUUCAAUGAAAAUAUUUUAGCAAAUUAACUUAGAAAUAUAUAAUAGACAAGGAAGUAAUAAAAAUUAACAAGUGAUAAUGUUGCCUUCUUGUGUAAGAGACUUCUACUUACUUUGUAAGAGCAUAAAUGAACCAAAUUAAAAUAGAUGACAUAAUUAAUUGAUAUAGACAUCUUCAGGAGAAAAUUAAGAAUAGAUAAUGCCAUUGAUUCUCAAUAGUGUCAGUCUCAUCAAUUAAGGCAGUGGACAUUGUUGAAGGUUGAUAUAAAGAAAGAACUGAAAUUGAUGACGGUGAGCUUGACGAGCAUCCCUGAGCACACGUUGUAUGCUUGAAAGAAUUGUGACCUGUACAAUGUAGUGGCGCUUGCAAGCUCAUGCAGACAGAAAGAUAUGUAGGAAAAGAUUUCGAGAAUUUUUUCCGUUCAUUGAAACUUGAACCUGCCACUUACCACAAAUGUGGUCGGCAUCAGAUGAACACGAAGAUAAAUGAUAAGCUGAAUGUUUCUGGUCCCAUCCAUCUGUGUGCAUAUCUGCUCUACUUCACGGAAUGGUAUUCCAAGCGCACAAAUCUCAAACACAACUCCUGCUUGCCACACAGAAAUGUUUGAUGGAAUUCAAUUCUGUUCACGAAGAGGAGUGCAUGUGCAUUGGCCUUUUUCAUCUUCUGAGGCGUUGACCCUCGAGUUGAGCAUUCCUGAAUAAUAACAAUACGGCUGUGCUGGACAUUUGCAAGGCAGGUAAUACAUGGAUAACAUGUAUCGCACAUGAAUCUGAAUGUUCAAGGUGCAUAGAUAGAAUGAUUUAUCAACAAUCCAUUGAUGAUGAUUCAAGUUAUUCCGCCCAGCGUUUCACAUCCAAGCCACUCUCAAGGCAUGCAUGGGCACGUACAAAUUGUUAAAGUUUGACACAUUUACACACUCGAUAAACAAUCAAUCGCAACGCAGGGAGUGACUACAAAUUGAAUCGUUGCAUGAGCACAUGAUUUGCUUCACAGGAACUGUCUUCGAAUACAGGUGAGGUCAAGAGCUGCAUUCUAUGAUUACAGUAUCAUUUUUUCUCAGUAGAGAGUUUACUUUCUAAUCUGUUCACUUGUAUAUGUACCAGCUAGUUCUGAUUUACAUUCGUAUGUAGUAAGUUGAAAGAGCACAUUCAUUCAACACAAAUGCCAUGCAACCACUCUUAAUCUGCACCAUGUAAUCACAAGCGCCCGACAUCACACAAGUCUUGGAAGAAGAUGUGGGUGCGAGUGCUGCUUUCAGGGACAGCGUUCGCUGAAGCUCUCACGUCUUCUGUGCGCUUUGGGCUGAUAUAGUCUAUAAUUUAGUAUUUUAUGACUUCUUGUUCAGUCGUAUAGUUGAUCAAUCCUUGUAACAGAUUGCUGCGGUAUAUCAAAAAAGGCUAUAUGGUUCCCUCCCUUAAUGGGGUUAAUAUUAGCAGUUCUACCAUGUUGAGGUCGUUGACAAGCGCGAACCGGGCCUAAAACGAGUUUACAGUCUUCACACUCAAACCCUGAACUGGCUGUGCAGGAUGAUAUGGAAUGCAGUUCUAACCCAACUUCAGAUAUAUGUACAUAAGCUAUCCACAGUUUAAUGACGGCCGAAAAGACAUAUCCCAGUCUCCAAUGUGCCACUAGCUUAUAGUUCCCAUCAUAGAGUCAACCCAGUCCGGAACUUUGAAAGCUAAUAGAAGAGUUAUGCAGCUUCUGUAGGGUACGGAGUAUUUGUCCAUAAAGUUUACUUCAAAGUUUUGACGAGCUUUUACCAACACGAGAAAUUCCGAUCGCACAAAUAGUCUGUCCAAAAUGGGUAUGAUCAUUUCACAACCACGACAACCCUCCCACAGUGAAACAUCCCUAGGCGAGCAGAUCGGCAGGAGCCGGCACCCGCAGCCAUUGUGACAAUUUCCUAUACCAAUUCAACCACUCAUCCACUCACAAAUCCCUGGGAAACGCAGUUAUAACCAUCACAAUGCACAAAUACCGUCUUGGAUCGCAAGUGUCGACCAAUUGGCAGAGUACAUUACAACGAGUGAAGCAGUCUGAUGAAAUAUUCAUCCAUCACCAUCCAUUCCGUCGACAGUCAGUACGAUGAAGGAACAAAACUUCAUUUUGAUGCACUCCAGUGUACCACUGGUCUGAAAUCCGCGGACUGAACGAUAGCCGUAAGGCGAGAGACAAGAAGGUUGUUAGGAAACGAAAACCAGGUGACAAGUGGUGAUGAUGCAGACCUUUGGACCUCCUUCAUCUACUGCAACCUUGUGUGAAAGUGUAAUGACUGAUAAUUAUCAGCUCCACUUGAUUCCAGUGUUCAAGGACUGUGACAUUCGCUCUGUUCUACAGCCUCUGACGCUGUUUAUUUGCCUACGUUUGGCAGAUAAACUUGGCUUUUGAUAGAAUGUGAAGAGGUAACGCGCACUGUUGACUAAACUACUCUCCAUUGCCACUUCCGGUGAUGAUAAGGUCAAGUUGAAUCAGGUGAUUGAUGCUUGCGUCUCGUAGAAGAGUGCUUCUUGUUGCAAUCAGCGACAAGAUUUGGACAGAACCAGUUGGUGGCUGGGUUAUUCAGAAUACGAGGGAUGGCCAGUUGCAGAAUCUUGGAGGCAACGUUACAAAGAACUUGUGUUCUUCCACAUUGAAUAUUGUCCACUGCUUUGAAACAUAUGGGAUAGUUACCAGCAUAAUGGCAAUCACUGAAUGGUACUUCGUCUUCUUAAUAUAAUUCAAAUUCAGGUACUUUGUUGGGUCGUGAUUGUGUACAAUGUCGUAAUCAUGUAAAGCCGAAUCGUGCUUCCAGCUAUAUUUGAACAUACUAUUGCACUGAAACUAUCUUCGUGCAUAUUGCCAUUGAGUGUCCUAGUCUACAUCUUCAAUUUCGAAUGUAGCGCUCGAGCAUUUAAUUUUUUCCUGUUUGCCCUGAACAACCGACGACAAAAAAUCAGUAAGAAAUGUAACCACCACCACCAUAACGUUUGAUUGGAGACCAUAUAUGAUAUAGAAAAUUUAGCUUCACAGCAAGAUGCACUGAUCAUAAUGGAGUACCAAGAAAAAUAGGUCUGAAAUCGGACAUGUAAGAACAAAAAGUAACAAUGUAUUGCUCAGUAGUUGACAGAAUGGAUUUACCUAGUUGCACUGGCUUGGGACAAAGCCGACUUGGUUGUGCAGAUUGUCGUAGAUUACGCGGAAGCCCUGUUGCUGGAUGUUGCCAAUGAUGGAGGGACCCGUGGUACCGGCAAACGCCAAACAGAAGGUGUUGGAGUUGUCGACCGGAAUGAGAUAAUUUGAGGCCGGGAGUUUUAGAUCAGUACCGCCUUGAAAAUGCAGCGUGACGGUUGGGACGUCUACAGAGGCCAACCCAGAGAGGUCGUAGCAUGUGUCGAAAAGGGAGAAUCCAGCAGUUGGUGCCAAGUCCGAAGUGCCAGCACGGAAGGCGUCACGAAGAGAAGCAUAUGCGGCAUUUUGUAGACGAGUGACGGAGGUGCCAGAAUCUAUGAUGACACCUCCAUUGCCAAGUGAGUCGAGUUGAAAGGCGCUUGUGGGGAUGGUGAGGAUGGUGCCCCCGACACUGAUUCCCGUCAUCUUGAGGUAGUAGAAGGUAGGUACUCGCAUGUUGCUAUCUUGGGGUGUGAACCUUGCACCUGCAGGUGGAACCGCUGCUUCACCAAAGACCAGAGAAGAUCCUUCGGUUGAGUCAGUUUCUCGAUCUGUGAGACAAUAGGAAAAUCUGCCGCCGUUCUGAGGAUCAACUUGGUUAGGAAAUGACAAUGGCCCUUUACCCAGACCCAGAAGACCUGCAGCCCCUACGAAGUACCCUUCAUUGUCGUGUCCACAACCCAGGGGAAUCUUGUUCAACACAACUUGACCUACUCCUGACGUCGAGUUCAAAGAAACAUCAUCAGUACCAAAUUCUCCCGUGGUGAAGGAACCAUCCCCAUAGUCCACCUGCAAUGCCAAGAAUAUUGAAGAUUAAUGUUUACAACUGAACUCAGAAAUUCAAGCUUACUUCACAAUACCAGACUUCGAAGACUGGAUUGAUGGCUAUGCGCAACUUCAAAAAGCAGAAGUUUCAUAUGGACAAUGCAACAAUGUCAGUUUCAACAAUCAUCCAUGGGGCAGCAGCGACCAGAAUCUCCUUGAACCACUACUGUCUUUACUCAAAUUCCUUGUUUCUCAACUUUAUAUGGGCACCAAAACUUCCAGAAAGUCGUGAAGCUGAACUAACCUGGUAGAGACAUUUAUUCGCUUGGCAUGUGCCGAUGUCCAAGUUCAAGCAUUGCCUGGUACUGCACCCAAGAGUAGAGUACGUGGAUGACUUGUAUGGGUCGAAUAUAGCAUCACUUUGAUGGUAACAAUUCACACAUGGAGCACAUUGGAGCCACAGAAUAUCACUUCCAGUGUCCAUGACAAGGUACAUCCUUCUAGGAGGUGUGCCCACAGAAAUGCGAAUAAAGUACUCUCCACUACCCAAGCUCAAGCCUGAAACGACUGGUGCCUGAAAGUCUUGUGAUGGAACCUUCGUCUGUCGAUCACGACUGCGACUUCUUGUUAAUCCAUUCACAGUUUGAUUGAUACGGCCGUGUAUGGAAGCAACACGCAGGUUGUCUCUUGAAAUGGUCACAUGCAUGCGCUCCACGCGAGUUCUGUUGCUCAAUCGGAAUGGUGAUGAAGGGGCAUCCCUGCAUAUCAAGUGAAUCUUUUAGUCAUUGUGUACAACAACCGGCAACCCAUACUCACUGCACUCAGCGUGGUGUAUCACUUACUCAGAUUUCAUAUGAAGGCCUUAAAUCGAAAAUUGUGUAUUCACAAGGUUGCCUGUCUGACCGUGAUCAUAAUCGAUUUACUUGAGACGUAGCCAGCAAUAAUGUUUAGUUGUACAAUGUCAAGCUCUGUCUCUCUUCUCAUGUGUAUUUGGAUUAACAUAAAUUUUGGAAUCUCCAAAACCAAAGAUGAAUCAAAGUUUCGGUUAACAUUCGCAGUUGCAAAAAGAGCCUGGUAAAUUGAAAUUAACCUUGAUCAGACUUCGGCUUCCUAUGUCCACUGUUUCUGCUCAUCUUAAUUACUACUUGUUCAAGAAAAUUAAUACUCAACUACAAUAUGAGGAAUUAACUGCGAGAAAUCCAAAGUAACGAUGGUGCAAAUGGCUGGAUUAUCACCUGUGCAUGAUGUGUGCAUGUAGCGCACCGGCCCCAGUUGCGAGAUCCUCCCUGAUGGUGGAAAAUGUGUCGGCCAUGGGUUUCAUUUGGUGUCGCUCGGUACCUCGUGGUGCAGAUCGUUUUCCAAAUUCUAGUUGAAGCGUGUUUCGCUCUAUAUUCUCUGAAAAUAAACCGGGCUGUUGCAAUUCUCUAGCUGCUACGUUCACAACCAGAAGUACCAGGACUAGCGGGAGCUGAGUGACACCGCCCAGACACUUCCAUGUGGAACGUAUUCUCGUCAUCUUGUACAAUGUUCUCAAUCCUGAAAUCACGCCACGACGGAACGCUCACUGCACGAAACAUCUUGCUAUGUUAAAUGUGCAGAAUGAGCUGAAGAGAAAAUUUUCGAGAUAUCUACUCAGCUUUGACUCGAGUUGCAAGCUUUAAGUAAGCUACACCAGCAUUUCGCAAAUACUCCUUGGACCACAUCUCAGCCAUGAACCCUCUUCAACUCUAAAUUGGCUCAUCCUGCACUUAGAAUUCUAAAUGGCGACGUGCAACACUACGAAAGAUGCAAUUUUCUACGCACUCACUGAUCCGACCUGCUUGAUUCAGAUGAUAAUUCACUGAUGUAACCGCGACCUACGUUUUCUUGAAAACUUCGAUAAUCUUUGACGUCAACUGUCCGGGUUGUGACCCACUGCAUCACACAAGUCUGAUUCAAACCCUCUAAAGUCGCCCCGCUUCACCUCCUGGAAAUGGAAGAUGAGCACCAAAUGCAAAGGCUUCAGAUCAUUCCUCGAAAUUUCAAAGAAAAAUGAAUCAGUCGUCGACAGAAUAAUGUGCUGGCUAUGGUGGCGAUUCUGUUCACCAUCGAAAUACUUACGAGCGUGAUUUCAACGCCCUACGGUGGUCAGCUAUUUAGUCCAUAAGGACUGUUCACAAUGAUUGAGAUCACCACAAAUGGUAACAUACUUCGCCAGCCAGUGCUCUCUGUGGGUCUCUCUCCACGCCCAAGCAGGCACCAGAGGUGCAUACUAAGAGCAGGUUAGAGGUAGAUGCCUUGCUCGGGUAACCAAGAACAGCUGAGGACUGUCUUUCUUCCACGUGAAACCAUGUUCCUCAACCGUUUUCCUGCAACAUUCCCGUACAAAGAUCGUCAUUCUGCAGAACUGAACGCUACGGGCCCUGAAGACCCAACUGCCUGCAAGACUGCAUUCUGCCAAUCUUGUUGCCGCAGACGCAACAUCCUAAGGUAAGAUGGUCUCUAUGAUUAACUCAUAAGUCAUACACUACGCCCGUUUCACUCUCAUCACAACCUGACAAACUCUUCUCCGACUACCACCCGUGAGGCCAGCGGUGGACCACCGCCAUGGUCGCAUUCGCUCAGAGUAGGAUCAUAAUACCCGAACAGAAAACAGCAGAUCAGUCAUUUCAUCUCUAUCACGCAUGCUCCAAACUCUACCCGAUCGCUACUCAAACACUCUGACAAGAUCUCCACACCCACCUCCCUCCACCCAUAAGCACAAAAAUAAAAACAAAUAAAAAUAAGCUUCCACCACAACUACCUUCUGGGUGCCAUAACAUGGAACCUCCCUCCCACUACGCUCGCAUCGACAAACCUGCAGCACUGACCAACUCGACUUGCUGCUACUCUCCACCUGCUUCUACGAAAGCCUCAUACGUCAAUAGCCAGCAUCUGGUAUCUUAACCUACCACUCCGCAUCAUUCCUCACUUUUUCAUGGGUACGCCACUGCAUGAGCCGCAAUCUCCUUUACCAGCAACGAGACGGCCAUGGCUUCGAUCACCCAGCUUUGACCAUCACAAACCGGCACCGCUUGGUGUCAGCCCCCAGCCGCACUGAACUGACUGCCCCAGAGCGGCCGCAUGCAAUUGCAUAUCAUGAUACGAAGGUAAACUCAGAGAUAUGGUAUGAAGUCCAGCAUUAAAAACCAAAGGCGAGAUGGUGAGGCCAGCUAGAUAACUGGAUGGGACCGCAAGACCAACACACAAAACGAAGACCCUUGCCAGAGGGACGAGAUGAUGAAGCGCAUUGAAUGCAUGCCAGGUCGCAUACCUUAUGUACCCAGCUACCAACCCCCAGAUACUCUCUCCUUCUGCCGCCCUCUCGCCUUACCCCAUCCGUCUCCCUCCACACUGUCUCCACUAGAGAGAGAAAGAGAGAGUGAGAGAUAUUUUUCCCGGGUGUGAACUUCUGACCCACCCGUAAGGACGCAUGCGCUAAUUUCAGACCAAAGAGAUGCAUCACUCUGACUCCAAGUAGAAAAGCCGCUCUGAUGAACGCCGACGGGGUUGGUGGAUGGGUGAAGACACAGUGUACGCAAUGUACUGAGUCCAGCAGGGAGGAGGCAGCAGUGGCAGCAGCAGUGGUGGAGUCAGUAAGGCGCGAUGCGACGCCCGUCACGAAACCCUCGUCGCCACCCACCACAUCCACCCAUCCAUUUGGGGGUCCUGUCCCCUCGGGACCCAUUUUACCCGGUGGAACCCCCCCCCCCCCCCCCCCCCCCCCGUCCCUCCCUGANNNNNNNNNNNNNNNNNNNNNNNNNNNNNNNNNNNNNNNNNNNNNNNNNNNNNNNNNNNNNNNNNNNNNNNNNNNNNNNNNNNNNNNNNNNNNNNNNNNNNNNNNNNNNNNNNNNNNNNNNNNNNNNNNNNNNNNNNNNNNNNNNNNNNNNNNNNNNNNNNNNNNNNNNNNNNNNNNNNNNNNNNNNNNNNNNNNNNNNNNNNNNNNNNNNNNNNNNNNNNNNNNNNNNNNNNNNNNNNNNNNNNNNNNNNNNNNNNNNNNNNNNNNNNNNNNNNNNNNNNNNNNNNNNNNNNNNNNNNNNNNNNNNNNNNNNNNNNNNNNNNNNNNNNNNNNNNNNNNNNNNNNNNNNNNNNNNNNNNNNNNNNNNNNNNNNNNNNNNNNNNNNNNNNNNNNNNNNNNNNNNNNNNNNNNNNNNNNNNNNNNNNNNNNNNNNNNNNNNNNNNNNNNNNNNNNNNNNNNNNNNNNNNNNNNNNNNNNNNNNNNNNNNNNNNNNNNNNNNNNNNNNNNNNNNNNNNNNNNNNNNNNNNNNNNNNNNNNNNNNNNNNNNNNNNNNNNNNNNNNNNNNNNNNNNNNNNNNNNNNNNNNNNNNNNNNNNNNNNNNNNNNNNNNNNNNNNNNNNNNNNNNNNNNNNNNNNNNNNNNNNNNNNNNNNNNNNNNNNNNNNNNNNNNNNNNNNNNNNNNNNNNNNNNNNNNNNNNNNNNNNNNNNNNNNNNNNNNNNNNNNNNNNNNNNNNNNNNNNNNNNNNNNNNNNNNNNNNNNNNNNNNNNNNNNNNNNNNNNNNNNNNNNNNNNNNNNNNNNNNNNNNNNNNNNNNNNNNNNNNNNNNNNNNNNNNNNNNNNNNNNNNNNNNNNNNNNNNNNNNNNNNNNNNNNNNNNNNNNNNNNNNNNNNNNNNNNNNNNNNNNNNNNNNNNNNNNNNNNNNNNNNNNNNNNNNNNNNNNNNNNNNNNNNNNNNNNNNNNNNNNNNNNNNNNNNNNNNNNNNNNNNNNNNNNNNNNNNNNNNNNNNNNNNNNNNNNNNNNNNNNNNNNNNNNNNNNNNNNNNNNNNNNNNNNNNNNNNNNNNNNNNNNNNNNNNNNNNNNNNNNNNNNNNNNNNNNNNNNNNNNNNNNNNNNNNNNNNNNNNNNNNNNNNNNNNNNNNNNNNNNNNNNNNNNNNNNNNNNNNNNNNNNNNNNNNNNNNNNNNNNNNNNNNNNNNNNNNNNNNNNNNNNNNNNNNNNNNNNNNNNNNNNNNNNNNNNNNNNNNNNNNNNNNNNNNNNNNNNNNNNNNNNNNNNNNNNNNNNNNNNNNNNNNNNNNNNNNNNNNNNNNNNNNNNNNNNNNNNNNNNNNNNNNNNNNNNNNNNNNNNNNNNNNNNNNNNNNNNNNNNNNNNNNNNNNNNNNNNNNNNNNNNNNNNNNNNNNNNNNNNNNNNNNNNNNNNNNNNNNNNNNNNNNNNNNNNNNNNNNNNNNNNNNNNNNNNNNNNNNNNNNNNNNNNNNNNNNNNNNNNNNNNNNNNNNNNNNNNNNNNNNNNNNNNNNNNNNNNNNNNNNNNNNNNNNNNNNNNNNNNNNNNNNNNNNNNNNNNNNNNNNNNNNNNNNNNNNNNNNNNNNNNNNNNNNNNNNNNNNNNNNNNNNNNNNNNNNNNNNNNNNNNNNNNNNNNNNNNNNNNNNNNNNNNNNNNNNNNNNNNNNNNNNNNNNNNNNNNNNNNNNNNNNNNNNNNNNNNNNNNNNNNNNNNNNNNNNNNNNNNNNNNNNNNNNNNNNNNNNNNNNNNNNNNNNNNNNNNNNNNNNNNNNNNNNNNNNNNNNNNNNNNNNNNNNNNNNNNNNNNNNNNNNNNNNNNNNNNNNNNNNNNNNNNNNNNNNNNNNNNNNNNNNNNNNNNNNNNNNNNNNNNNNNNNNNNNNNNNNNNNNNNNNNNNNNNNNNNNNNNNNNNNNNNNNNNNNNNNNNNNNNNNNNNNNNNNNNNNNNNNNNNNNNNNNNNNNNNNNNNNNNNNNNNNNNNNNNNNNNNNNNNNNNNNNNNNNNNNNNNNNNNNNNNNNNNNNNNNNNNNNNNNNNNNNNNNNNNNNNNNNNNNNNNNNNNNNNNNNNNNNNNNNNNNNNNNNNNNNNNNNNNNNNNNNNNNNNNNNNNNNNNNNNNNNNNNNNNNNNNNNNNNNNNNNNNNNNNNNNNNNNNNNNNNNNNNNNNNNNNNNNNNNNNNNNNNNNNNNNNNNNNNNNNNNNNNNNNNNNNNNNNNNNNNNNNNNNNNNNNNNNNNNNNNNNNNNNNNNNNNNNNNNNNNNNNNNNNNNNNNNNNNNNNNNNNNNNNNNNNNNNNNNNNNNNNNNNNNNNNNNNNNNNNNNNNNNNNNNNNNNNNNNNNNNNNNNNNNNNNNNNNNNNNNNNNNNNNNNNNNNNNNNNNNNNNNNNNNNNNNNNNNNNNNNNNNNNNNNNNNNNNNNNNNNNNNNNNNNNNNNNNNNNNNNNNNNNNNNNNNNNNNNNNNNNNNNNNNNNNNNNNNNNNNNNNNNNNNNNNNNNNNNNNNNNNNNNNNNNNNNNNNNNNNNNNNNNNNNNNNNNNNNNNNNNNNNNNNNNNNNNNNNNNNNNNNNNNNNNNNNNNNNNNNNNNNNNNNNNNNNNNNNNNNNNNNNNNNNNNNNNNNNNNNNNNNNNNNNNNNNNNNNNNNNNNNNNNNNNNNNNNNNNNNNNNNNNNNNNNNNNNNNNNNNNNNNNNNNNNNNNNNNNNNNNNNNNNNNNNNNNNNNNNNNNNNNNNNNNNNNNNNNNNNNNNNNNNNNNNNNNNNNNNNNNNNNNNNNNNNNNNNNNNNNNNNNNNNNNNNNNNNNNNNNNNNNNNNNNNNNNNNNNNNNNNNNNNNNNNNNNNNNNNNNNNNNNNNNNNNNNNNNNNNNNNNNNNNNNNNNNNNNNNNNNNNNNNNNNNNNNNNNNNNNNNNNNNNNNNNNNNNNNNNNNNNNNNNNNNNNNNNNNNNNNNNNNNNNNNNNNNNNNNNNNNNNNNNNNNNNNNNNNNNNNNNNNNNNNNNNNNNNNNNNNNNNNNNNNNNNNNNNNNNNNNNNNNNNNNNNNNNNNNNNNNNNNNNNNNNNNNNNNNNNNNNNNNNNNNNNNNNNNNNNNNNNNNNNNNNNNNNNNNNNNNNNNNNNNNNNNNNNNNNNNNNNNNNNNNNNNNNNNNNNNNNNNNNNNNNNNNNNNNNNNNNNNNNNNNNNNNNNNNNNNNNNNNNNNNNNNNNNNNNNNNNNNNNNNNNNNNNNNNNNNNNNNNNNNNNNNNNNNNNNNNNNNNNNNNNNNNNNNNNNNNNNNNNNNNNNNNNNNNNNNNNNNNNNNNNNNNNNNNNNNNNNNNNNNNNNNNNNNNNNNNNNNNNNNNNNNNNNNNNNNNNNNNNNNNNNNNNNNNNNNNNNNNNNNNNNNNNNNNNNNNNNNNNNNNNNNNNNNNNNNNNNNNNNNNNNNNNNNNNNNNNNNNNNNNNNNNNNNNNNNNNNNNNNNNNNNNNNNNNNNNNNNNNNNNNNNNNNNNNNNNNNNNNNNNNNNNNNNNNNNNNNNNNNNNNNNNNNNNNNNNNNNNNNNNNNNNNNNNNNNNNNNNNNNNNNNNNNNNNNNNNNNNNNNNNNNNNNNNNNNNNNNNNNNNNNNNNNNNNNNNNNNNNNNNNNNNNNNNNNNNNNNNNNNNNNNNNNNNNNNNNNNNNNNNNNNNNNNNNNNNNNNNNNNNNNNNNNNNNNNNNNNNNNNNNNNNNNNNNNNNNNNNNNNNNNNNNNNNNNNNNNNNNNNNNNNNNNNNNNNNNNNNNNNNNNNNNNNNNNNNNNNNNNNNNNNNNNNNNNNNNNNNNNNNNNNNNNNNNNNNNNNNNNNNNNNNNNNNNNNNNNNNNNNNNNNNNNNNNNNNNNNNNNNNNNNNNNNNNNNNNNNNNNNNNNNNNNNNNNNNNNNNNNNNNNNNNNNNNNNNNNNNNNNNNNNNNNNNNNNNNNNNNNNNNNNNNNNNNNNNNNNNNNNNNNNNNNNNNNNNNNNNNNNNNNNNNNNNNNNNNNNNNNNNNNNNNNNNNNNNNNNNNNNNNNNNNNNNNNNNNNNNNNNNNNNNNNNNNNNNNNNNNNNNNNNNNNNNNNNNNNNNNNNNNNNNNNNNNNNNNNNNNNNNNNNNNNNNNNNNNNNNNNNNNNNNNNNNNNNNNNNNNNNNNNNNNNNNNNNNNNNNNNNNNNNNNNNNNNNNNNNNNNNNNNNNNNNNNNNNNNNNNNNNNNNNNNNNNNNNNNNNNNNNNNNNNNNNNNNNNNNNNNNNNNNNNNNNNNNNNNNNNNNNNNNNNNNNNNNNNNNNNNNNNNNNNNNNNNNNNNNNNNNNNNNNNNNNNNNNNNNNNNNNNNNNNNNNNNNNNNNNNNNNNNNNNNNNNNNNNNNNNNNNNNNNNNNNNNNNNNNNNNNNNNNNNNNNNNNNNNNNNNNNNNNNNNNNNNNNNNNNNNNNNNNNNNNNNNNNNNNNNNNNNNNNNNNNNNNNNNNNNNNNNNNNNNNNNNNNNNNNNNNNNNNNNNNNNNNNNNNNNNNNNNNNNNNNNNNNNNNNNNNNNNNNNNNNNNNNNNNAUCAACAACGUCUUUUGUGAUGCAUCUUGGGAUCCUCUUCUUACUACAAUUGCAAAAUCAAUUAAUAUAAGAGAUUGAUUUGUUUUUACAAAAUUUGAUUUUUCCUUUGUAAGUUCUUGCCUACUUCUAAAAUUUACUUAGUGGAAAUAGUGUGGGUGUAUUUGAGUAGUUUGUAUUAGCAAUAAGUAUACUAAAAGAAAAGAGUCUUGAAACAAAAUUAGAGUAUAAAAAAGGCAUACAUAAGAUUGAGGAUGAUGUAAAUAUAUAUUGAAGUAAGAUCGAGAGUGAAGUAAGAUUACACACAUAUUGUGCUUGCACAUUUCUACCACAUUAGAACAUCAAUGUAUUCCAGAAACAAAUCCUACUUCAUGAUUAUGUUUUUUCAAAGUACCAUACUUACCACACAUGAUCAACCAUGCUUUGCAUCAAAAAUAUACAACCAUUAAAGAUGUCCUUUAGAAAAUUGAUUUUAUCCCCAUCUGUACUGCUCACUUAGUCUUAAAAAGAUAAAAUCACGAACUAAACAUGCUGAUCUUCAUGAAACUGAACAGUGUUUGAUAUCCCACUCAUGAGAAUCGCAACAACCGAAUCAGUUCCUGAUCGUUCUUUUAACCUUUCGUGUGUUGUCACUGAGCAUUCUCCGCAUAAUGAAACCUGUUUGUGGCUCAGUCAAGAGAUCCUUGUUGUGGCGCUUGGGUUUUUUUAGACACCUGACAAAGUGUAAAUGUAAGUUUAUAUAUAUAUAUAUAUAUAUGUAUAUGUGUGUUCCUGUCUGUCUGUGUGUGUGUGUCUGUGUGAGCGUGUGUGUUGUUCAAAGCUGAUUUAACGAAGUGACUGAUGGCUUCAGGCUUUUGAGGAAAAUGACAGAGUCAUGGAAGGACCGGAGUCAACGUGGGUUUUCUACAAGGGUUGUGACAAAUAACAGUGUGCUAAUCAUUCAUGGCUUUAACAGUGUGUUUGUUCCAAGUUUUCCAUGCCUGUGACUCAGUUAUUCUUUAAUGUAAGUUCAAUUGCAUAUCGUUAUUUCUUGCUUCUGAGGUUCCUGACAAUGAGCAGGGUGGGGGAAGGGCAAACAAGAUCUCAGCACACCUUCAAACCCUCUCUCAUGGUUUCUGGUUAUGAAGAGAUGGGAUGCAACCAUAAACUUUGUUUAAUCUAACAAUGUGAUUGUUUCAUGUUGACAUUGGUACUCCUUUUUUUCUUUUUUGUUCUUUUAUCGAUUUUUGUGCAAUUUCUACGUAAGAUAUUGUUGUCUUUUCUAUUAUUAAUUUUGCUUGAUUCUUUUCAGGACCUGUGAUGACAAGAUUUACUAUUGCAUUCAGAGAGAUAUCGACGUACAAAGAUGUUCUUCGUUCACAGGUGCAACAGUCGUGCUACGGUGACCGUUUCUAGGUAGAUAAUUUUGUAUAUUCAGUCUGUUUGACGUCCUGUACGAAAAUUCGAUGAUUUAAAAGAUAGCUCUGAACUUGGAUUUACAGCAGAUCUUUAUUAUAUUUGAAUUUUCUGCAUAGCGAAUUCGCUUUAAUUAAAAUACUGAGUCGUAAAAUCCCAGUAACUCAUACAUAUACAUAUAUAUAUAUAUAUGGGGGAGCCAAGUUUUUGUGGCCUUCAGUGUAAUGUGAGAAAUUGAUGGACACUCGUAGGUGGAGCAUGUAUUGAAUGGCCGUUUGAUGCGGUCUGCGGGUACCGAUCUUAUCGACAAUGGACUAAGAAACUUGAUUCUUAGUAUCGCAACUUCGUUGUCGCCGUCAAUGAGAAGCUUUCUGGAAUCGGCUAGUGUCGAUGCAAUUUAUGAAUGUUUAAGUUCUAGUCUAUUUUUCAUUUUGAAAAGUGGCUGAUUGUAAAGGUUGGUGCGUAGCUUUACACUGAGCACAUCGUGGUCUCUGUUAAUUCGAUGCAUCAAAUCGUGUGCACAUUUCUGUUGUGUCAUCAGAGAGUGGAAGGAUUUACAGGAUGUAACUCAGUUCAGUCCUAUUUCUUGUCAUUUGCAGCACUAAGCUUGCAAGAAUGACUUCCUGUAGUCAUAGUUAUCUUGUAUUAUCAGCAGCAAAGGGUUAAGAACUGGCAGUCAGCUUAAUGGGUUAUUAUGCAAUUCUGUAACCCUUUAUGCAGUUAUUAAACCUCUGCAACUGAGCUCGUAACCCUAUAUUGAGCAGCUGCGAGAAAAAAUUGUCUUUGAAGGGGAUUUCAAAGUCAGAGAUCGUGGUGGACAUUGAGAAGGUAUUAUCUCCCAUGGUAAUUUUGGGUGUUAAUGUUUCGGGAUGAGUAGUUGCUACAUAUAUACAAGUGCAGUUGCAAAGUUCCUGAUUUUUUAGAAACAGAUCCUGACGACUUUUUCAAACCAUCUGAUUCGAUGGUCAACCAAUUAUCAGUUAUAAAUGUACACUACUUUUUUCUUCAAAUGUAUUUUUUCUCGUGUUACAUUCUUUGUGGUUUCUGGGUUUAUGAAAUCUCAAAUCACAAUAUGAGUGAAAUCCAUUUAAUCUGGCAAUCUCUGUUAAAACUUUCAAAGUUGGAAAACUAAUUAACUACAACAUGAAUUCUACUUUGAAACAGACGAUGAAUCUCAUUCUGGCCUUGGUUGUGUAUCAACUCCAUCAAGACAAGCUUCACUGUUUAUGAUAGAAUUGCAAUUAUAAGAUUUUUAUCAUCAAUUUAUCACAAUCUCACAGGAUGGCAUUGUUCAACACCAACGCAAAAGUAAAAAGUUAACUUUUUUGAGGCUGAGUAGCGUUAUGGAUGUUCAUUCUCACUUCUUGAAGCAAGCAGGUUUUCCAACCAUUGAAUAUUUAGCACUUGGAUGUGUCUGGACAGAACUUUGAAGAUUCUCUUUCUUCAUCCAGAUUACGUGAUUUGUCUCACAUCAACACUGAUUGUCUUCACAUUUUGGAUGGUGUGAUUCUUUCCAGUCAGGGAUACGGGUUGUUAUAUCAAAUGGAAGCUUAUGUUCUGAAGCUUAUGUUGCAAAUCUUUUUCGUUUUGUCUUUCCGUGAACGUGUGUGGUACUUUUCCUUUCUUUGCAUGGAAAUCGAAGAGUUGUGGCGUGAUAAUGCACAACAUUCUUCUUGAUAGGGUUACGCAAGGGAAAUAGGUUGAUUUUUUAACAGAGUAAGUUAACAUUUACAAUUCGAAUCUGGCUUGGUAUGAUGCGAUGAGCUAGGUACUAGCACAUGCGCAACAUGCACUAGAUAGAGCCGACGUCAAGCAGGUAUAACCAGCAGACCGUCUGCAUAAUCAUCGACAGCAUAUGGGUGGAGAUAAUCAUUGUUCACUUUGUAAAUUGGAGGGGCAGGAUUUUGAGAACAAUGACUGAACUUCAUGUAAAUUUUUCCUAACAGUGUAACUUUCUGUAUUUCAUUUUCCAUCCACCCUAAACCAGUGGCCUUAUCAAAGAUAUUUUCGGAUCCACCGGCACGCAGGCAGUGAAACUAGUCUAAUUAGAGCAUUUUCUGAGCAUGAUAGCAGCGAAGACACGGUAGCAUUUACAACACACUUGAGGUCACGUCGUGGCCCAAACCUUCAUGAAAGGCCCCUAGAUGCAUUAUAGAGAACACUUGGUAACAAUGACUGCUGAUUGUGAUGCCAGUGACCCAAACUGGGCUUCUUUGAACUUGGAAAGUGUUCUAUACAUAUUAUUCACUGGGGUGCGAAGAAAUUUCAGUUAUCAGACCUUUUGUGAUGAAAGAACUUUCUAUAGUCUUUUAAUAAUUGCACGAUAAUAAAAUGCUGUCAAAAGUCAAGAUGAGAUAAGUUUACAAGGUUGAAGAAAUUUGGACAGAAGUCAUCUUCAUAAGAAGGUUUAUGAAAUGAUCACACUGUAUGGAAGAGUAUGAACAAUUGGAGUUAAAGCGACUCACUCGUGUGUAUGUGCGUCAUUUCACACAAUGCUUGUGUCUUAAGCGGGUAUGAUCAUUAUAAAAGCUCUGACUGAUAUGAUAUUACAAUCGAACGCAAACUGGGCAAGACCUUUUGCCCUCCAAUUCAAGAGACACAGCGGAAUUCGGCGCGAGGUGUAUAUGCAAAAUCACCAGCCAAAUUAAUCUUGUGUCGACCUUCUGCUAGUAAACUCGUUGAAGUCUAAACCUUCUGACUUCUUCCUUAAUCAACACGGUGAGUUGUCUGACAGCACGUUAGGUAAGAAUUCAGGUGGAAAUUGGUGGGUUCUAUCAGGAAUCUUUCCGUUCCCACGACAAACAAGGGAUAAUGUCUCAACCAACAAACUGCAGCUUGUCCUUCAUUUAAGGAUAAUUGCAGAUGUCAACGCCUAUACAACCCUCUAGCAACACAUGGGCUUUGGUGAAUCAUCUUGAUCUCCUCCAGCAAGUAUUGUAGGUGCAGUUUCUUCAAAAGGCUCUAUCACUCGAAGCCCAUGAGGGGGUUAUGACAUAGCUGAGGAUCUAAGCUCUGGCGAGGUGUGUAUUGCUAAUAAUGAGGAUUCGCAGGGGUUGCUCUUUUUCGCUCAUUGCCUGCUACUAGGAGAAUCGAAUACAGUUGAGCUCCUUCAACCUGCUCCAGAAGUUGAUAUUACUGCCUCUUGGUCGACCGGCUCUUCACCAUUAAGAACCUUCUUCUCACAAGGUACCUUUUCUUCACAACAAAAAUCACCUCGUAUCCAUCUCCGCUUGCAGUCCCGAACUAGAAGAAACUAUUUACUUCAGAAAUGCGAUUUUUAGCCGUGAGAAUUCCAAAUGUCACGUGGUGUACGACCUGACACGAAAAAAUCUAUUCUGUGCCUUUGAUGCACUUGGAGCUAUUGUCCACUGUCAACAUUGACUGAUGGCUUGUCUGAUGCUGUCGCCGGCUGCCAAUACAAUUUGCAGUUGAUGCGACUUACGUUUCAUCGACAACCAUAUGAAAAUCACAGGAUCAAAACCACAUGUACCAGACAAAACUGGGGAAAAAUCCCACUGGAUGUUGUAGUGGAGGAGGGAGCGAUUACCAAUGAACCAUUAUUCUAUGCUGUCUGAACCAAACAGAUGACGCAGCUUCUAUCGUCAUCGAAGAUCUCAAUUUGCAGUCUUGUACGAAUAAGCUGCUUUCGGCUAAGGUAAACAGUGUUCUGCAUCCCUUUGUGCACAUAUAACAAAGUUCUGGUUUUCUAGAUAAUGAACAUCCCCAAGUCGCAGUGACAUAGUACUGAAUCAAAACCAGAAAGAUGUCGAAAACUUGUCAACUGACCACAGGUGUCGGUGAGAUUGGCUGGAUCAGAUGUCAAGGAGUAGAGUACUUGUCUUGCUAAAACUCUCAUUUGGUUUAGAUUCUAGGACAUAGAUCAGGUUUGAAAGUUUUAGAUUUUCAAUGGAUUAGACUCAAGUUUCACCUACCGACAGAUUGUAUUGGUGGUUGACAUUGUUGUGAGAACAGGAGUUCCAGAUCUCUCACAACCAGGAGGAUCCGCGAGGAACUUGGACAAGGGUUUAAACUAGAAGUGUAAUGUACAGAACUUGGUCAUUUCUUUGAAUGUGGUCGAGUAUUCUGUUUAUGGUAGGCUAAACCCUGAACCCUAAACAAUAGGGAGGUAUUUAUGAACAAAAUAGAAUGGACCCAAGUGUUCAAAAACAUCUCAAAUUGUUGAGAAUGUUUUAGAGAGAGAGACAAGAGUAGCUAGAAGUAAUAUGCACACAUAUGUAAACACACACACAAGAAGUGAGUUUAUUGAUUGGAUUAUCUCUCUUGUACAAAGAGUAAGGGAGAAGAUAAACAAUUUCUCUCCACUCUGUUUGAAACACUAUAGCUAUUCUAAAUAUUAUAGACUACAAUUAAUAGCAUGGAGAAUGCAGGCUAUAUUUAAUGCUCUCAACACUCCUCGUCGCUUGUCAUAAUAUUUAUAUGCAUAGAAUUAUGAUCUAUACUUUUUUGUAAUCUCAUAAGAUCAACAACUACUCCCUCAUUAAAAUCUUAUCUACAAAAAUCUUAUUAUAUUUAAAGACAAAACCAUAGAUUAAGAAAAAAGAGUACAAUAUUAUCUCAAGAGUUCAUUAACUUUCUUGCUCAAGAAAAAUAAGUUGCCUUUAUGCCAAUGCCAUAAGUAAGUUAGCAAUGGUUGCACAAAGGGAGAGCUUUGGUGACGACAUGUCACAAACAUACUCAUGUAAGCUAGUAAUUACAUAUAUAAAUAAAUAGAAGUAAGUAAAAAUAGAUAAAAGUAAGUUAAUUCUAUAGUAUUUGGUAUUUAGCUUCCAUACCAAAUACUAUAGAAUUAACUUACUUUUAUCUACUUUUACUUACUUCUACUUAUUUAUAUACGUAAUUAUUAGCUUAGAUGAGUAUGUUCAUGACAUUACCCCUCCCCUCCUUCUAGGGAUGAGUUCCACGAGGAGCGGUCAUCAUAUGUUGAGGAAAUCUAUGAUGCGACGAAUUGUAUUCACCACAUACUAUGAUCUUUGUUCUCUUUGAAGAUGAUUGAUAGGACCUCUCAACCAUAGAUAGUGUCCCAUACUAGGGCGAGAAGACCACCCAAUUAUUUGGUCAUUAUUGAGGCCUUCAUAACUUCCUUUGAAUAAAACAUUUGAAACACCAUCAGGAGUUGUUCAUAUCUCUAAUAAAAUCACCAAACAUCGGGAGUCCCUUCCAAGGUCGUGAUACCAAACGCGUUGUAUCUCGCCAUCUAUUUGAGGAAGAACAUGUCAUUCUUGAAGAUCUUCAUCUCCAUUACGUCAUCUUGAAGGUUGUGACAAUUGUAAUGUCUCGUCUGACAAGUAAGCAAAUGAAGGCUCUCGAUUCGAAUUUGCAGGUUGUUGGUUCUCCAUCUCCUUAGCGUCACAACUACAAAGAAUCUACAAACAAGGAUUGAAAGUAGAAUGUUAUCUUGUCUAGAUCUUAUUUUUUUUAUAAAAAAGAUUUUUAUCUUGGUUUUGAUAGAUGUUGUCGAUGAAAAGCCUCCACUACCUUUUUUGCAUUUACAAGAUUCUUUGCUGGCUCUCAUGUGCAUUCACUAAUAUCAUAUUUGUGCCAAUGGAUAAGAUAUUCUAAUUUAUUUUGACGCCGCCUUGAAUCUAAGACUUCUUCUACUUCAAACUCUUCAUUAUUGUCCACUUCUAUAGGAGGAGGUAGAGCUUGUCUUCUUCUUGAUAUGUCCACCGUCUUGUAUGGUUCAAGAAGAGACACAUGGAAUAUUGGAUGGAUUUUUAUUGACUCCGAUAGAUAUAAAUGAUAUGCAACUGGAUUGAUUUGUACAGAAAUAGAAAAUGGUCUAAGCCUUCGAUAGUCCAACUUGUCACAAGGACGAGUGGUCUUGAUAUUGCGACAAAGUAACCAUACCUUAUCGUCCAUGUAGAAUGGUGGUUGUUUCUUUCGAUAGACAUCUACAUUUAUCUUUUGUCAUUCUUGAGCUUCUUUUAAUUGUGCCUGUAUUAUUACAUAUAACUCGGACAACCAAUUUGCCAUAUCUUUUACUAUAGGAUUAUCAACUUUUGAGAAAUCAAAUGUGUCAAGUCAUGGAUGAUAACCAUAAUUGGUAAAGAAAGGUGUUUGUUGCGUAGAAGAAUGCAUCAUGUUAUUAUAAGCAAACUCUGUCAAUGGCAGAAGAGUUGUCCAAUCAUCUUAUUGAUAGUUGAUGGUACAUCUUAAGUAUUGCUCGAAGACUUGGUUUACACACUUUGUCUGUCUGUCAGUUUGAGGAUAAAAAGCUGAAGAUAGUUUUAUAUCCACUUGUAAAAUUUUAAAAAGGAUUCUUCAAAAUCUUGAUACAAACUGAGUUUACCUAUCCAAUAUAAUAUCCUUUGAUAACCCAUGAUAGCGAUAGAUAUUGUCAAUAAAAAGCUUAGCUGUUUCUUUAUCCGUGAUGGAUUUUGUACAUGGCACAAAAUGUGCCAUCUUAGUGAAGCGAUCUACUAUCACAAAUAUAGAAUCAUAAGAACCUAAGCUUGGAAGAUCUGCGAUGAAGUCAUAGAAUCAGAAGACCAUGGUUGUUUUGGAAUGGAUAAUAGCUAAAGAAGUCCAAAAGGUCGAUGACGAGGAGUUUUUGAUCUUGAGCAAACAUCACAUGUUUAUACAAAAUCUUUGACUGCCUUUCACAUUUGAUGCCACCAAAAAUCCCUAGAUAUCAGCUCCAAAGUCUUAUUAUAUUCAAAAUGCCCUACUGCUAGAAAGUCGUGAUAAGCUUGAAGAACACGUAAACGUGCUUCUCCUUCUAGAACAUAUAGGCAUCCUUUGAAAUAGAGUAGGUUGUUCUUGAACUCGAAUUUAGAGAGAUCAUGAGAUUUAGAAGAAUUAUUCUUGAUAUUGUGAACAAGAGGGUCUAAAGACAUACUUAACUGGACUUGCUUGAGAAAAGUUAAAUCAACAGUCAAUGUUGAUUUUAUUGCUCAAAGAUGAAAUUGCUCUAGCUUCAUGAGAACCAUUCUUUGUUGCUCAAAAGCUGCAUCUCCUUCUUUUGGUGUAAGAUAAGAAUGUCUAGACAAGGCAUCACAUAAACCUUGUUAUUUUCCUGGUCGAUAAGAAUUGAUGAACUCGAAUCUUGAUAAAGACAUGCUCCAAUGAGCUUCAUGACGAUUUAAUAUGCAUGCUGACAUGAAAUACUCGAGGUUCUUAUGUUCCGUGUACACGGUGUCAUGUUGUAACACGAGUAUACCGUGAAAAUAUAAAGAAAGGGGACUUUUAUUAAUAUUUAGUUACCUUGAAUAUUGGGGGCAAUGACCAAUUCCAGUGCAAAUACUAGGAGGCCAGGGUCAGUCACCCCGUUACAGUCAGUCGGGGCAUACUGGAAUGCUCCGUUCGAUUCCAAUAACGGGAGUCAGUCCAAUCGGGGUCCUCUUACCCAAUAUGAGACCUGCAUUGGUCGGGCAAUCCAAUGCAGUCUAAUUACGAGAAAAUCCAGGUCUUACUACGGGCCUCAGCCAGUCUGACGGGAAGGACCAAUUUGAUCCAAUUACGGAAACAUCUAGGUCUUACUACGGGUCUCUUAGCUAAUUUGACGCGAGGACCAAUUUGACUCAAUUACGAGAAUAUCUAGGUUACUACGGGCAUCUUACCCAAUAUGAGACCUGAAUUGGUCAGGCGACUCAAUGUGGACCCGAGUACAAGGUUUCGAUUCUAAUUCAAGCUAUCCUAUCCUUUGUGCCAUUUCGGGAACGUCUUUUCGAUAAAAGGAUCUCUUAAAGGUAGAAACGGAAGAGAAAGCUCUAACGGCGAGAGCCAAUUUUGGAUCUAAGUUUUGACGGCUGGAGCCAAUUUUGGAUCCAAGACGAAAGAUUGAAAAAAUUCAAAAUUAAGGUUAAGAAAGGACGGGGGGAGAGAGAUUUUUUUUUUGAGGGGUUGAGAGGGAUCGGAGAACUAGCUUCAUGCUUCGGGAAGGGAAAAAAAGACAGAGGAUUGGGGUUUUUUUUCUUCAUAGGAUUUUGGGAAGAUUGAGGCAAUCGUUGCUGAAGUCAGUGUUGUAAAGGUGAAUCGAGAUUUUUAAUGAAGUGGAUGUGAUUACUCUUGACUGUUUUGUGAAAUCGAGUUACGUCUGUGAUGAAGAGUUAAAAGGAUGUCUAUAGGAUUGAGUAUGCGGAGUGAAUGAAAUUUAUUGGGUUAAUCUAACGAGACAGUCAGUGGAUACAAGAUCGUGAGUAUAAAGCAGCAUCGAAGAUUAGCAGUUUGGAUUGUUCGGGAUUCUCUGUAACGUCUAGAGACCUACCGGUUGGGGUAAAAAGGACUUCAACGAGCAGUCGAAGGACAUCCGUAUAGAUUUACGGUGUAUUCUUGCAGUUGUUUAUAUUCCAAUAGUCAAAAACCAAUAAACUGCUUGAAUAUUGGCAAAUCUCCAUACUACCUUCUACAACCAGAUGUCCGGUGCGUUCUCGAGCAGGAAAGCAUGUAAUACGACAAAAGUGGUGAACCCGACGUGAAAGCUUGAGGUGGAAGGUAUUGGAUUUUGGUUGAUUUUAUCUUUAUUUUUAUGGAGAACGAAAAUAAAAAUUUUGAAGGAUCUUUGGCAGCAGUUUCUGGUAGGGGUUCUUCUAAAGGACAAGGUAUGCACAUGGAUCCGUCUAUUGCUAGUAUGUUUCAAGCUUUUUCAUUAUCAAUGUAGCAACAGCAAAGCAAUGAUCAAAAGAAAGCUUUGGCAAUCAAAGCAUUACAAGCAGUGGUCAAUAAAAUUGAUCUAUUUGAUGGAAGGAAUAUUUCAAGGUAUUUAAGAUGUUAUGUUCUUAAAAUGGAAUUAAAUCAGAUUUCUGAGAAGAAAAUGGUUGAAUUAUUUGGACUUGCCACGAUAUCGGAGAUAAGAGACCAUAUUACAUCGAUUACGGAUCGUUAUGGGAAUUCAUGGGAGGUUUUUGCACAUGCAUUGAAAGACGAAUAUUUCUUGGAAGAUGCUGAUCGCAUUACUAAAAAGCUGUUUCUGGAAUGGAUUGAACGGCUCAAUAAGAAAUUGCAAGCAACAGAGCUACUAAGAGAAUUUGAGAGGUAGUACUCUCAAUUAUCGAAGGUAGAAAAAUUGACAUUGGAGCCGAACAAAGUUGAUCUAUUUCUUCAAGCUACUGAUGGAGAAUUGCAAGAGAAAUUGGAACUCCUUCUUGAAGAUAAAGAAGAAGAUGAAGGAUUGACAACAAAGUGAAAGAACGUUGAAGAUGCGGUGGAGUUGCUUAGAAAAAAGAAAAGAAGAAGGAUAGGAGUAAUAUUCCGAAAACAGUACAAGCACCCAAAGCUCCAAUAUGUACAACACCACCAACAAUGCCUACAGUUCAACCUUUGACAUCCUUAUCAAAGAAAGCAGAUAUGGGGAUGGAAGAAAUUAUAUGAGAAAUGCAAGAUCUUCAAAUCAAAUUGACAAGACUUGAAGAGAAUACUUCUACAAACAAUUUGAAGAAUAUUUCAAAACAAGGAUAUGUACAAAGAUGCAUUUGGUGUGAUGAUGCUUCACACACUAGAAAAGAUUGCAAUGAAUUUAAUAAUAUGAUACGGCAAGGAAUUAUUUGUUGGAAAGAUAGAAAGAUAGCAUUAAAAGAUAGGGAGGAUCUUCUUCAAACCAAUUUUGGCAAGGGAGGAAUGAGAGCAUUGGUUCAAGAUUACCUAAAAGAGCAUGAAACAGCAGCACGAGAAAGUGCAAGUUAUGGUGCUAGAGUAGAUGAUGAAAUUGGUGGAAGUACGAAAACUAGUGAGUUUUGGACUUCUACCUUUUCUACAAUGCAAGAAGGGAAAUUACCUCGAGAAGCGUUAUUGAGGACUGCAGCUACAAUACAAGGUAGAACAGGUUGGGAGGAUCCUGUUGAGUCUCUUUCAGUUCAUGCAUAUAUUGCUAAGAGCCAACAUAAAGCUUUGAUGGAAGAAAAGAGACGAGAAAGUUUUGAUGAUACGAGAGAAGGAAAUUCUUCUAAGAGGCAAACUCGAGGAGACAAGGCUCGAGAGGCAGCUUCACAAGAAUUACCUAUAAAGGAUACCUCAGCAUCAUUGGAAGAAAAAACAAGGGAGACAAAAGAUAAGAGCAAAUCAAUUGCUUAUAAGCUACUUUCUGACAUUGAAGCGGCAACAAAUUUGAAAGAAGUGUUGGAAGAACGUAUAUUAAAUGCUAAGGUGGAAUUCACAUUGAAAGAAGUCUUGGAAAUUGCAAAGAAGGAGUUUCAUGAUGUUAUUAUUGACAGCAUUAAGCGAUAGAAGCAAUUAAUGGACAAAACUGGAAUGAAUCAUGCUAUUGAUGCAAGAAUAUAUAAAGAUGAAGAAGAGGUUGAUAUUGGUUACAAGCAACCAACAAAUGAAAAAAAUGGGUAUAAUCAACGAGUAUGUUUCGAAGAUUAUAGUGAUAAGGAAAUGAAAACCUUGAGCCAUUAUACUCGAAAGCAUUGGGCAAGGGCAACUAGUGAGGUAUUGGUAAAAGUAGGAGUUAUAGAAGAACCAAUUGUUGCUUUAGUUGACCAUGGUUCUGAAAUAAAUCUCAUGUCUAAAGAUCUUUAUAAGAAGCAAAAAUGGCCAAUUGAUAUGGAACAUGGAUGGGCAAUAUGAGCAGCUAAUAACACACGGGGCGAAUUAUAUGGAGCUUGUUCAAAUGUCAAAAUUCGGAUUGGGGAUGUUGCAACGUAGCACAUUUCUUUUGUCAGAUAACACGUCUUAUCCCGUGAUUUUAGGACACCUUUAUAUUACAUGCACCACGAUGGAAACAAAAGUACUUGACGAUGGUUNNNNNNNNNNNNNNNNNNNNNNNNNNNNNNNNNNNNNNNNNNNNNNNNNNNNNNNNNNNNNNNNNNNNNNNNNNNNNNNNNNNNNNNNNNNNNNNNNNNNCCGCCUAACCAUGUAAGGAAUCGAGAUAGGUUGAGGGAGAAACCAUUGCCACAAGCUUGUUUAAGGAUUUAAGGAUUUUGAGGAGGUACCACUGUAAAGCAAGAUUAUGGAGGUACAAAAGAGGAGGUACUAUUGCGAGAUGAAGGUGCCUUUGAUGUGAGUUUCAUUAGUAUAUUGGAGAAUGGAAAUAUUAUGUAUAAGAAAGUUAAUGAUUUUAAAAGAAAAGAAAGAAAAAGAUUAUAUGAUAUUGAAGGACAAUUAUGCAAGUUAGGUACAUUGUAAGAUGAUGAGAGGAUUUUAGGUGUUUAUGAAGAAAAUGGACUGGAAGAUUCAUUGGAAUUGAUUACAUCUAUUGGGUUAGGGGAUAAUGAUAAGAUUGUUGAGAUUCAUUCAAGAGAGGUUUAUACCAUACUUGAAUCUUUUCAAGCACCAGAAGUCACUGUAGAGACGAGAUAUAAAACGACAGAUAAGAAGGUAAAGCCUGUUGCCGGACCAUUACCAAAAGAUUCUAAAGAACAAAUGGGAGAAGCAUCAAAAGAAGCAAAUUUAAGAGAUCCAAUGAGUAUUGGACAUCAGUUUACUAAAGAGACUUUUGAAGAAUUGAAGAUUGGUUCUGAUGGUUCUUUAUUGCCGGAGGAAAUUACUUGCUUCAAAAAGAUGUUGGGUAAACAAGAUAGAUUGUUUGCCUUCGAAUCUCAUGAAAUUGGGUGUGAACGUGGUCACCCACCGAUUGUGAAAGCAUUAGUUAAAGCUUGUAAUGGGAAAGUUAAAGAGUGGCCACGGCUUUUGUCAUUUGCAUUAUGGACUGAUCGAACAACACAUAGUUCGGUGAUAGGAUAUAUGCCAGUAGAACUUAUGACAGGUCGAAAACCAAUUAUGCCGAUUGAAGAAAAGGUACUUACUUGGAGUAUGCUACCAUGGGAAGAUGGAUUGACAAGAGAAGAACUUCUGGCUAUUAGGAUUCGACAAUUGGAGCAAAGAACGGAAGAUGUCCAGAUAGCAUUGGAAAGGUUAAAAAGAGCAAGGUUACAAAACAAGGCGCGAUUCGAUAAGCAACAUCGAUUGAGACCAAAAGCAAUCGAGGAAGGUGACUAGGUACUUGUUUAUGACAAUAGUCUGGAUAAUCAACAUAGUACUUUGCGGAAAUUUUCAAAACGUUGGUUUAGACCAUAUGUAGUAACAACUGUUCAUGAUAAUGCGACUUACUCAUUACGGGAAUUAGAUGGUAGAAAAUUGAAAAUACCAAUUGCAGGGAAGCAAGUAAAAAUAUUUAAACGAAGACAUGCGGAGAUGAAUAUGGAAGACCUUAAUGAAGGUAUAGAGAUUCCGCAGCAAGAAGAUGAAAGUGAUUUGGAUAAUGAAGGUGACGAAGACGAACAGGACAAAGACAUAGAGGAUAUAUUCUGAAUCAAACAGCAAUUGGGUAAAUUGGUGCAUACCGGAGGAUGCACAGGUUCAGAGGGGGUGGAUGUCAUGUUAAAACACGAGUAUAUCGUGAAAAUAUUAAGAAAGGGGACUUUUAUUAAUUUUUAGUUACCUCGAAUAUUGGGAGCAACGACCAACUCCAGUGCAAAUACUGAGUGGCUAGGUUCAGUCAUCUUGUUACAGUGAGCCGGGGCAUACUGAAAUGCUUCGUUCGAUUCCAAUAACGAUAGUCAGCAGGAAGAAAAAGGACCAAUUCGUACGACGGGUGAGUCUGGUUCGAAAAGCCAAUUGGAUUCAAUUUCAAGAAUCCAAUCGGGGUCCUCUUACCCAAUAUGAGACCUGCAUUGGUCGGGCAAUCCAAUGCAGUCUAAUUACGGAAAAAUCCAGGUCUUACUACGGGCCUCAGCCAGUCGGACGGGAAGGACCAAUUUGAUCUAAUUACGGGAACAUCUAGGUCUUACUACAGGUCUCUUAGCUAAUUUGACGCGAGGACCAAUUUGACUCAAUUACGAGAAUAUCUAGGUUACUACGGGCAUCUUACCCAAUAUGAGACCUGAAUUGGUCAGGCGACUCAAUGUGGACCCGAGUACAAGGUUUCGAUUCUAAUUCAAGCUAUCCUAUUUUCUGUGCCAUUUCAGGGAACGUUGUUUUUGGUAAAUGGAUCUCUUAAAGGUAAAAACGGAGGUGAAAGCUCUGACGGUGAGAGCCAAUUUCGGAUCUAAGUUUUGACGGCUGGAGCCAAUUUUGGAUCCAAGACGAAAGAUUGAAAAAAUUCAAAAUUAAGGUUAAGAAAGGACGGGGGGAGAGAGGUUUUUUUUUAUGGACGGAUUUUAAAGGAUCGAGAGAGCUAGCUUCAUGCUUCGGGCGAGGAAAGAAGACAGAGAAUUGGGUUUUUUUUCUUCAUAGGAUUUUGGAAAGACUAAGUCAUAGGGUUUUGAGAAGACUAAGGCAAUCGUUGCUGAAGUCAGUGUUGUAAUGGUGAAUCGGGAUUUUUAAUGAAGUGGGUUUGAUUACUCUUGACUGUUUUGUGAAAUCGAGUUAUGUCUGUCAUGAAGAGUUAAAAGGGUGUCUAUAGGAUUGAGUAUGCGGAGUGAAUGAAAUUUAUUGGGUUAAUCUAACAAGACAGUCAGUGGAUACAAGAUCGUGAGUAUAAAGUGGUAUCGAAGAUUAGCAGUUUGGGUUGUUCGGGGUUCUCUGUAAUGUCUAGAGACCUACCGGCUGGGGCAAAAAGGAUUUCGACAAGCAGUCGAAGGACAUGUGUAUAGAUUAACGAUGUAUUCUUGCAGUUGUUUGUACUCCAAUAGUCAAAAACCGAUAAAUUGCUUGAAUAUUGGUGAAUCUCCAUACUACCUUCUACAACUAGACGCCCAACGUAUUCUCGAGCAGGACAGCACAUAAUACGACAAUGGGAUGACUAACCCUGACCUCCCAAUAUUUGCACUAGAAUUGGUCGUUGCCACCAAUAUUCGAGGUAACUAAAAAUUAAUAAAAGUCCCCUUUCUUAAUAUUUUCACGGUAUACUCAUGUUAUAACAUGACAUCCACCCCCUCUGAACCUGUGCAUCCUCCGGUAUGCACCAAUUUACCCAAUUGCUGUUUGAUUCAGAAUAUAUCCUCUAUGUCUUUGUCCUGUUCGUCUUCGUCACCUUCAUUAUCCAAAUCACUUUCAUCUUCUUGCUGCGGAAUCUCUAUACCUUCAUUAAGGUCUUCCAUAUUCAUCUCCGCAUGUCUUCGUUUAAAUAUUUUUACUUGCUUCCCUGCAAUUGGUAUUUUCAAUUUUCUACCAUCUAAUUCCCGUAAUGAGUAAGUCGCAUUAUCAUGAACAGUUGUUACUACAUAUGGUCUAAACCAACGUUUUGAAAAUUUCCGCAAAGUACUAUGUUGAUUAUCCAGACUAUUGUCAGAAACAAGUACCCAGUCACCUUCCUCGAUUGCUUUUGGUCUCAAUCGAUGUUGCUUAUCGAAUCGCGCCUUGUUUUGUAACCUUGCUCUUUUUAACCUUUCCAAUGCUAUCUGGACAUCUUCCGUUCUUUGCUCCAAUUGUCGAAUCCUAAUAGCCAGAAGUUCUUCUCUUGUCAAUCCAUCUUCCCAUGGUAGCAUACUCCAAGUAAGUACCUUUUCUUCAAUCGGCAUAAUUGGUUUUCGACCUGUCAUAAGUUCUACUGGCAUAUAUCCUAUCACCGAACUAUGUGUUGUUCGAUCAGUCCAUAAUGCAAAUGACAAAAGCCGUGGCCACUCUUUAACUUUCCCAUUACAAGCUUUAACUAAUGCUUUCACAAUCGGUGGGUGACCACGUUCGCUUUUUGCGUUCCCUUUCAGAUUAUAAGCAGUAGUCAGUGAUAGUUUAACUCCACAUCUUUCAAAGAACUUACGAGCUUCUUGUGCAUUUAAUUCUCCACGAUGUGCAUUGAUUUUUCCUACGCAUCCGUAGCGGCAAAUGACAUCUUCAAGCAAAAACCUACAAAUCUCCUCUGUAGAUUUUGUCCUCAAUGCUCUUCCUUCUACUUGAUUUCAUAAAUCUUCAUGAGCUAAAACCAAAUAUCUCAUCUGCCAUAACCCAACCGGCAUAAUAACCAAAUCAACAACCCAUUUAAAAUGAAUAGCCAGAGGAUAUGUAGGAUGAAGACCAUCACGAUGUCCGAUAUUAGAAUACGAUUGACAGAUUUCACAUGACUCUACAAAUGAGAGCACAUCUCGAUACAUAUUUUUCCACCAAUAUCGUUCCUUGAGUUUAGCAAAAGUAGGCCAGAUUUCUCUAUGCCCUGCCCAUAAACUAUCAUGAAACUCCUUUAAUAAUUUUAGUUUUUCUUCCCUUUUGCCUAUCACUCGUUGUGGCAUCCCAAUUCCUUUCUUCGGUCUCUUCCAUAAGAAUCCAUCUCGAAGUAAAAAUCCAUAUGUUUUUUUUCUUAUUUGUUUGAAUUUUUCUGUAGACCAAUUCCCCUGCUUAGUCACGGUAUUCAAGUAAUGACCAAUAUCCAAUAAUUCUCCUUCAUAAGAUGCUUCAAGAAAUAGCUUGUCUUCUCUGUUGAGAUUUGAUAUUGAAUAGAAUUUCAAUCC
rnacentral:lncRNA from 1 species